rnacentral:lncRNA from 1 species
GCCAUUCUAGCAUUGAAUGGUUUCGCAUGUUCUCUGGGAGACAUUCUAAGUUGACACACUCAUUCAAUUUUAGCCGUUUUAAAGACUGUAUACCAUCAAGGAUGGACCACAGACUUAAUGCAUUGAUUUCUGUGCACCCUGAAAGGUCUAGUUCUGUAACCGACAAAAGUCCAUGAUCAUCUGAUAACUUUUUCCCAACAAUGUUAAGCUUGUUACAUCCAAUUAGGUCAAGAACAGUAAGUUUGGUAUUACACCAAAACGAUGAAGACAAUUCACGUAUAGCAGUGCCAUCUAAGAAUAACUCUGUCAUUUCUUCCGAUGUCACCGAAAAUUCUGUGAGAGAUGAACAACCAUUGAGUAAAAGUACACNAAUUAGGAAAAUAGUUUUACACAAACAAACAAUUAAUACCCAAACACUUAACGUCACAAAUAUUGUGAAAAUGCUUAUGAAAUACGCAACUCCCUGUGGACACGAUCCUAUAUAUACUUACGUGUAAAUAGUUUUAUGAGAGGUAAAAAUCCUUCAUCAAAAUGGCGCCGCUGCCGGGGAGUCAUGAUGUGGAUCUUGACAUGGGAGAUGGAGAGGAGGAUCAGUGAUCAUGCCUUUGUAUUUUUAGUGAUGUUUCAUUUAUGCUUUCGAUGUUUAUGUUUUUAAAUUUCAGUCUUGAACUCUGUUAAUUUCCUUUGUAGUUUGUACUUUUUGGGCACUUUUGUUUUAAGUGCUCGACACAUUUCUUUCAGCACUUUAUUUUUAGUUUAUGGUUUAAUAACUUAGCUUUCUGUUUGGUUUAACUAACAGUGCUUUGGUUGAAAAUUUUGUCUAUUCUUGCUUUUGUUUCUCAAAGAAGAAAAUUGCUUAUGAACAUUAAUAUUUGAUGUGCUCGGAAGAGCCAAAAGAUUGAGCAAACAAACAGGUGUGUGAUAAUGGUUUAGUUGUGAAAAAAAUCGCAAUGACAAGGUAUUGGUUUCCUGUUUUUCUAGGUCUUUACUAGAAUUUGAAACUAGUACUUUGCACAAAAUGUAUCUCAUCUAAUUCUCUUCAUAAACAUGAUUAUUCUGGAACCACUUAGUACUUAGCCAAAAAGUGAGGUAGCUUCAAACUGUUAUUUUAUAUGCUGGAGACUGACAAUCAAUGUUUAACUCGUUUUUGUUAUGUUAAAUCCAAUAAUUGUUUGAAUUGUAUGAAAGCAUGGAAAGGAUCAAGGCACUUUUUGAAAUUGAGUGAGACACUUGACCAAAUAAAGCCUACCCGUGAGAAGAGCGAGUAUCUGAUACCCAAAUCUGAGCCAAAUGAAUCAAGUCCUCAAACAUGAACUGUCAAUAUUCAAAAGCACAAUGCUCAUUGAAAUUGCCUAAAAUUGUUAAAAAUCCAGUUCAUGUUUGACGUACUUUAGGACUUUGAUAAUUUUACUUUGUUGAACCCUUACCCUUAGUGUACUUUGUCCCUCGCCUUAGAGUAGGGGAAAAUUCAAUUAGAGUUUUGUUGGGUUCAAGUUGGGGAGAAAGGGAGGUAUUUUGUGUUAAGCAUCAUGGUGAAUUAUUGAAAUAACUUGACAACAUGGAAGUGUAUAUACUUUAGAAGUAGGAAAGUUUCUAAAUUUGAAAAAGAAAAGAAAAAGAAAAAGAAGAAAAAGAAAGGAAAAUCAAAAAUAGAAUAAGUUGUCAAGGUUAUUGUAUAAAUUUUUAAUCACCGAGGGUUUGAAUGAUUGGUAGGGAAGGUUAUUGGUUUUAAUUGUUAAUACAAGGAAUGUUCCUCUAUGAUAGGCUUUUUGAUUUCAAUUUUCCCACAUAUGACAUUUCUUUUGUAGCCCGGCCAAGUUAUAACCCUAUAGAGACCUUUUGAUCCAUGUUUUUGUGUUUUUUGAGAUAAUAUUUGGAUGGAAACCUAACUUAAUCAAGAUGUUAGCUUGAUUGUUGGAUGUGUGUUAUUACCCUCAUUUGUUGAUUAUUGCUUUGUCUCAUCUACUUGCAAAGAAGUGUGUUAGGUGUGGUUCAUAGACGAUCAUGUUUUUUUUUUAAUUUUAUGAUGUAAAUUUGGUGUUUAGGACUUGUUUCACAUUCAUAGUUGUACUUGGAUUGGCAGAGAACUUCAUGCUUGCCCGCGCAUUCACAUUUCAAUCACCACUUGAAAUUUUCAUGUUGAACUGUUUGACACCAGACUAAAAAUCUUGUCCAAAGCCUUGUAAGUUUCCUUUUUGAAUGAUUUGUUUGAGGAACAACAAAAAGCCAAGUUGGGGAGAGUUUGAUAAGUGCUCAAAAUGAUCUAAUUUAGGUGUUAGUUUAGGCAUGUUUGAUGAGUUGUUUUACAAAUUAUUGUUAGAAAAGCUUCAAUUAUGUGCCUAAAUGCCAUUUAUGCUUUGCAUGCCAUGCUUUACCCUUUUUGUGCAGGAAAAUACAAGCAGGGAACAAGAAAUGCCAAAGUUCACAAGAAAGUCGCUAUUCGCGAGAUUCUCGCCAAUAGCGAAAAUGGCACAGGGAGUUUCGCCAUCAGCGAAGCUGGGGGCGAAGUCAUAAGAAGGACUUCAAGAAACUCGCCAUUAGCGAAAAAGUCGCUAUUGGCGAAAAACUCACAAGGAGUUUCGCUAUUAGCGAAACUGGUGGCGAACUUCAGGAAAGUCAAGUGGAUAAGGGACACGUGGAGCAACGCCAUUGGUGCAGAGGCAUAUUUCCCACAUUUCGCUAAUUGCGAAAUAGUUAGCUAUUAGCGAAAUUCUGCAGAAGUGCCCAUAUAAAUAGUUUUCUCUUCUUUUUCCAAUGAUUCUAUUACAUUUUUAUUCAUAUUUUUCAGGUUUUAGAGAGAGACUAGGGCUUUUCUAGAGAGAGAAACAAAAAGCAAGGUAGUUAGGAGUAGAUUCAAGCCAAGAUUUGUUGAGACAUCAUGGAUCUUGUCAUAGAAUCUACACCCUUUCUUCAUCCUUUGCAAAGCUAUCAUAGACAUAUUUAGCUACAUCUAUUCUUGUAGUUUUUAGGUAUUCAAACAAGCUAUUAUGUAAUUUUUUGAUCUUUUAAUAUAUGGUUCUAGCUUAUUUAUUCAAUAUUGUUGUUANACGUAUAGCAGUGCCAUCUAAGAAUAACUCUGUCAUUUCUUCCGAUGUCACCGAAAAUUCUGUGAGAGAUGAACAACCAUUGAGUAAAAGUACACAGAGAGAUUUUGAAUGAAUGUUGGAUUUAAGGCUUUCAAUCUUUAUGCAACCUCUUAAAUCUAGAUAUAUAAUUCGAGGGAGAGAAAAGAUGGAUGGAUGGAGCUGACGCAGGCUUUCACAUUCCGAGAGAUGUAUUCUGUCAAGAUUUAUAGCCCUAGAUAAGUCUGGGAUCUCAAUCAGAUCUUUGGAGGAUUCAAGCCAAAGUACUCUUAGAUUCACAAGAUUCUGUAACAAGAAAUAAACAUCCAUGAGUGUUGAUUAAAAGAGAAACAAAACCUAGUUAAACAUCCUAGCUCUGCUGCAAUUUUGUGAAAAACAUUUGUACCUGAACUCCAUCCCAGAGCUUUUUAAGCUUGCUUUGAUUCAUGCAAAGCUCUACAAGCAUUUCAGCACAAAAGGUUGAUGGCAAAGACUCAAGACAGUAUCUUUUCCAUCGAAGAUACCUCAAUUUAUCCGAAAUCCACUCAAGACCGUCAGGAAAGUACACAUUGCCUGUGCUCCCAUCAGAUUCAUAGAUAUUAAGAUAUCUUAAAUUUGUCAUCCUUCUAAAGGAAUCAGACUUCAAGUAUAGAUCCCCAACUUCCGUACUAUCCAAUAUUAUACCUUCCACAACUUCAGUUCCCUGACAAAUAAAAAUUAGAUUAAUAAUUAGGAAAGGCUGUCAUGUGUACUUUCCUUGUUAUAUUUUAUAAUCACAUACAUGUGUUUUCGUAUAGAAAUGAUUGCAUCCUCUGCUUACCUUGUUUUCUUUUAAUAUAUCAGAUAUUUCUUCAGCUCUCCAUAACCGACUUCGUUUUCCAGGUUCUUUAGACUCUUGAUUAACAAUCUCCCGUCCCAUUUCUUGUAACAAAUCAUGCAUAUCUAAACCAUCAAUUUCCAAUUUGGCAAACGAGUGCCAAUAUGGUUUUAUUUGUAUGAAAGCUUUAUCUAGAAGGACUUCUAUCCCACUUUCUGCAAAGAACUCACAAGCUUCCAAGAAAUGUAUCACAAAUAUUUUAUUAUCUCCUCUCAACAAGCAUGCGAUAUCUAGAAAUAUGUCCUUUUGAAAAAUAUCUAAGUUAUCAUAACUCAAUUUUAACAUAUUGUUAAUUUCCCCAUUUGGAAUCAUUUCAAGCUUUUUCAAUUCAUCUUCCCAUACUUUUUUGCCUCUUGAACGGAGAUUUUUACCUAAAACUUUUAAAGCCAAAGGGUUGCCUCUGCAAUAGGCAAUUACACUUUCUGAUAUAUCUUCAUAUCCAAUUUUAGGCUGUUUUUCUCCGAAGGCAUUCAAACUGAAUAACUGAAGAGAAUCAUGGUUGUUCAAUUCCUUGACUUCAUAUAUUUCACAAUUACUGAACUGACUUAGUAUGUGCUUAUCUCUAGUUGUAAUAAUGACCCUACUACCUGCUCCCAACCCAUCAAUAUUUAGGAUAAGAUCUUCUAUUUUCUCUAAGGUGUCCACACUAUCCAACACAAUGAAAACUUUUUUACGUGCAAUCCUUCUCACGGAGAAAGGGGAUUCUAUGUAGGAUGCAUAAGGAUGAAGAUUUUCUUCCUCUAACAAUGAAGACAGAAGUUUAUUGUAUAAAACAUCGAGUCCAUGCUUUUUUGAUUCAUCCAUUACAUUGAGGAAGCAACGACCUUCAAAUUGGGAAUAAAGUUUACCAUAUAAAGUCUUAGCAAGGGUGGUCUUUCCUAUGCCACCCAUGCCCCAUAUUCCAAGGACUCUGACAUCAUUUGACCAAAUUUUCAGCAUUGAAUCAAUCUGCUCAUAAGUUUUCUCAAUUCCAACAAUCCCCUUAAUUUCAUAUGGGUAUCUAAGAUUCAGCUUCUGCAAGACAUCUUUGACAAUGUCCUUAAUGAAGUCUGAUUCAGUGCUGCAUAUGAAAGAAGGGAAGAAGGUUUUACAAGUCUAACAAAUACAAUAGAAGAACAAUAUACCUAUGAAAACAAUUGUGCUAGAGAGAAGAUAAUGACAAGCUAUGAAAACACAUUUUCAGAAAUAAUAUAUGAAAACAAAGUUUUAUCAUUUUUAAGAUUUCUGAAAAAAUCCAUAUCUAUAUUCAAAAUUUGUAAUAGAAAAUUGUAGGAAAUGAAAACAGAACUCAAAUUUGUAUCAUCCUGUUGUCACAUAACUUGUAUCAAGAUUUUAUCCAGUUGGAUUUUAGAAUCAAAUUUGGCCAACUUAAUUAAACAACAUUCUUUCACAUCCAAAGACUACCACAUGUGAAGGAGAAGGGAAUAAAUGUGAAGAAGACUAUGGGAACCAAGGGUGUUAAUAAAAUGAUGUAUUAUGCUUGAUUGAGUUGAACAAACCUAACUUAUAAUAUAUAAUUGAAUCCUUUCAUCAUCUUAUAUUAUCAAUAAUGUAUACAGAACUAAUUAUUAGAAAAAAAACUUUCACAUUGUAUGAAGUAGAAAUCUGGAGAGUUCCUUUAACUUACCUGUAAUUCUGAAAGUCCCAACCAACUAAACUAGCUGCCUCGGCAAGAGCGGCUUUCCAUUCCUGUAACUUGUCAUUAUUGAGCUUCAAAUCUCGCAUAUGUUUUGUGAAGGCUUGCUCGUAACUCCCAGUCUGCUUCCUCACAUGUGAGGGAUCUAUGUUGUAAAAAACAGGUAUCACAAUCUGUUGCAUAUAUUUCUUGCAUUGAAGAAUCUUCUUGAGCUCAUUCAAGCACCAUUUUGAGGAAGCAUAAUUUUCUGAGAAGAUGAUAAUUGACACGUGUGACUCCUCAAUGGCUUUGAUGAGUGCUGGUGAGAUCUCAUCUCCUUUUUCAAGCUCAUUGUUGUCUAUAAAGGUUUCAACUUUUUUUCGGCUCAGAGUAUCAUAAAGAUGGCUCGUGAAGUUUCUGCGAGUAUCAUCACCUCGAAAGCUAAGAAAAACGUCAUAUUUUUUCUGAGGCGCCACAGAGGAAGAGGAUACAGAGGAAAAAGCACUGCUCAUUUUCUGCUCGGAGAUUAUGAAUUCCAAGUGCCUGCACUAAGCCACUAAUCACAAUGCGCACAAUAAAUAAAUAAAAAAUAAAGGGUUAAUGGUGUUUUAGCCUGUAAUAUAGGUCAUUUUUUGUUUUCCCCUUGUAAAAUAUUUUUUUUGAUUUACCCCCUGUAAUUUUUUUUUUUUUUUUGGAAUACCCCCCUAAUAGGUCAUCAAAAAACGACUUUAUUUUUCCUAUUAGGGGGGUAUUCCAAAAAAAAUAUUUUACAAGGGAAAAAUAAAAAAUGACAUGUAUUACAGGGGUAAAGCACCAUUAACCCAAAAAUAAAAAAGCAAUGUUUAAAUGUGUUCUAGGUACUUGUUGUCAAUAAUACCUUUGACCACACUCAUUCUCAUUGUUACAUAUUAGUGUGUAUUUUUUAGAGAGUGCAACAUCCAAAUUUUUGUUAGACAUUUAGUCCUCAAAAAAAUUUCUUAAUUUAUUUAUCUGAGUAAAAAUGGUGUACAAAUAAGAAGUGGUUAAAGUUAGUGAUAUUAAUUCCAGUUUCUGGUAUAUUUGCUCUAAUACGGGUUGAAUUAAAAGUGGUAUAUAUUCAUAUUCAUUUGGAUAUUGUAAACUGUCGAUCAAUUUUGUCAAACUUCAAUUUCUGGGAAACAUUUUGAGUUUUAAUUAACAAAUAUGAAGACUAAUUUAAAAUAUUUGCCAAUAGAAGGUAUGGCCUAAACUAAUUUUUAUCCAUUUAUUAAUUUCAAUUUGACAAUGGCCUAUGUGAUUAGAGAAACUAGUAGUUAAAUUAAAAAUGAGGGAAAAAGGAUCAUACCAAAGUCAGAAUCCAGCUUCAUGCAAUAGAGGAGAAAGAGACUGUAUGGCUUAGCUUUUCCUGGAAUCAAUUUUGGAUGAAAAUUAAUUAAAGUAUUAACACACACAAACACUUCAUAUAGAUGUAAUGGGUCAAAAUAAAAAUAUAAAAUAACAAGUUGGGUUUCGUGGUUAUCCUCCAAGGGAAAGUUUCGUUUUCUUUAGCAUUAUGAAGUGUUUGUGUGUGCUCAUUCUUACUAACUUGCUGACAUGACAUUAUUCUUUAACAAACAUACAAAGAAAUAGAGAUAGUGACCCUUUGAGUAAAAAUAUGUAUUAUGAGUUUGUCGGUAUGCGUGGUAAGAUCAAAUGCAUAAAUGUUUAAGACGACGGCUGAAUAAAAUAUGGCUACAAGAGGAUAUUUAGAAAAAACAACGAUGCACUUAUAAUGUGAAUCUAGUUUCCUAUACUAAACUAAGUAGUUGUUACACCAGGUUCCAUUUUUUUCUAUUUGUUUCUUAGCAAUCAAAUUCAGUAACCUUUAAACAAAUACCAUAUGGUUGAACCGUUGAAUCUUGAACCUUCUUCACAUGUUCAAUGGCUGGUCCAAUUUAGAAAAUAUUAAUGAAUACCUGCUUUGAUAAAUUAUUUAUGGGUUAAUGGUGCUUUACUCCCUGUAAUAUAUGUUAUUUUUUAUUUUUUCCCUUGUAAAUUUUUUUUUUAUUUACCCCCCUGUAAAAAAAAUAAUUUUGAAUACCCCCUAGGUCAUAAAAAAAUUACUUUAUUUUUUUUUUUGCAGAAUUUUUUCGUUUUUUUAUGACCUAUUAGGGGGUAUUCCAAAAAAAAAAAAAAUUUUACAAGGGGGUAAAUCAAAAAAAAAAAAUUUACAGGGAGGAAAACAAAAAAUGACCUAUAUUACAAGGGGGUAAAACAUCAUUAACCCAUUAUUCAACAACUUAUUUAUAUACUUAAUUUUUUACACACAAGGAAUUGAGAUGGUUAAGUGUCAGAAAAUAGUUAAGAAACAUGUAUAUUUCAGACACAUUGAUUACUUGUUUUGCAAGUUACUUCAUAAAAAGCUUGAAAAUAAUGAACAAUUUUCAAUUUAUGCUCUUUAUAUCUUACCCUAACCUUUUGAGUAGGAAAUCGCAUGCCUGGACACUUAAAAGGCAAGGAAACAAGAGCAUAUGCAAAGGAAAGCUCUCCAGGGUGGGCUUGGAGCGAGCAAGAGGUGAAUCAAGUCAGAGAGGACCAAAUUCAGGAUUUUCAAAGCUCGCCACAUCGAGCAGGAAGCGAUAACAAAGCAAGGCAAGUUAGAGAGCUCCUAUUUACAUAAGUCCCUUGCAUAGCCAAGGGAGGUCAUGGCGACCUCACAGAGAUCUUGCAGCAAGCUAAGUUAAAUAAUCCAGAAUCCAGAGAAGCAGGGUUUCGCCACAGCGAGCCCGACCCUCGCCAUGGUGGUUUCAGGCAACUUGCUUACGUGGCAGAAACCCACUGGUGAAGAAAGCUUCGCUCGCCAUGGUGAGCCUCACUUUGCUCAGCGAGAAGUCACUUACUAGAAUAAGUAUAAAAGAUUUCCAGCAAAGUUAUCAUAAACUUUUUAGAGAGAGACAUAUACGAAUCAAAAGGAUAAUUAGAUAGCAAGAGUGUUUUGAAGGUUGAUUCAACAAGUUUGUUUGAGAAAUCUUCAUCUUGAUGUUUCCCAUCCAUUUCUUCCGAAUUUGCAAGGCUACCAUGGCACUGAGUAGCUAAAUCUCAAGUUGUUAGGAUUAGCUGUAAUUUAUCAAACUCAGUAUGUAUUCUUAUUGAUCUAAACAAUAUAUGAUUCUAGUUAUUCAUGAUAUUUGAUGUUAUUCUUGUUUUCUAUGCUUUUGAUUUUAUAAAUUUGAAUUGUUAUUGAAAAAUACUUUUUGAAUCUAGGUUAGAAUAACAUCUAUUAAACUCUAAAUACUAGAAAUGGUUUUAGCUUUUGAUAAUCACACGUUAUGUAUCAAAUAUUAAUGCUAUUGUAUUGUUUAAUAGGCUGAGAAAUCAUCGAUUAAACAAUAUGAUUGAACUCACGACAUUAUUUAGACAUAAAUGAUGUGUCGAGUACGUGGUAAUUUCGAGUGAUAGCUAAAUCUGUAUGUUUGAUAAUAAAGAUAUAUGUGACGUUUGAUCAAUAAAGUCUAAUCCCAACAGUUUUACUUCUCUGUCUAAUCUCGUUUUAUUUACCGCAUUAUAGUUCAAAUAGUUUUCAUAACAAAUAAUUUUAUAAACCCUUAACAUAGAAUGAUAAUUGUUGUGAAUUCGAACACAAAACUCACACCAAUACAAACUAUGAUGUGUGGAGAAAAGGAAAGUAAUAACCAAUAUCAAAGUGAACACAAGAAACAACAAUAAUAACAACACCUAGAUCUAAUCUAGUAAUCAAAGUGAAAAAACACAAAACCACAAGCAAAAGAUAAAGAGAGAAGAGAAACAAACACACCAAAGAUUGUUGACCCAGUUCGGUCCAACUUGACCUAAUUUGGGGGAGAGAUUUAUCUCUACAAUCCACUAUCAAAGAGUUCUUGCAAAGUGAUACAAAUGGGUUACAAGAAAUUAUCUUAAACAAGCUCACAAAGAACAAACUUAAUUUCUACUCAUUUUCCCAAACUCACCAAUGAAAAAGACACUAAAUGAUUUUCACUCACCCAAGGUGUUUACAAUGUUUCCCAACCCAAGAGAACCUCACUACAAAGACACUCAACCCUAAAUUUCUCUCCUUUGCAGUCCCAAGUUUCUCUCUCUUCAGCUCUCCUUCAAAAAACUGCAAAGAAACACUUAUAUAACAGUUUCAGAUGUUAAAAUUGUGUCACGUUUUGCCAAAUCGUGACACGGUUGGUGACCCUGCAAAACAUGCUCUCGACAUUGUGAAAUCGUGACACGCUUCACAAAUCGUGUCACGAUUCCAAUUCCAAGUUUUCCUAUCUUCACAAUUGGAAGGAAAAUCCAACAUUUUUCCACCUUGACGUUGUAACGCCCUAUUUAUUUAUUAGAUUAUUUUAUUAAGUUUAAGAGUCUAUUUAUAGUGAUUAUGUGAUUUAAAAGAUUAUGUGGUGUGUCGUUAUUUUAUUAAGUAGUGUUAUUUUAUAAUUUAAUAGAAUAAGAUUUGAAAAUAAAAUAAGAUUAAGUUGUGGGGGCUGUUUUGAGAAUUUAGAGUGUUUAGUGGAAUAAGUGGAAAUAAGAAAAAGAGGGCUGAGGGAAUAAAUAGGAGAAAACCUAAGUCAGAAUAGUUUUCACGUGAAACAAAACGUUUUGGAGAAAAGGGGAGAAAACAAGCCUUUGGGAGAAAAAACCAAGAGAAAGCUAGGAGAAGAGCCAAGUGGGAGAAUCAGAUUUUUGGUAGAGUUUUAUUCAUCAAUCUAAGGUAAGGGUGAGACUAACUCUCAAUAAUCAUAGUGUAUGUAAACUCUGAAAUUGAUUUAACAUGUAGUUGUUUAUGAAUUUGGGAAUUAGGGUUAGAAUGUAGAAUUGAAUUGUGGAAAGAAGUAGNCUUAAUAAGGUUCAUUGUGAAACACAUUUUGUUCCAACAGUGUCGUGGUUGAUUAAGCCGUCCUAUGUCCUUGAGUUGUUGGUGAAAGAUUAUUUGAUGUUUCAUGAUAUUGAUUAAGAUGUUAUUAUGAUGUUGUUUGCGAAUGUGACCAUGAUGAUAAUUAUGAAUAUGUGUUGUUAUUUACGAUGAACAUGUGUUAUUGUUUUAUGACGAAUAUGUGUUCUUUACAUUAUUAAUGAUAAGUGAAUAUUAUAUUAUAUUGUAUUUGAUUAUAUUAUUAAUAAGUGAAUAUUAUGUUAUAUUGUAUUUGAUUAUAUUAUUAAUAAGUGAAUAUUAUGUUAUAUUGUAUUUGAUUAUAUAUAUUAUGUUAUAUUAUAUAUGAUUAUUAUUAAUAAGUGAGUAUUAUGUUAUAUGGUAUUUGAUUUUAUUUGAUAAGUGAUUAUUAUGUCAUAUUGUAUAUGCUUAUUAUCAAUAGGUGAUGAUUAAGUUGUGUUGUUAUAUAAUUAUGAAAUGACGAUUAUGUUGUGUGACAAAGUUGAUAUUUAUGACGUGAUGAUUUAUGUUGGUUAUGAUUUGAUUAUUAUGUGCUAAAUGUUGAUGUAUAAAAUAUGAUAAAUAGGGAGUUAAUGAUGAAUCGAAAUUGACUUAAAUUGUUAAUGCGGAACUAUAUGAUUAUAUUACCAUCUAUGAUUAGUUUAUAAUGUUGUUAAAUAUAAUUGUUGAAUUAUAUGUUUAAUAUUAUUGUUUGUGAAAUCUCACCCCUUCUGCUUGGAAAUGUUACUCUUCGUAUGAGUAACUUGCAGGUGAACGAGAGUAGGUCGCUGUGUUUGCUGUUGUGAGUGGUUAUCCCUCACUGUGUCUUUUAGGUGCUCUGAUACGUAACGGGAUGGGAUCUUUUGUGGCUAUUUUCUAUUCCUUUACGUAUUGCUUAUGUUUAAAUAAGGCCUGCGUGCCAAAGACUUAUCCAUGUUAAUGAAUUUAAUCCGCUGCAAAGUUUCGAAUUAUUAUGUUGAUGAUUUUCGGAAAGAUAAUUAGUUAAUUAUCUUAUUAUUUAUAUUUUAGAAGUGUAACAUUCCGUAGUAUGUUGUUUACUCUGAUAGACAUUUAUGAAAUUUAUAAGUUGGGAAAACGGGGUGUUACAAUAAUAUAGUUUAAAAAGCUAGAAUCCGUUAAUCGAUCGAGAGAUUGCAGCUGUUACGCUUGGUUGAUGUCUCUGACCGCAAGCGGAAUAACCCUAUCUCUUCUCGUUUUANNNNNNNNNNNNNNNNNNNNNNNNNNNNNNNNNNNNNNNNNNNNNNNNNNNNNNNNNNNNNNNNNNNNNNNNNNNNNNNNNNNNNNNNNNNNNNNNNNNNNNNNNNNNNNNNNNNNNNNNNNNNNNNNNNNNNNNNNNNNNNNNNNNNNNNNNNNNNNNNNNNNNNNNNNNNNNNNNNNNNNNNNNNNNNNNNNNNNNNNNNNNNNNNNNNNNNNNNNNNNNNNNNNNNNNNNNNNNNNNNNNNNNNNNNNNNNNNNNNNNNNNNNNNNNNNNNNNNNNNNNNNNNNNNNNNNNNNNNNNNNNNNNNNNNNNNNNNNNNNNNNNNNNNNNNNNNNNNNNNNNNNNNNNNNNNNNNNNNNNNNNNNNNNNNNNNNNNNNNNNNNNNNNNNNNNNNNNNNNNNNNNNNNNNNNNNNNNNNNNNNNNNNNNNNNNNNNNNNNNNNNNNNNNNNNNNNNNNNNNNNNNNNNNNNNNNNNNNNNNNNNNNNNNNNNNNNNNNNNNNNNNNNNNNNNNNNNNNNNNNNNNNNNNNNNNNNNNNNNNNNNNNNNNNNNNNNNNNNNNNNNNNNNNNNNNNNNNNNNNNNNNNNNNNNNNNNNNNNNNNNNNNNNNNNNNNNNNNNNNNNNNNNNNNNNNNNNNNNNNNNNNNNNNNNNNNNNNNNNNNNNNNNNNNNNNNNNNNNNNNNNNNNNNNNNNNNNNNNNNNNNNNNNNNNNNNNNNNNNNNNNNNNNNNNNNNNNNNNNNNNNNNNNNNNNNNNNNNNNNNNNNNNNNNNNNNNNNNNNNNNNNNNNNNNNNNNNNNNNNNNNNNNNNNNNNNNNNNNNNNNNNNNNNNNNNNNNNNNNNNNNNNNNNNNNNNNNNNNNNNNNNNNNNNNNNNNNNNNNNNNNNNNNNNNNNNNNNNNNNNNNNNNNNNNNNNNNNNNNNNNNNNNNNNNNNNNNNNNNNNNNNNNNNNNNNNNNNNNNNNNNNNNNNNNNNNNNNNNNNNNNNNNNNNNNNNNNNNNNNNNNNNNNNNNNNNNNNNNNNNNNNNNNNNNNNNNNNNNNNNNNNNNNNNNNNNNNNNNNNNNNNNNNNNNNNNNNNNNNNNNNNNNNNNNNNNNNNNNNNNNNNNNNNNNNNAUUUUUGGGUGGUUGAAACUUGAAUCUUUUUGUAGAUUAUGAUAGAGCUAAGUGUCAGGAGCGUGUAGGCGAAAACGGCAUCGAAAACGGGUUAACAGUUUGGAUUUUACGCGCGAAAACGUGAAAAUUAGAAAAUCUGAUGUUGUCUGUCGAGCAGAAAUUGGGCUACGAUUUUGACCAGGUUUUGGGGUGUUUCAGCACGAAAAAAAUCGUACUACGAUGGGAAAAUCGGGCUACGAUUUUGCAUGACCAGUAACUUUUAAAAUUUAUUUUUCUUCACUCCAAUUGCUUCCAAACUUCUUCCUAAGUGUAGGGACUUUAUCCUUACCAUCUAGAGAUGUUUUUAGGAAAGAAAUAACUUUGUAUAGAGGGUCUAAUGAGUUAUUGAGUUGGUUCUUGGGGUAUGAAUGAAAGUUGUUUAUAAAGGUAUCUAAGCUAAUUAAUAUAAUUGAUGUUGUUCGUUAAUUCAAGCUACAUAUAUUAUGUGGAAAAUGUAUGAUAUAGAAAAUAUUGUUGUUUAUAUCAUUCGAGUUGUUAUUAUUAACGUUGUUAUAUUGCAAGUUGUUUAUGUUGUUGUCUCUGCUGUUGUUGAUUAUUAAUAUCAUGAAGUUGACCAAGUUGUGGGUAAGUCAUAAUUAUUUACGCACAGUCGUGUUGUCGUUGUCGUUGUCUACGUUGUCGUCGAUAUUGCUGAGUUGUAUGUUGAUAUACACAAAGUUGAGUCCAUUGAAUACUCAUAAAACCGUUGAGCGCUUAUGCCCUGGAAUGCCUUGUCAUUCAAAAUGUUGAGGGCUCAUGCCCUGGAAUGUUAAUCAUUCAAAUUGUUGGGGGCUUAUGCCCUAGAAUGCCUUGUCAUUCAAAUUGUUGGGGGAUUAUGCCCUGGAAUGCUUUGUCAUUCAACUAUUGAUGACUUAUGCCCUGGAAUGUUUAUCAUUCAAAUUGUUGGGGGCUUAUGCCCCGAUAUACUUAGUCAUUCAACACGUUGAAAAUAGUGCCACAUGGAUAUUGUAGUUGUCAUUGUUGUUGAGAGGGUUGUUGUUGUUGUUGAUUAAGUUGUUGUCGUCGUUGUUGAGUGAGUUGUUGUUGUUGUUGUUGAUUAAGUUGUUGUCGUCGUUGUUGAGUGAGUUGUUGUAGUUGUUGUUGAGUGAGAUGUUGUCGUUGUUGUUGAGUGAGUUGUUGUAGUUGUUGUUGAGUAAGUUGUUAUAGUUGUUGUUGAGUGAGUUGUUGUCGUUGUUGCUGAAUCUUGUUGUUGUCUUCAUUGUUGGUUGAAUUAAUAAGUGUUAUUAAAGUUGAAGAAGUAUGAACAUUAUUGUUGGAUAUAUGUUGCUAAUUAUGUUAUUUAAUUAAGUUGUUAAAUAGGUUGAUGAUUUAUAGAUAUCUAUUAUUAUUGUUUGUGAAUCUCACCCCUUCUGCUUGGAAAUGUAGCCCUUCGUGUGGGUAACUUGGAGGUGAUCCAGAGUAGUUGCUGUUAUUUGCUGUUGUGAGUUGAUCUUCCCUCACACGAGUCUUAGGUGCUCUGAUACGUAACGGGAUGGGAAAUAAUGUCGUUGUAUUUAUCAUUCCUUAUGUAUCAUUAUGAACUUGUUGGUGUUGGAUUAGAUCUUUAAAGAUAAACUGUUGAGGCAUUGUGCUAGACUUAUUGAAAGUUGUNAAACAAUUUAUACCCAAACACUUAACGUGACAAAUAUUGUGAAAAUGCUUAUGAAUACGCAACUCCCUGUGGAUACGAUCCUAUAUAUACUUACGUGUAAAUAGUUUUAUAAGAGGUAAAAAUCCUUCAUCAAGCAUAACCAAUAAUCUUAAAAACAGAAAAUAGAGGAAAGAAAGUGAAAGAGAAAGGAGCAAUUAUAAUUUUCAGUUUACUGCAAUAUCUUACAUAUACCAUCCAUACAUCUUUCUUACAUAUUUAGAGUCAAAUACUUAGUAAUGACAUAACUUAUACUUUGUUGAUGUCAUACGACAUAAACCUAUUUAACUUGUACAGAACACCUUACUUGUGCAGGAAAGUAUUACCGACAAAACUAAGUUAAAAUCAUUACACACACAUAGGCAAUAAAGUAACAUUAACAACGAAAUAUUCAGAAAAGUUUUUAUUUUUAAAAGAAGUGUUCAGAAAAGUUUUAUUAGUCAAUUAGUCCACAAAGUAUUAUCUUAAGUAUGUUUGGAUGGAGGGAAUAUUAUGAAGUGAAGAGACUGUCACGACCCAAAUGCACGAACCAGAACAUUCUAGCCCGACAAGCCUAUUGUUUCAACCUGAUAAACUAUAAUUAUAAAGUUUCCAAUUCGGAUUUUUCUAAAAAAAUAUUCACUGAAAUUUCGGCAAAGUUUCCUCUGUAUUUUCAACAUUUAUUCCAAGAUUUGAGUCAUGUCCAUAAACCUAUCUUCAUCAACCAGAAUUCCAAAAUGACAUUUUUUACAUAUUUGUACACUUAAAAUGAGACAUUUCUAGACUUCACAUAGCUGCAGAAACUUCGACUCAACAUAUACAUAAACAAUAUAGACAUCCAUCAAAGAAGCCUACCAAAAGAGUGACACCGCUGAACUUUGAAUCUACUAGCAACUUUCUACUUAGUUGCUUUGGAAUCUGGAAAAAUAAAAAUAAAAAUGAGAGAGUAAGUCACAGGGACUUAGUGAGAGACAACAACCACCACCAACUAGAAGGGAAACACACUUGAAAAGAUGACUAUUUGAUUAAUUGUUAAGUUGGUAAAAUGAUUCAUCUUGCUAGUUUAUACCACUUGAAAAGAUGCUACUCUCAUAGAGGACUCGUGGAAACGUUGAUAACUUGAUGCCUAAGUUUGUCAAUGAAAACGUUGAGACUACCCUAAAGAGAUAAAUCUAUAGACUUCAAUUUUAGUAGGAUUGAGAAUCACAUCGCUAACUUGCAAACAUUUUUUAGUAGAAACUAUCUACAAUAAAAAGUCUAGUUUCUCCUACAUGAGAGCUUUGAUAUACGUACGAGCGCCAAACUAAUUUUAGCUGUAUGAGAGCUUUUCUAGAAGGACUUCUAUCCCACUUAUUGCAAAGAACUCUCUUGCUUCCAACAUAUCUGUUACAAAAAAAUUAUUCUCUCCUCUCAAACAGCAUUCGAUAUCUAGAAAUGUGGCCUUUUGAAAGCAGUCAAGGCCAUCAUAACUCAAUUUUAACACACCGUAAAUUUUCCUAUUUGGGAAUAUUUUGGAGCUUUUCCAAUUCUUUUUCCCAUGUUUCUUUGCCCCUUGAACUUGGAUUUGCAGCUAAAACUUUUAAAGCCAGAGGGUUUCAUUUACAAUAGGCAAUUAGACUUUGUGAUAGAUCUUUAUAUCCAAUUUUAGGAUGUUUUUCUCUGAAGGAAGGAAAACUGAAUAGCUGAAGAGAUCAGGCUUGUUUAUAUCCCAAUUAGACGUAUAGAACGGAUAUAAUGCAUCUUCAUCGUUAGGUGGAACAGUCUCGUGCCGAUUGACACAGCUGGGACAUUUUCUAUGAAGUUGAAUGGGUUUAUGAGAAGGAAUAGAAUAAGGAGAGGCACAUAUGAGACUUUUAAUCUCAAUCAUUUGUUUUUGAUCAGAGGGUUCAUAAAUAUUCUCAUAUAAGAAAUGCAUUCUCACAGUAUAUGCCAAUGCAGCGGCCGGGGUUCGAACCCUGCACACCCCACUUCUCCACAUUUAUAUGCGUGAGCUCUAGCCACUAGGCUACUUGACCAACAAAAUAAAAGAGAAUCAAUUGUAUGAUGGAUAGUGCAGAUAUAAAAAUUGUGUGAAUAGUGUAUGCAGGGCAGGGUACAAGCAUAUGAUGACUUCGAUGGUUCAUUUCUCAGAAUAAUUGGGCCUGUUUAUUUUUAAAAAAAUUAUUUUUUCAUUGUUCGUUUCCUAAAAUUUAUGUUCAUUUCCAAAUCUAAGAUGCAAUGAAGAUUGAUUCAAUAGCAAAAACAGGUUCAAGUCAAGGGUUCGCAAAUGAAGAUUGAUACAAAUCAUAAGUAUUUUGAUUUGAAUCAAGGUAGAAAUGAUUCGAACCCUUUUUCUUUUUAAACAGUUUUGAUUUGAAUCAGAAGUUUGAAACACAGGGAGAAUAAACCCGAGAAUCAUGAUGAAAUCAAAAUUAAGAAGGAUAAAUUUGAUUCGAAUCAAAGCUUCAAAAAUGAAGUUAAAACUGAGGUGCAUAAUGAUUCAAUUAAAAAAUAUCCUGGACAAAAUUGAUUCGAAAUAUAAAUUUUACUCAAAACAGGGAGUGACACACAGGGUAUGAGAGAUUUAGACUAUAGGGUGUUUUCCAAACUAAGCUAAGACAAUAUAACAAAAACUACAUGAUUCAAACUAAACAUCAUCAAAACCAAGCCCAAAGGAUUAAGGUAGCAACUACACUAAGUACGAUAUUUUGGUUGUUAGACCUUCACUUGGACAAUUCUCCUCAACGGACACUUGUAACGACCUCUGGGUUGCCUUCAUGGUAUGGGCUCGCCAUGCGUUUGAUCAAGUUGGUCUUGGGUCCUAACCUUGAUUGGACCUUGGCCAAGUCCCAAACAGCUUCCCCCAAAACUAUAAGUUGAUGGAGUCAGAUUAUAGCUUGUUUUAAGCUUUCCAGAGUGCGGCCUGUGAAAGAGGGGGACCACUUUGUGUGAUCAUGAUCGAUGUGUUUUGGUGUCACGACCUUGGCAGCCCUCCUAUGACUUUCGGCCUCUCUACUUCACGGGCCUGGUGGUUUGUGGUGGAGAAAGUUGUUGCCUUUGUUUGGGCCACUAGAGCUUGUUGUAUCUAUUGUUUUGUUUUGUCAACCCAAACGUGACAUUUUGCGGACACUCUCCUGAGUGUUUCAUUAAACCUAUUCAAAGAAGUAUAGUUUUCGUGUACUCUUCUCUUUUAAAAAAAUAAAAUUAAAUAAAAAAUAUGGAAUCGAGAGUGAUAUAAGUUUGUUUUACUACGAUCUUAUAUUCAUUCCCAAUACCAAGUUACCCUUGUUAUUCCACUUCUAUUAUAUCACUACUCUUCAGUAUUUAAAUGAUGAAUUUAAUACCAGAACAAAAGAUGUUUUUACUUGUAUUAUUCUUGUGACCCUCUUAGCAAGUGCCUCAACAAAAGACCUGCCCAAUAUGUUUUUUGAGCACAAAGUUAUUACAAUACACCGAGCAUUAUUCACUUGAAGGAUUAAAAUUUUCUAUUAAAUAAAAAUUACCGGAUGUAUAAUUAUAAAGUCGGAUUGAACAAGAAGGUUGUUCCUCUUUGCAUGAAUAGGAAGGUUGUUCCUGGUUAUCUUCAUCUUCAUUGUUAGAGCUUCUGACUUCACCUCCACUUGCUCUACUUUGUAACCAAUCAAGAUAAUCUUCCAACUCGUCAGAGUUUUGAGCACUGCAUUUUAAUUCAACAAUUUCCUUACUAAUGCUACUGCUACCAUCCAACUCCAACGUACUUACGUUCUAAAGCAUAUACAGGUAAGACCCCACACCGUUUUAUCCCCUCCGUUGACCACCGCAAUAGUUUCUUGUGACCUUGAAGUAGAAACUGAAAUGAUAAGUUGCAAAAAUCAUAACUUCCACUAUCUUGUCUGUUGUGAACAUGCUAGCAUACCAAUACAUGAUCAGUAAUGAAUAUCCCAAGAUAACUGUCACUAAUACGACGUCUGUCAGCUUCUUAGCCAUUUUCAAAGAUAAUACAGUGAACGGCAUGGUGGUAAACAUUAAAGCCCUCAGAAAGAAUGAUGCAAAAUAUAAAACUGCACCAAUCAGAUUUUGGAAUAGGAGGAAUAAUUAUUGAAGCCUCUAUUGUCUGAAAAUCAAAGAUGCAUGCAAUGGAGUCUUCAGAGAAGGUUUGUAACAUGUUAUUAAAAAAUGACGGUUGAAUGGAGUAUGUGUCCAUAUAAGUGCAAUUAACGGCUCUCAAAUAUAACAGGGAUGGUGGAAGCUCUGUUAGAGACACAAGUUUCCUGCAAUCAUCUAAAUCAAGUCAUUCUAGCAUUGAAUGGUUUUGGAUGUUGUCAGGGAGAACUUAUAAGUUGCAACACUCUUUCAAUUUUAGUCCUUUUAAAGACUGUAUGCCAUCAAGGAUGGACCACAGUUUUAAUGUAUUGAUUUCUGUGCACUCAGAAAGGUCUAGUUCUUUAACAGAUCUCAGUCCAUGAUCAUUGGAUAACUUAUUCCCAGCAUUGUUCAGCUUGUUACAUUCAGUUAGAUCAAGAAAAGUAAGUUUGCUAUUACGCCAAAUCGAUGAAGGCAAUUCAUGUAUAGCAGUGCCAUGUAAGGACAAAUGUAUCAUUUUCUCUGAUGUUACUGAAAAUUCAAUGAGAGAUGAACAGCCAUCAAGUAAGAGUUUCCAGAGGGAUUUUGAAUGAAAUUUUGGAGCUUUUUCAAUUCAUUUUUGCAUGCUUCCUAGCUCCUUGAACUCGGAUUUUCACCUAAAACUUUUAUAGCCAGAUGAUUGCCUUUGCAAUAGGCAAUUACACUUUCUGAUAGAUCUUCAUAUCCAGUUUUAGGAUGUUUUUCUCAGAAGAUAGUCAAACUCAAUAGAUGAAGAGAAUCAUGUUUAGCAUAAGAUCUUUUAUUUGCUCUAAGGUUUCUCUACACUAUCCAGCACAAUGAAAGAUUCUUUACGUGCAAUCCUUCUCACAGACAAAGGGGUUUCUACGUGCAAUAAUUCUCACUCUGUUUUUUAUUUUUUAUUUUUUUCUUCUUUCUAAUCCUUUGAAUAUCUCCAGGUUCUUACUUUAUUGAAGGAAAUGUAACAUGAAGAAAAAUUUGAGGAAAGAAAAGUUAGGUCUCAUCCUCAAAGAGUAAGAACGUAGUCCAAAUUUUAUGGCAAAUUACACCCUAUGUCCAUUAACUUUUCAUCAGUAAGAAUCUUGUCAUGCACGAGUCUUCAAAUAAGCAAAGACUUUGAGAGAGGGAUAUCUUUGCUCCAAAUUCGGAGCAUUGCGUUUUUUAAAAGAAUAAGUAUCUUUUGAAGCUAAAUUGCCUUUCCAAAUCAAAGAAUCUUUACAUUCUUCGGUCUUCAGCAGGAAUAGUAAUUUGCAGCAUAAGCAAGCUAAUAGUAGGGAACAUCAGGAGGAAUGUUCCAGUAAAAAUUGGUGAUAUAGUCAGAAACUUUUGAAGGGAAAGUAUUGAUAUAUAUUUUUUUCUUUUAAAUAAGAUUAAUAUUUGUCCUUGAUACAUAAUAAAAAAAUAAAAACACAAGACAAUUAUGCAUAAAAAAUUGGAUAAAUAUUUUUCCUUGACAAAAGAUAGAAAUACUUCCUUGUACUUGAAGCUUCUCAUUCCAAGCAAGGAAUUUCACUACGUCAACACAUUUUGUUUGCAAACUCAUGCUUACUUUGCUCAAAACCCAUCUCAACAUCCUUUGACCCCUCCAUGAAUUUACAAAAACAUCAUAGAUCGAUAUCAACAGUCUAAUGCAUAAACGGAUAUCGCAAUGAAGUAUUGUGCGAGAAAGAAUGAGACAGACAACGUUUCUGACUAUUAUAAUUCUUUGGACACUCAAUAAAAUACAGCCGGUCAUUAUUUUCUAGAAUCAUGAGAGUUUUAAAACAAUUCUUCAAUUGAAGGAUUUAAAUCUUUCAAUAAAAUAAGCUAACGUGGAAGGUAUGAUUGAAAAGUGGAAAUUAUAUAGUGCUACAAUCAAAGUAACUAACUCGCUACUAACUAGAAAUUACACAAACUUGGGUCUAAUUACUUUGCGCCUGCGUCUAACAUAUACAUGUUUAAUAGGAGGUCUACGAAUAGAAGGUUGUUCCUCUUCUUUGUGAGAAUAAGAAGGUUGUUCCUGGUCAUAUUCAUUUUCAUUGUUUGAGCUUCUUCCUUCACCUCCAAUUGCUAUAGACACAUCAGAGUCUUGAGCAAUGGAUUUUAAUUUACCAAUUUCCUUACUAAUGCAACUACUCAUAUAUACCUUCCUUACAGGGAAGACCCCACACCCCUUUAUCCCCUCUGUUGACCACCACAGUUCUUCAUUGGGACCUUGAAGUAUGAAUUGAAAUGAUAAGUUACAAUCAUAACUUCCACUUUCUUGUAUGUUGUAACCAUGCCAACACAUCAAUACAUGAUCUGAAAUUAAUGUCCCGAGAUAAUUGAGACUAAUGCGACGUCUGUCGACUUCUUUUCCACAUUCAAAGAUGAUACAAUAAAGGACAUGGCGGUUAAUAGUGAAGCCCUCAGAAAAAAGGAUGCAAAAUAUGAAACCACGCAAGACAGAUUUAGUAAUAGGAAGAAUAGUUAUUGAAGCCUCGAUUGUCUGCAAAUCAAUGUCUAAUGGAACUUGUGCUCCUGGCAGGAAAAAGAAAAAAUCGAUAUCACCUUCAUUUUCCAAGAAAUUUGGUGUCAUGUUGUCAAAGAAUGACCGCUGUGUAGUGUAUGUGUCCAGAUAAGUGCAAUUAACGGCUUUAAAAUCUAACAAGGAUGGCGGAAGCUCUGUCAGAGACACAAGUUUCCUGCAAUCAUCCAAUUCAAGCCAUUCAAGCAAUGAAUGCUUUCCCAUGUUCUCUGGGAGACACUCUAAGUUGACACACUCAUUCAAUUUUAGCCGUUUUAAAGACUGUAUACCAUCAAGUAUGGACCACAGACUUGAUGCAUUGAUUUCUGUGCACCCUGAAAGGUCUAGCUCUGUAACAGACCCCAGUCCAUGAUCAUCUGUUAACUUAUUCCCAACAAUAGUAAGCUUGUUACAUCCAGCUAGGUCAAGAACAGUAAGUUUGGUAUUAUGCCAAAUCGAUGAAGUCAAUUCAUGUAUAGAAGUGUCACAUAAGGAUAAUUUUGUCAUUUCCUCCGAUGUCAUUGAAAAUUCUGUGAGAGAUGAACAACCAUUGAGUAAGAGUUGACAAAGAGAUUUUGAAUGAAUGUUUGUUUUAAGGCUUUCAAUACUUAUGCAACCUCUUAAGUCUAGAUAUUGAAGUUGAGGGAGAGAAAAGAUGGAUGGAUGGAGUUGACGCAAGCUUUCACAUUCCGAGAGAAGUACAAUAGCAAGAUUUGUAGCCCUAGAUAAGUCUGGGAUCUCAAUCAGAUCUUUGGAGGAUUCAAGCCAAAGUGUUCUUAGAUUCACAAGAUUCUGUAACAAGAAAUAAACAUCCAUGAGUGUUGAUUAAAAGAGAAACAAAACCUAGUUAAACAUCCUAGCUCUGCUGCAAUUUUGUGAAAAACAUUUGUACCUGAACUCCAUCCCAGAGCUUUUUAAGCUUGCUUUGAGCCAUGCAAAGCUCUACAAGCAUUUCAGCACAAAAAGUUGAUGGCAAAGACUCAAGACAAUAUCUUUUCCAUCGAAGAUACCUCAAUUUAUCAGAAAUCCACUCAAGACCGUCAGGAAAGUACACAUUGCCUGUGCUCCCAUCAGAUUCAUUAUAGAUAUUAAGAUAUCUUAAGUUUGUCAUCCUUCUAAAGGAAUCAGACUUCAAGUAAAUAUCCCCAACAUCCGUACUAUCGAAUAUUAUACCUUCCACAACUUCAGUUCCCUGACAAAUAAAAAUUAGAUUAAUAAUUAGGAAAGGCUGUCAUGUGUACUUUCCUCGUUAUAUUUUAUAAUCACAUACAUGUUUUUUCGUAUAGAAAUGAUUGCAUUCUCUAGUUACCUUGUUUUCUUUUAAUAUAUCAGAUAUUUCUUCAGCUCUCCAUAACCGACUUCGUUUUCCAGGUUCUUUAGACUCUUGAUUAACAAUCUCCCAUCCCAUUUCUUGUAACAAAUCAUGCAUAUCUAAACCAUCAAUUUGCAAUUUGGCCAACGAGAGCCAAUUUGAUUUUAUUUGUAUGAGAGCUUUAUCUAGAAGGACUUCUAUCCCACUUUCUGCAAAGAACUCACAAGCUUCCAACAAAUGUAUCACAGCCAUUUUAUUAUCUCCUCUCAACAAGCAUGCAAUAUCUAGAAAUAUGUCCUUUUGAAAAAUAUCUAAGUUAUCAUAACUCAAUUUUAACAUAUUGUUAAUUUCCCCAUUUGGAAUCUUUUCGAGCUUUUUCAAUUCAUCUUCCCAUACUAUUUUGCCUCUUGAACGGAGAUUUUUACCUAAAACUUUUAAAGCCAAAGGGUUGCCUCUGCAAUAGGCAAUUACACUUUCAGAUAGAUCUUCAUAUCCAAUUUUAGGCUGUUUUUCUCCGAAGGCAAACAAACUGAAUAGUUGAAGAGAAUCAUGUUUGUUCAAUUCAUUAAACUCAUAUAUUUCACAAUUACUGAACUGACUUAGUAUGUGCUUAUCUCUAGUUGUAAUGAUGACCCUACUACCCGGUCCCACCCCAUCAAUUAUUUGGAUAAGAUCUUCUAUUUUCUCUAAGGUUUCCAUGCCAUCCAACACAAUGAGAACUUUUUUAUGUGCAAUCCUUCUCACGGAGAAAGAGGAUUCAAUGUAGGAUGCAUCGGGAUGAAUUUUUUCUUCCUCUAACAAUGAAGACAAAAGUUUAUUGUGUAGACCAUUGACUCCAUACUUGUUUGAUUCAUCCAUUACAUAGUGGAAGCAAAGAACUUCAAAUUGGGAAUAAAGUUUACCAAAUAAAGUCCUAGCAAUGGUGGUCUUUCCUAUGCCACCCAUGCCCCAUAUUCCAAUGAUUUUAACAUCAUUUGACCCAAUUUCCAUCAUUGAUUCAAUUUGUUCGUAAUUUUUCUCAAUUCCAACAAGCCCUUUAAUGUCAUAUGGGUAUCUAGGAUUCAGUUUCCGCAAAACAUCUUCAACAAUGGCUUUAAUGAAGUCUGAGUCACUCCUAACAUAUGAAAGAGGGGAAGAAGGUUUGACAUAUCUACUAAAUACAAUAAAAAAACAUCUAUAUGAUUAGAAAUAUAUACAAAAUUUAUAGUCAACAUGAUGGUAGUGGCGUAGUAGAGCAAAAAAGAAGCAAAAAUGAGAUUCGAGGAAAUGAAAUACCAAACACACAGUGCAAUUAAAGUCUAUUUUUUCUAGGAAGUGAAAUCCUAAAGAAAAUUCUAAAAAAAAUAAAAGUUACUGCUAUUAAGAUUUUAGUGGUACAAAUAUAAACAGCCAAAUGGAAGUAAAAAAAAUUGUGAGAUAGUGUAUGAUGACUUUGAUAGUUUUCAGAAGGUCAUCAACUAUGGCCAGGCACAUCAAUGUCAUUGUUCACUUCUCGAAAUAAUUUGGCCUGGUUUACUUUCUAAAAUUAUAUUUCGUCUUCGAUUUCUAAAAUUUAUGUUCAUUUCCAACUACAAAUAUGGAGAUGAAAGACUUAUGAAGUAAAUAAUUGUGCUAUAUUAGAAACAAAACAUUCAAAUGAUAGGAAAUAGUUUAUUGAUUUUACUUGCCUAUAAUUUUGAGAGUCCCAACCAACCAAAUUAGCUGCCUCAGUGAGAGAAUCUUUCCAUUUCUUCAACUUGUCAUUAUUGUGCUUUAAAUCUCGCUUAUGUUUUGCAAAGGCUUGCUUGUAACUCCCGGUCUGCUUCCUCACAUUUGAUGGAUCUAUGUUGUAAAAAACAGGUAUCACAAUCUGUUCCAUAUAUUUCUUGCAUUCAAGAAUCUUUUUGAGCUCAUUCAAGCACCAUUUUGAGGAAGCAUAGUUUUCUGAGAAGAUGACAAUAGAUGCAUGUGACUCCUCAAUGGCUUUGAUGAGUGCUGCCGAGAUCUCAUCUCCUUUUUGAAGCUCAUUGUUGUCUAUAAAGAUUUUAAUUUUCUUUCGGCUCAGAGCGUCAUAAAGAUGGCUAGUGAAGUUUCUGCGAGUAUCCUCACCUCGAAAGCUAAGAAAAACUUCAUAUUUUUUCUUAGGGACCACAUCAGAAGAAGAUAUAGAGGAAAAAGCACUGCUCAUUUUCUCCUCGUGACGAUUAUGAAUUCCGAGUGCCUGUACUAAGCCACUAAUCACAAUGCUACAAUAAAAAAAAGUAAUGUUUAAAUGUGUUCUUGAUACUUUUGACCACACUCAUUCUCGUUGUAAUUAGAGAAACUAGUAGUUAAAUUAAAAUUAAGAAGAAAAAAGAUCAUAACAAAGUCAGAAUCCAGCUUCAUGCAAGAAGACUUUAAAGUCAUAAAUCCCAACAGUAGUAUGGCUUAGCUUCUGCUGGAAUCAAUUUUGGAUGAAAAUUAAUUAAGGAUAAACACACACAAACACUUCAUAUAGAUGUAAUGGGUCAAAAUUAAAAUAUAAAAUAACAAGUGUGGUUAUCCUUGAAGGAAGUUUCGUGGUUUUAUUUUCAGUUUUUCUUUCUUCCUUUGAAUAGUUUCUUUAAAUAAUCAAAUGUGUACGUCGUGGUCUUCUUCAGAAGGUAUGGCCAUCACAUUAUUCUUUAUAACAAACAUACAAAAAAAUAUGACAUUAUGAAUUUGUCAUUAUGUGUGGUCAGAUCAGACGCAUAAUGUGUAAGACGCCGGCUGAAUAAAAUAUGGCAACAAGAGAAUAUUUAGACAAACAAUGAUGCACAUAAUAUAGUGUGAAUCUAAAUAUUUCCUAUAUUAUUAAACUAAAUAGUUGUUACAGGAGGUUCCAUUUCUUUCUAUUUGUUUUUUUACCAAUCAAAUUCAGUAACCUUUAAACAAAUAUCAUAUAGUUGAACGGUGAAUCUUGAACCUUCUUCAUAUGUUCAAUGGUUGGUCCAAUUUAGAAAAUAUUAAUGAAGACCUGCUUUGAUAAAUUAUUUAUUUAAAAACUUAUUUAUAUCCUUUUUUCCUAACAAGGAAUUGAGAUGGCCCCCUUGGGACCUCAUCCCCCAACUCCACCCAUGGCCAACCUUAAAGCUAUGUUUGGAUUGGUAGAGAGUGGUGGAAUGGAAUAGAAUGAAGUUGUAACGCCCACUUUCGUUUAAUUAUUUAUUUAAUCGAGUUUAGGCGAUUAUAUUAUAUUUUUAUAAUAUAUGUGUGAGUUUUGUUGAUUUAAGAUGAUUUAAGUUGAUUUGGAUGAUUUGAUGUGUUUUGAUGAUUUGAUAAGAUUAUGAGACUUAUUUUAUUGUUAAAUAAAAUAAGAUUUGAUAAGAAAAUAAAAAUNUCGACUAUGCGACUAUGCAACUUAGACCUCUUAUAUGCAUGUGGUACCAAUUCAGGGCAUGAGCCCCCAUCGCUAUUUGAGUAUUAAUAUACUUCCAGGGCAUGAGCCCCCAUCGCUAUUUGAGCUAAAGCUCCAUCGUGUUGAGUACAAAGCUCUAGGGCAUGAGCCCCCAACAAAUGUAUGCUAAUGCAUGAACUCGAUCUCUUAAACAUCAAAAUCAUCAUCUCUUAUUUAUCCAAUAAUUUGGAGGUUCAACAUCAUCUUGAUCAUCUUAUACUGACUCAUGCAACUUGGUUAAUUAACAAUAGCAACAUAGACAGAUUACAACAACAGCGUGACAUCAUACAACGAUAUCAAUUAAAAGCAAGCAUCAUCUCAAUCAUUCAUUCAUAAUUCAAGUAAUGUAAUUAAACAUUAUAUCACAUCAUAUUCAACACUAACAUCUCAUAACAGCUUCACAGAUUGCAGUUAACUUCUAAAAUAGGUAACAAUACUACCCAAGGGUCCAUCUCUAAUCAAAUUAUGCGACACAGAUCGCAAUAUCCUCACUUGCACUAAGUUCUGGAAGUGCUCGCGAGGCGAGAGCAUCUGCUCGCCAUGGCGAGUACAAGCAAGAUUCCCAACAAUGGUUGUUCUAGGUUAAACCAGGUUCAAUCUCAUUCUAAGUUAUCAUUUAAUCUUUAAUAGGCAUCUUCAGGCACUCAUAAUAUCUAAGGUUCAACUCAAAAGUCAAAAUUACGAAUUCUUGCAUGCUCUUUGGUCAUGCUCGCUAUGGCGAGUUCAGUUGUUCGCUGUGGCGAGCUGCGACGUGCAACUCGCGAGGCGAGGAAAAUUGGCUCGCGUGGCGAGCGAUGAACUUCAUCACUCGCGGGGCGAGGAUUAUCGUUCGCGAGGGCGAACGAUGAAUAUAGGCUCGGGGAGAAGUGCAGUUUUUACGAAAAUUCAUCUACUCUCUUGGUUUAAAGCCUAAUUUCAAUCCCAGAAUCCAUCCUAUUCAUAAUUUAGGGUCUAAGGACGGUUUAUGCAUCAAUCUAACAACUUAUCAUCAUUGGAUCAUCAAUUUCACCUAUUAACCCUAAUUUCAUAAACUUCUCAAUUCAAUCCUAACUUGUUAAUUUGACUAUCAGAAUUACAUGGAUUAAUAAAACUGGAUCGUUAGUCUCACCCUUACCUUAGUUUGAAGAAAUCGCAGCCUCUCCCUUGACUUCUCCCUUUUUUGGCUUUUUCUCCCUUUUUCCAAAAUUGAUCGUACGUACAAAGUGUUUCUAAAACCUUGGUCUUUCCUUUUUAUAACUCCUCCUAUUAUCUUAUCUUAUCUCUCUUUCUUCCCCAAAACUCUCUAAAAUAUAAAAACAGCCCCUAACUAAAUAUUUUAUUUUAUUUUCAAAUCUUAUUUUAUUAAACAACAAAAUAAGUCUCAUCUCCUCAUAAAAAUCAUCACAUCACAUAAAUCAUCUAAAAUCAUCGUAAAUCAUCUAAAUCAUCAUAAAUCACACAUAUAUUAUAUAAAUAUAAUAUAACUCGUCUAGACUCAAUUAAAUAAUUAAUUAAUUAAAAUUGGGCGUUACAGACUCCACCAUCUUAAAUAAGUAGAGUUGUUGCUUAAGGAGUUGCCUAUGAGCCAAAGAUUUGGUCAUAUACAAUGACUCAAAAUUUGACCAUAUCGACGCCGCGGUAGGUUCCUUCGCGACAUCCCUCAAAACUUUGUCCCCGAGGUACAAGACAAUGUCACUCCUAGCAUUGUCCACCAUCUCGGUCUUCUCGGCUUGUGUCAUGGUGACCGAAAACGCACAUUCACCCUUCAAAUCUUUCUCACACUUUUGUUAUAUCAACAGCGCUUGUAUCUUCACCUACCAUACCCCAAAAUCGUUGCUUCCGGUGAACUUCUCAACAUCCCACUUUGAACCCAUGGUACUCAGUAAACCAAUUCACUCCUUUGCUCCACGGUGGACGCCAAUUGUUGUGAAUUCGGACACAAAACUCACAUCAAUACAAACUAUGAUGUGUGGAUCAAAGGAAAGUAGUAACAUAUAUCAAAGUGAACACAAGCAACAAAAAUAUUAACAACACCUAGAUCUAAUCUAGUAAUCAAAGUAAAAAAAACUCAAAACCACAAGCAAAAGAUAAAGAGAGAAUAUAAACAAACACACCAAAGAUUGUUGACCCAAUUCGUUCCAACUUGACCUAAUUUGGGGGAGAGAUUUAUCUCUCCAAUCCAUUAUCUAAGAGUUCUUACAAAGUGAUACAAAUGGGUUAUACGAAAUUAGCUUAAACAAGCUCACAAAGAAUAAACAUAAUUUCUACCCAUUUUCCAAAUUUCACUAAUGAACAAGACACUCAAUGAUUUUCACUCACUCAAGGUGUUUACAAUGUUUUCCAACCCAAGAGAACCUCACUACAAAGACACUCAACCCUAAAGUUCUCUCCUUUGCAAUCCCAAGUUUCUCUCUCUUCAGCUCUCCUUCAAAAAACUGCAAAGAAACACUUAUAUAGCAGUCUUCAGCUGUCAAAUUGUGUCACGUUUUGCCAAAUCGUGACACGGUUGGUGUGAACAACCCAAGGUACGACCAAACUUAUCUUGAAAACGUAUCAAGCAACAUAAAAAUUGUGACACGUUUUUCCAAAAUUGUGUCACGAUUGGACACCCUGCAAAACAUGCUCUCGACAUUGCGAAAUCGUGACACGCUUCACAAAUUGUGUCACGAUUUCAAGUUUUCCUAUCUUCACAAUUGGAAGGAAAAUCCAACAAUAAUCAUUGUUGAACGGCUUAUAUUAUCUUACUAAUCCCAGUGAAAACGAUAUAAAUAUACUUACUUUUGAUACUUACAUCAGAUGGAAAGCCCCUUUACUCUGACCUCAUUCAUCCAACAACCUUUAAAUGUGUUUGGAUGUUGGGAAUAGUUUUGUUAGCUUUUGUAAUGGCAGCAUUGAUAAGUGCUCAAAAUGAUCUAAUUUAGGUGUUAGUUUAGGCAUGUUUGAUGAGUUGUUUUACAAAUUAUUGUUAGAAAAGCUUCAAUUAUGUGCCUAAAUGCCAUUUAUGCUUUGCAUGCCUUACUUUACCCUUUUUGUGCAGGAAAAUACAAGCAAGGAGCAAGAAAUGCCAAAAUUCACAAGAAAGUCGCUAUUAGCGAGAUUCUCGCAAAUAGAGAAAAUGGCACAGGGAGUUUCGCCAUCAGCGAAGCUGGGGGCGAAGUCAUAAGAAGGACUUGAAGAAACUCGCCAUUAGCGAAAAAGUCGCUAUUGGCGAAAAACUCAUAGGGAGUUUCGCUAUUAGUGAAACUGGUGGCGAACUUCAGGAAAGUCAAGUGGAUAAGGGACACGUGGAGCAACGCCAUUGGUGAAGAGGCAUAUUUCCCACAUUUCGCUAAUAGUGAAAUAGUUAGCUAUUAACAAAAUUCUGCAGAAGUGCCCAUAUAAAUAGUUUUCUCUUCUUUUUCCAAUGAUUCUAUUAUAUUUUUAUUCAUAUUUUUCUGGUUUUAGAGAGAGACUAGGGCUUUUCUAGAGAGAGAAACACAAAGCAAGGUAGUUAGGAGUACUUUUGAAUAUAUGGUUCUAGCUUAUUUAUUCAAUAUUGUUGAUAUGGACACAUACUUUUGAAUCUAGAAAUAGAAUAACGAUCUAUCUUAAGUUAUCACUCUAGACAUUUUGAUAAUCACUUUUAAUCUAGAACUUAAUUCUUUUGGGUAAUUUAUUCGGUUGGGAAAUCGUCGAUUAAACUAUCCAAUCGACUUUGUGAUCGUUUAAAUGUUUGGGAAAUCGAUGUUUAAACGAUCCCUUAGAAAUAACGAUAUCAUUUGGACACGAAUGAUAUUGUCGAGUGAUUGUGAUAAUUGUAACGCCCGUUUUGAAUUAUUUAAUUAUCUGAUUAUUUAAUUGAGUCUAGAGUUAUUUUAGAUGAGUUUAUAUUAUAUUUAUAUAAUAUAUGAGGGAUUUAUAUGAUUUAUGAGAUUGAGGUGUAGUGACUUAUUUUAUUGUUUAAUAAAAUAAGAUUUGAAAUUAGAAUAAAUAUUGAGAUGUGGGGCUGUUUUGUGAAUUUAAAGAGUUUAGUAGUAUAAGUGGAAUAAGAUAAAAUAGAUAGGAGGAGAUAUAAAUAGGAGAAGACCUAGUUUUAGAAAAACAUUGUACGUACGAUCAUUUUUUGGAAAAAAGGAGAAAAAGCCAAGUGAAGGGAGGAAAGCCUAGAGAGCUGCGAUUUCUUCAUUCUAAGGUAAGGGUGAGACUAGCAUUCAAUUCUAUUAAUUCUGUAAUUCAAUCGGUUGUAAUUGACAAGUGUAGGAUUGGUUUUGGAGAAUUUAAGAAUUAGGGUUAAAGUGAGAAAUUUGAGAUUAAUUGAUGAAAAUUGUUAGAUUGAUGUAGAAACUGUUUACAGACCUUAGAUAAUCCAUAAAAUGAUUAGAGAAAUUAGUUUUGAGCUUUAAACCAUGUGAAUAGGUGAAUUUUCGUGAAAACUGCACUUCUACCCGAGCCGACAUUCAUCGCUCGCCUCCCGAGGGAUGAUCCUCGCCAUAGCGAGUGAUGAGCUUCAUCGCUCGCCUCGCGAGUAACUUCUUCUCGCCUCGCGAGCCAUACCCUGCAGCUCGCCAUAGCGAGUAGUUCACUCGCCAUAGUGAGUGUGACCAGUGAGUCAACAUAAUUUUUGUCGUUUUGUCCCUUAAGUUGAACCUUAGAUGAUUUUGAGUGCCUGAAUAUGUAUAAAAAUGAUUAGGCAAGUUUUUAGAUUGAGAUUGGACCUGGGAAAGUUUAAAAAUGGAUUUUUGAGUGAAAAAUGUCAAAGUUCCCGAGAGCACCCAUUAUUUGUUCGCCAAGGCGAGCAGCUUACUCGCCAAGGCGAAUAGCCAUUUUCUGAACUCGCCAUAGCGAGUAAUAUCCCUCGCCUCGCGAGCUCCUGUAAGACAGAAUGCCUUGUUUAGGUUAAUUGCGAUCUUUAUCGGAUAAGUUGUUAUGAGUUGAACCUUUGGAUAAGUAAUGAGAAAUAUGUAGGAUAUUAAUGAUGAUCUAUGAAUUUGUUAUAUGAUGAUUUGAUGAUAUUUAUAAUGUUAUAUAGAUGGAUAUAUAUUGCAUGAAUUAUGUUUGAUGAUUGAGAUGUUGAUGACGUGCAUGUGUAAUUGUUAUAUAUAAUGCUUAUUAAUAUCGAAUGAUGCUGUUCUGUUGUUGUGAUGAAUAUGAUUUACUUGAUGAUUAAUGAGAGAAUAUUACAUAUUGUGAAUGAUGAUGAUAUGAAGUUGUAAUGAUUGUAUUUGAUGAUUACUGUUGACGUUGACUUGUUGCGAAUUAUUGAUGUUGUUGUCUUGCUGAUGUGAUGUAUUAAUAUCAUUAAGAUGCUAAUGUUGUUUAAGUCAUUUGAGUUAUAAGAUGUCGGCCCAAAUUAUUGGAGUCAUUUGAGAUGUUUAAGUUGUAUGAUGUUGAUCCAAAUUAUUGGAGUCAUAAGAGAUGUCUAAGUUGUUAAGUUGCUAGGAUGUUGAGUCCAUUGCAUAUUCAUAAUCUGAGAUGGGGGAGGGCUUGAUGCUCUAUAAUGUAUAUUUAUACACAAUCUGAGAUGGGAGAGGGCUUGAUGCUCUAGGAGCCUAUUUACGCUCAAUAUGAUUUGAUUGGUACCACAUGCAUGAUUAAGAGGUUGUAGUUGCAUUUUUGUCAAGAAGGUCUAAGAUGAAUAAGAGGUCUAAGUUGCAUUGUUAAGUUGAAGUUGUGUCUGAAGGUGAAAAACACAAGAAGGGGGGGUUGAAUUGUGUUUUCUUUUUCUCUUAAAAAAUACUUCUUCUGAUAAAACNGUUUAAGUUAUUUGGUUAAAUUGUUAUUUAACUGAUUUGGAUUAUGUUAAAUGUGAUAUCCCGUUUGUUUAUGUGGUUUACUCUGAUAAAUGUUUAAAAAAAAUUUAUAUUGGGAAAACGGGGUGUUACAAUUGGUAUCCGAGCAGGUCGGUCCGUCUGGUCAAUUAGAAGAGUCUUGUCGAGUCUUAGUAAUAUUUGUAUUAUUAUCUUAUGUUUUUGUUGCUGCUAUUUGUUGUAGAAUAUCAGAAAUGGCUAGAUGGAACGAUGCUGCGUUAGCUGCUGCUCUACAAGCUGUUGCCCAUGCUGUGGGACAACAACCUAACGCAAAUGCUGGUGUGAAUGCUGAGACCAGGAUGUUGGAGACCUUCAUGAGGAAUCAUCCUCCAACUUUCAAAGGAAGAUAUGACCCCAAUGGAGCCCAGACGUGGCUAAAAGAGAUUGAAAGGAUUUUCCGUGUGAUGCAGUGCACCGAGGUCCAGAAAGUACGAUUUGGUACUCAUCAGCUAGCUGAGGAGGCUGAUGAUUGGUGGGUUAGUCUGCUACCUAACCUUGAGCAAGAUGGAGCUGCUGUGACUUGGGCUGUGUUCAGGAGAGAGUUCCUGAGAAGAUACUUUCCAGAAGAUGUUCGCGGGAAGAAGGAGAUCGAGUUCCUUGAGCUGAAACAAGGGAACAUGUCUGUGACAGAGUAUGCUGCCAAAUUUGUGGAGUUGGCAAAGUUCUAUCCGCACUAUGCUGCUGAGACUGCUGAGUUCUCGAAAUGCAUCAAGUUCGAGAAUGGUUUGAGGCCCGACAUCAAGAGGGCAAUCGGAUACCAACAGCUCCGAGUUUUCCCUGAUUUAGUGAAUACCUGCAGAAUCUACGAGGAGGAUACUAAGGCUCAUGACAAGGUUGUGAAUGAGCGGAAGACCAAGGGCCAAUAGAGUCGCCCUAAGCCUUAUAGUGCCCCUGCUGAUAAGGGCAAACAGAGAAUGGUCGAUGAUAGGCGGCCUAAGAAGAAGGAUGCUCCUGCGGAGAUUGUCUGUUUCAACUAUGGCGAGAAAGGCCACAAGAGUAAUGUUUGUCCUAAAGAGAUCAAGAAAUGUGUCCGGUGUGACAAGAAGGGUCAUAUUGUAGCUGAUUGCAAGCGAAAUGAUAUUGUGUGCUUCAAUUGCAACGAAGAGGGUCAUAUUGGUUCCCAAUGCAAGCAGCCUAAGAGGGUGCCUACUACGGGUCGAGUUUUUGCUCUGGCUGGUACUCAGACANNNNNNNNNNNNNNNNNNNNNNNNNNNNNNNNNNNNNNNNNNNNNNNNNNNNNNNNNNNNNNNNNNNNNNNNNNNNNNNNNNNNNNNNNNNNNNNNNNNNNNNNNNNNNNNNNNNNNNNNNNNNNNNNNNNNNNNNNNNNNNNNNNNNNNNNNNNNNNNNNNNNNNNNNNNNNNNNNNNNNNNNNNNNNNNNNNNNNNNNNNNNNNNNNNNNNNNNNNNNNNNNNNNNNNNNNNNNNNNNNNNNNNNNNNNNNNNNNNNNNNNNNNNNNNNNNNNNNNNNNNNNNNNNNNNNNNNNNNNNNNNNNNNNNNNNNNNNNNNNNNNNNNNNNNNNNNNNNNNNNNNNNNNNNNNNNNNNNNNNNNNNNNNNNNNNNNNNNNNNNNNNNNNNNNNNNNNNNNNNNNNNNNNNNNNNNNNNNNNNNNNNNNNNNNNNNNNNNNNNNNNNNNNNNNNNNNNNNNNNNNNNNNNNNNNNNNNNNNNNNNNNNNNNNNNNNNNNNNNNNNNNNNNNNNNNNNNNNNNNNNNNNNNNNNNNNNNNNNNNNNNNNNNNNNNNNNNNNNNNNNNNNNNNNNNNNNNNNNNNNNNNNNNNNNNNNNNNNNNNNNNNNNNNNNNNNNNNNNNNNNNNNNNNNNNNNNNNNNNNNNNNNNNNNNNNNNNNNNNNNNNNNNNNNNNNNNNNNNNNNNNNNNNNNNNNNNNNNNNNNNNNNNNNNNNNNNNNNNNNNNNNNNNNNNNNNNNNNNNNNNNNNNNNNNNNNNNNNNNNNNNNNNNNNNNNNNNNNNNNNNNNNNNNNNNNNNNNNNNNNNNNNNNNNNNNNNNNNNNNNNNNNNNNNNNNNNNNNNNNNNNNNNNNNNNNNNNNNNNNNNNNNNNNNNNNNNNNNNNNNNNNNNNNNNNNNNNNNNNNNNNNNNNNNNNNNNNNNNNNNNNNNNNNNNNNNNNNNNNNNNNNNNNNNNNNNNNNNNNNNNNNNNNNNNNNNNNNNNNNNNNNNNNNNNNNNNNNNNNNNNNNNNNNNNNNNNNNNNNNNNNNNNNNNNNNNNNNNNNNNNNNNNNNNNNNNNNNNNNNNNNNNNNNNNNNNNNNNNNNNNNNNNNNNNNNNNNNNNNNNNNNNNNNNNNNNNNNNNNNNNNNNNNNNNNNNNNNNNNNNNNNNNNNNNNNNNNNNNNNNNNNNNNNNNNNNNNNNNNNNNNNNNNNNNNNNNNNNNNNNNNNNNNNNNNNNNNNNNNNNNNNNNNNNNNNNNNNNNNNNNNNNNNNNNNNNNNNNNNNNNNNNNNNNNNNNNNNNNNNNNNNNNNNNNNNNNNNNNNNNNNNNNNNNNNNNNNNNNNNNNNNNNNNNNNNNNNNNNNNNNNNNNNNNNNNNNNNNNNNNNNNNNNNNNNNNNNNNNNNNNNNNNNNNNNNNNNNNNNNNNNNNNNNNNNNNNNNNNNNNNNNNNNNNNNNNNNNNNNNNNNNNNNNNNNNNNNNNNNNNNNNNNNNNNNNNNNNNNNNNNNNNNNNNNNNNNNNNNNNNNNNNNNNNNNNNNNNNNNNNNNNNNNNNNNNNNNNNNNNNNNNNNNNNNNNNNNNNNNNNNNNNNNNNNNNNNNNNNNNNNNNNNNNNNNNNNNNNNNNNNNNNNNNNNNNNNNNNNNNNNNNNNNNNNNNNNNNNNNNNNNNNNNNNNNNNNNNNNNNNNNNNNNNNNNNNNNNNNNNNNNNNNNNNNNNNNNNNNNNNNNNNNNNNNNNNNNNNNNNNNNNNNNNNNNNNNNNNNNNNNNNNNNNNNNNNNNNNNNNNNNNNNNNNNNNNNNNNNNNNNNNNNNNNNNNNNNNNNNNNNNNNNNNNNNNNNNNNNNNNNNNNNNNNNNNNNNNNNNNNNNNNNNNNNNNNNNNNNNNNNNNNNNNNNNNNNNNNNNNNNNNNNNNNNNNNNNNNNNNNNNNNNNNNNNNNNNNNNNNNNNNNNNNNNNNNNNNNNNNNNNNNNNNNNNNNNNNNNNNNNNNNNNNNNNNNNNNNNNNNNNNNNNNNNNNNNNNNNNNNNNNNNNNNNNNNNNNNNNNNNNNNNNNNNNNNNNNNNNNNNNNNNNNNNNNNNNNNNNNNNNNNNNNNNNNNNNNNNNNNNNNNNNNNNNNNNNNNNNNNNNNNNNNNNNNNNNNNNNNNNNNNNNNNNNNNNNNNNNNNNNNNNNNNNNNNNNNNNNNNNNNNNNNNNNNNNNNNNNNNNNNNNNNNNNNNNNNNNNNNNNNNNNNNNNNNNNNNNNNNNNNNNNNNNNNNNNNNNNNNNNNNNNNNNNNNNNNNNNNNNNNNNNNNNNNNNNNNNNNNNNNNNNNNNNNNNNNNNNNNNNNNNNNNNNNNNNNNNNNNNNNNNNNNNNNNNNNNNNNNNNNNNNNNNNNNNNNNNNNNNNNNNNNNNNNNNNNNNNNNNNNNNNNNNNNNNNNNNNNNNNNNNNNNNNNNNNNNNNNNNNNNNNNNNNNNNNNNNNNNNNNNNNNNNNNNNNNNNNNNNNNNNNNNNNNNNNNNNNNNNNNNNNNNNNNNNNNNNNNNNNNNNNNNNNNNNNNNNNNNNNNNNNNNNNNNNNNNNNNNNNNNNNNNNNNNNNNNNNNNNNNNNNNNNNNNNNNNNNNNNNNNNNNNNNNNNNNNNNNNNNNNNNNNNNNNNNNNNNNNNNNNNNNNNNNNNNNNNNNNNNNNNNNNNNNNNNNNNNNNNNNNNNNNNNNNNNNNNNNNNNNNNNNNNNNNNNNNNNNNNNNNNNNNNNNNNNNNNNNNNNNNNNNNNNNNNNNNNNNNNNNNNNNNNNNNNNNNNNNNNNNNNNNNNNNNNNNNNNNNNNNNNNNNNNNNNNNNNNNNNNNNNNNNNNNNNNNNNNNNNNNNNNNNNNNNNNNNNNNNNNNNNNNNNNNNNNNNNNNNNNNNNNNNNNNNNNNNNNNNNNNNNNNNNNNNNNNNNNNNNNNNNNNNNNNNNNNNNNNNNNNNNNNNNNNNNNNNNNNNNNNNNNNNNNNNNNNNNNNNNNNNNNNNNNNNNNNNNNNNNNNNNNNNNNNNNNNNNNNNNNNNNNNNNNNNNNNNNNNNNNNNNNNNNNNNNNNNNNNNNNNNNNNNNNNNNNNNNNNNNNNNNNNNNNNNNNNNNNNNNNNNNNNNNNNNNNNNNNNNNNNNNNNNNNNNNNNNNNNNNNNNNNNNNNNNNNNNNNNNNNNNNNNNNNNNNNNNNNNNNNNNNNNNNNNNNNNNNNNNNNNNNNNNNNNNNNNNNNNNNNNNNNNNNNNNNNNNNNNNNNNNNNNNNNNNNNNNNNNNNNNNNNNNNNNNNNNNNNNNNNNNNNNNNNNNNNNNNNNNNNNNNNNNNNNNNNNNNNNNNNNNNNNNNNNNNNNNNNNNNNNNNNNNNNNNNNNNNNNNNNNNNNNNNNNNNNNNNNNNNNNNNNNNNNNNNNNNNNNNNNNNNNNNNNNNNNNNNNNNNNNNNNNNNNNNNNNNNNNNNNNNNNNNNNNNNNNNNNNNNNNNNNNNNNNNNNNNNNNNNNNNNNNNNNNNNNNNNNNNNNNNNNNNNNNNNNNNNNNNNNNNNNNNNNNNNNNNNNNNNNNNNNNNNNNNNNNNNNNNNNNNNNNNNNNNNNNNNNNNNNNNNNNNNNNNNNNNNNNNNNNNNNNNNNNNNNNNNNNNNNNNNNNNNNNNNNNNNNNNNNNNNNNNNNNNNNNNNNNNNNNNNNNNNNNNNNNNNNNNNNNNNNNNNNNNNNNNNNNNNNNNNNNNNNNNNNNNNNNNNNNNNNNNNNNNNNNNNNNNNNNNNNNNNNNNNNNNNNNNNNNNNNNNNNNNNNNNNNNNNNNNNNNNNNNNNNNNNNNNNNNNNNNNNNNNNNNNNNNNNNNNNNNNNNNNNNNNNNNNNNNNNNNNNNNNNNNNNNNNNNNNNNNNNNNNNNNNNNNNNNNNNNNNNNNNNNNNNNNNNNNNNNNNNNNNNNNNNNNNNNNNNNNNNNNNNNNNNNNNNNNNNNNNNNNNNNNNNNNNNNNNNNNNNNNNNNNNNNNNNNNNNNNNNNNNNNNNNNNNNNNNNNNNNNNNNNNNNNNNNNNNNNNNNNNNNNNNNNNNNNNNNNNNNNNNNNNNNNNNNNNNNNNNNNNNNNNNNNNNNNNNNNNNNNNNNNNNNNNNNNNNNNNNNNNNNNNNNNNNNNNNNNNNNNNNNNNNNNNNNNNNNNNNNNNNNNNNNNNNNNNNNNNNNNNNNNNNNNNNNNNNNNNNNNNNNNNNNNNNNNNNNNNNNNNNNNNNNNNNNNNNNNNNNNNNNNNNNNNNNNNNNNNNNNNNNNNNNNNNNNNNNNNNNNNNNNNNNNNNNNNNNNNNNNNNNNNNNNNNNNNNNNNNNNNNNNNNNNNNNNNNNNNNNNNNNNNNNNNNNNNNNNNNNNNNNNNNNNNNNNNNNNNNNNNNNNNNNNNNNNNNNNNNNNNNNNNNNNNNNNNNNNNNNNNNNNNNNNNNNNNNNNNNNNNNNNNNNNNNNNNNNNNNNNNNNNNNNNNNNNNNNNNNNNNNNNNNNNNNNNNNNNNNNNNNNNNNNNNNNNNNNNNNNNNNNNNNNNNNNNNNNNNNNNNNNNNNNNNNNNAUUGAUGAUGAUUGAAGUUGUGAUUAUGUGAUAAUUGUUUAUCAAAGAUGCAAUGUUGAUUAAGACUGAUUAUGAUGUUAAUUAUGAUUUCGAAUUAUAUUGAUUAAAUUAUUGUGUUAUGAAAUCUCACCCCUUCUGCUUGAAAAUGUUGUUUUUCGUAUGAGUAACUUGCAGGUGAUCGUGCUUAGUGUGCAAUUUGCUGUCGUGAGUGGCCUUGCCUCACUGAGUCGUCUAGGUCGCUCUGUUUUGUAACGGGAUGGGGUUUUGAAUAUGCAUGCUUCAUUCUCUUACGUGACAAUUAUGUUAUUUUUAUGACGUUGUUUAACUGUUGAAAUAUUUGAUGGGGCCUACGUGCCAAAGUGAUUUAUGGAUUUCGAAACAAUUUUCCGCUGCAACGUUUAAGUUAUUUGGUUAAAUUGUUAUUUAACUGAUUUGGAUUAUGUUAAAUGUGAUAUCCCGUUUGUUUAUGUGGUUUACGAGAAAUUUUUAUAUUGGGAAAACGGGGUGUUACAGAAGUGGGAUAGAUUCACAUUCUAUUGUUUGGUUUUGUAAAAAAAAGGAAUAGAAUGGAGUGGAGUGUAAUGGAACUCAUUACAUCCAAUACCACCUAUUUAACCAAUUUUCCAAUUCCUCCCAUUGUGGGGUGUAUGCAAUGAAAUGAAACACAUUAAUAACACAAUUACAAUUUUGUCCCUACUUUUGAUUCCCCUAUUUCAUGUAGGAGCCCCUCAUUUCCAUGAUUUUUUCUCUUCACCCUUUCUUAUUUCAUCUUGCUCUCACUAUACGCAUCUACCUAAUGGAAUGGAAAAUUAGUUUCAUUCCAUCAUAAAAUAUCCAAACAAUGGAAUAAAAUAUUUGUUCUAUUUCAUUCCCCAUUUCGCUUCUUUAAUUUUAAGUUAUUCCAACAGCGCCUAAGGUUUUGAGAUGAAGUUUGGACGGGAUGGGAUGUGAGGGAUUUGAGGGUGGGAAAUAUGAGGAAAAAAGAGAUUUUUUUUCUUCACAUUUUUUAAAAGAAUAGUUUUUAGUGAAUGAGAAAUUAAUGUUUAUAAUUAAUAUACUUUUAAUUUUAAGAAUAUUAUAACAACAAAAGUUAAAUUUGAAGAAUUCAUAUAAACCUUUCAAAAUCACCCAAAACCUUUCUUCCAUACAACAUUUUUAGUAAAAAACCCAUGAGACACGGACGCUGUAAACUUAUUUGUCUCUAGUGAUGAGUGCAAUGAGCUAUGAUUUUGUCUUCUCCGCUCAAAGUGAUUUCAACCUUCAAGCCACCAAAAAUCCUCCCGACAUCAAUAAUCCCCCAACCCCCAAGCUCUUCUUUCGUGACAAACUCUUGGGAUCUUCCCAAGAGCUCCAAACUCGUGAAAAAGAGGACAUGAUUGAGAAGAAACUUGUCCGAAUUGAACUGGAAGAUGGUAACCGCCUGUUACCCAAAGUCUAUAUCGAACCAACAGUUUUUCAAGAACUAUGUACGCCUUGGAAGGAUGCAAUAGUUGUGAAGCUUCUAGGAAAGAAUCUCGGAUACAAUACUAUGCGAGACCGCCUGCAAAGGACUUAGAAGCCACAAGGAGGGUUCGAAAUCAUGGAUAACGAUAACGGUUUCUAUAUGGUGAAGUUUGAUUUGGUUGCUGACAAAGAAAAAGUUAUAACAUGAGGUCCAUGGCUCAUUUUUUAUCAUUGCCUUGCUGUUUCACAUUGGUCGCCAGAAUUCGCCUCCCCGAAUGCCAAAGUAGAUCGCACAGUGGUAUGGGUCAGAUUCCCAGGUCUGAACCUUGUAUACUAUGAUGAAAGCUUCCUUUUAGCAAUGGCUUCUGCGAUCGGAAGACCAAUCAAAGUCGACACAAACACACUGAAAGUUGAAAGAGGAAAAUUUGCAAGAGUGUGUGUCGAAAUUGAUCUCACGGUCCCAGUCGUAGGGAAAAUUUGGGUUAAUGGUCAUUGGUAUAAGGUACAAUAUGAAGGUCUUCAUUUGAUUUGCACAAACUGCGGAUGUUACGGACACCUCGGACGAAACUGCACCGCCAAAACAGCCACCGUCAUCCAGCCAUCACCGCCCCUACAUGCUACCGCCGCCAGCAACUCUGCAGUUUCCGAAAGGCUUGACAAGCACAUUCAAUCGCAUUCAAUGCAGGAUUCCCAAAACGGUAACAGCUCAUUUAUUUCUCCUAUUAAUUUGGAAUCUAAUAAUGGGAAAAUAAUUAGCAUUAAUGAGGAGAAUAAGGAACUCCAUGGGGAUUGGUUACUAGUAACCAGGAAGAAGAAAAUCCCAAUCAGCUCACCUUUAACCUCAGCAAAAAACGGAACAAACAAAAAUAACCGUUUCAGUGUACUAUCAAAUUCCACACAGAAAAUUAAACUUGGCCCACAAAACCCUAAGCUUACCACAUGCCCUAAACAUACAGUUGUUGCACGCACUAGUACUAGUAAACAUGAAUCAAAGAGACGGCGCUCAGAAGAAAGUAACCUUGACCAAACUGUCGACCACCCCAUUGACGCUCCUACCAUUGGCCAAGCUCGCACUACCAAGCCUGACAGACCCACGCACAUGAACGACACACACAUGGAAAUUUCAUUCAUCAACAACUCCCCAAGCUCAACAAAUAACCACGACAAACAAACACCUGAGGCCAAACAAAUACUUGAACCGAUCUCCACCAUGCAAAUUUCCACCAGCCAUCAUCCGGAGAUAAAUUUAGAUCUUAACCAUAACCAAUCACCAACCAAAAACAAUGUUUCAAACUAUGAUACCAGUCUUACUAUGUCAAGGCCUAGUGAUGAUCAAGUGAAAAUCAAUGCAGAAAAACAAGACCUCUUGGAGGAGGACAUGGUAACUUAGUCCCUUCCACUCUUGAUCUAUCAAUCUUUCCUUUUAUCAUGGAAGCUCUUUUUGAUACUACUUUCCUCUCUUGGACCAUAAGAGGGGCACUCAGUAAUAAUUCAAGAAGACACUUGAAAGAUUUGAUCAGAAAGCAUCAACCAACAUUCAUAACCAUCCUUGAAACACAUGUUUCUUUUGCUAAACUUUCAGUUUUUUGGUCUAAUAUGGGUUACACACCUGUACACAUCAUAGAAGCUAACGGUCAUUCUGGAGGAAUUUGCCUCUUUCAACAUUCCCCAAGCAACACCACCACCACCGUCCUUGACUCUAACCAAUACUCCAUAACAAUAAAAAUUAGCCGUGGUAAUGUGACCACUUUCUGCACAUGUAUCUAUGCUAGCCCUAACCAUGCCCAACGUCCCAACCUUUGGAACUACCUCAUGUCCAUCGGCCAAGCUAUGGAUGUCCCCUGGAUGCUCAUAGGAGACUUUAAUGAAANCUAACCAUGCCCAACGUCCCAACCUUUGGAACUACCUCAUGUCCAUCGGCCAAGCUAUGGAUGUCCCCUGGAUGCUCAUAGGAGACUUUAAUGAAACUCUUCUCCCUAGCGAACAAAGAGGUGGAAUUUUUCAUCAUAAUAGAGCAGCAAUUUUCUCUAAUAUUAUGAAUAAUUGCAACCUACUAGACCUCACAACAACGGGUGGUCAUUUCACUUGGCAUCGUAACAACAACGGCAUUCGCACCCUCUCCAAAAAACUUGAAAGAUGCAUAGCAAGUGUGGACUGGCGAGUUUCCUUCCCUGAAGCCUUUGUCGAGGUUCUCUGCAGACUCCACUCCGACCAUAACCCUCUCCUCCUCCGCUUUGGUGGACUCCCAUUAGCUCGAGGGCCUAGGCCUUUCCGCUUUGAGGCAGCUUGGAUAGAUCACAAAGAUUAUGCGGAAAUGGUUAAAAAUUCUUGGAUCCAUCAGAACAACAACAUUACAGAUUGCUUAACAACAAUUCAAGAGAAAUCCAUCAAUUUUAAUCAUGAAGUCUUUGGCAACAUUUUCAAAAGGAAGAAACAUGUAGAAAAUAGGCUCAAGGGAGUUCAAAACUAUCUAGAAAGAGUAGACUCAUAUCGACACACUCUCCUUGAAAAAGAAUUGCAGCAAGAAUACAAUCACAUCCUAUUCCAAGAAGAAAUGCUAUGGUACCAAAAAUCCAGAGAACAAUGGGUUAAAUUUGGCGACAAAAAUAGCUCAAUUUUUCAUGCUCAAACUAUCAUAAGAAGAAAGAGAAAUAGAAUCCAUCGACUUCAGCUCCCUAAUGGCAUAUGGUCUUCAGAUAGCACCAUCCUCCAAGAAGAAGCUCAAAAAUACUUCAAAAAUUUCUUUAGUGGCCACCAAUCACCAACCGCCACCAACUUCCAAGAAGCCACUCCAACAACCAUUACCGACAUUGAAAAGAAUUCUCUCACCAAGCCUAUCACCAAAAAUGAAGUUUUUGUAGCCCUCAACUCCAUGAAAACAUACAAAGCACCUGGCACGGAUGGAUUCCAUUGUAUCUUUUUCAAACAAUAUUGGCAUAUAGUUGGAGAUGACAUCUUCCAUAUGGUCCAUAAAGCCUUCCAAACAGGUAACUUUGAUCCGGAGAUUUCAAACACUCUCAUUGCACUCAUUCCAAAAAUCGAAACCCCCACCACUUACAAAGAUUUUAGACCCAUAAGUCUAUGCAACAUAAUCUACAAGAUUAUCACUAAAGUUCUUGUGCAUCGUCUCAGACCUAUCCUCAGUAAUCUUAUUGGCCCUUGCCAAAGCAGAUUUCUGCCUAGUAGGGGAACUUCUGAUAACUCAAUUGUUUUGCAGGAAAUUAUUCACUUCAUGAGGAAAUCAAAGAGGAAGAAAGGUUAUGUUGCUUUCAAGCUAGACUUGGAGAAAGCAUUCGAUAAUGUCAGAUGGGAUUUCCUUAAUUCUUGCCUUCAGGAAUUUGGUUUUCCAGACAUCACCAUCAAGCUCAUCAUACAUUGUGUCACCUCCUCCACAUUCUCAAUAUUAUGGAAAGGUAACAAAAUGCCCCCUUUCAAGCCCACACAUGGUCUCAGACAAGGUGACCCGCUCUCUCCUUAUCUUUUCAUACUAUGCAUGGAAAAGCUUUCCCUUGCUAUUAAUAACGCUGUGAGUCAAGGAAGUUGGGAACCUAUACACAUAACUAAUGGAGGACCCCAGAUUUCUCACCUUCUCUUUGCAGAUGACGUGCUUCUCUUCACUAAGGCAAAAAAUUCACAAUUUCAUUUCAUCAAUGAUUUGUUUAAUAGAUUUAGCAGGGCAUCAGGUUUGAACAUUAAUAUUUCCAAGUCUAGAGCAUUCUAUUCUUCAGGGACACCGCAAGCGAAGAUCAACAAUCUCACUUCCAUUUCUGGCAUUCGAAGCACAACUUCCCUUGGCAAGUACCUAGGUUUCCCCAUGCUUAAGGGCCGCCCCAAAAGAAGUGAUUUCCAAUUCAUUAUUGAAAAAAUGCAAACUCGGUUGGCUUCUUGGAAAAAUCGUCUUCUUAACAGAACAGGUAGACUCGCUUUAGCGACUUCUGUACUAUCUUCCAUACCUUACUACUACAUGCAAAUUAAUUGGCUCCCACAAAACAUUUGUGACUCCAUUGAUCAAACAACUCGCAAUUUUAUAUGGCAUGGUUCAAAUAAUAAAGGAGUUCAUUUGGUAAGUUGGAAGAAAAUUACAACUCCAAAAAGGUAUGGUGGUUUGGGUAUUAGAACAGCUCGAAAAGCUAAUAAUUGACUUCUUGGAAAGUUAGUUUGGGAUAUGGUCCAAUCUACAAACAAGUUAUGGGUGAAACUUCUUUCUGCUAAAUAUACAACAGGGCCUAACGUCCUUCAAGCGAAAGCUUCCGGCAACAAUUCACCUUCAUGGGCAGCUAUCAUUCGUGCAAAAGACAUUUUCAAAAAUGGCUAUUCUUGGAGGCCGGGCUCCGGUUCCUCCUCGUUUUGGUUAAGCAAUUGGUGUCCCCAUGGUCUCCUUGGUUCUUCGGUCCCCAUUAUUGAUAUUCAUGACAUUCACCUUACGGUUAAGGAUGUGAUAAGCUCCAAUGGCCAACACACCGAAUCUCUCUACACUGCCCUUCCUCACUCAAUAGCUGAUGCCGUUAACAAUUAUCGAGCUACCUUCAAUCCAACGGUUGAAGGUGUCUUCAUUUGGAAUCAUAACAAGAACGGUGUUUACUCUACAAAAAGUGGUUACUCUUGGCUUCUCUCCUUCACGGAAUCACCAAACAUUAUCAGCAACAGUAAUUCUUGGUCUUGGAUUUGGACAUUGCAGGUUCCGGAGAAGUACAAAUUUUUGAUUUGGCUGGCUAUGCAUGACGUGGUGCCUACACUUUAUGUGCUUCAUCAUAGAAACAUGGCUGCGACCGCAACUUGUAGUAGAUGCGGGGAAGAUGACGAAUCCUUUAUGCACUGUAUUCGGGACUGCAAGUUUUCGAAACCCAUCUGGCAGAAGCUUAAUUUCUCGGACUCACACUUCUUCUCCAUCAGCUGCGCAAAAGAAUGGAUAAAAAGCAAUGUUGACAGCAGCCGCUCAAUCAUCUUUCUGGCUUCUCUUUGGUGGAUUUGGCUGCACUGCAACAACAUGUGUUUCAAUAACGAGGUCUGGUCUCUCACGCGUUUGAGCAUUAGCAUCCAUAACUCAACAGAAACAAUCACUAAGAGUUUUCAGUCCACUGCCAUUACUGCUGGUCCUGAUCGCUGGAUUUCAUGGAAUAGCAGAAAUUAUAAUUGCCACAUUCUCAAUGUAGAUGGCAGCUGUCUUGGCACUCCAAUACGUGCCGGUUAUGGAGGUUUAAUCCGCAACAACGCGGGGUUUUUUCUAAAGGGGUUUUCCGGUUUUAUUCAGGCAUCAACAUGCAUUCUCCAAGCUGAACUGACCGCAAUUCUUGAAGGUUUUCGCAUGGCGGUGAACAUGGGAAUUGAGGAGUUAGUCUGCUUCUCAGAUUCUCAACUCUCAGUUAAUCUUGUUUCAGGAGAAGUAUCUAGAUUCCAUGCCUACGCGGUGAUAAUCCAAGAUAUCAAGGAUAUCAUAGCUUCACACCACUUUAAAAUCUCUCACACUCUUAGAGAAGGAAACCAAUGCGCAGAUUUUUUAGCCAAGCUUGGAGCCUCGUCAAAUGCAGCCCUCACGGAGCACCAAACCCCUCCUCUUGAUCUCAUUGACAAGCUUAGAAUUGACGCUAUGGGAACCUAUUUCCUAAGAGCUUAACUUUUCCUUUAUCUUUUCUUUUUGUUAUUUUAGCUUUGUAACCAAAAAAAAAUACAACAUUUUUAGUUCUCCUAAAUGAGAGGAUUUGGUAUUAUGCAAUAAUCCAGCUUAACAUUGAGCUUCUCAUACGUAGCAUUCCAAUUUAUUAUGUCUGAAUUACAAGCAAUCAGAAGUUCAGGACAAGCCUAUAGAAGCUCAAAUUUUUCUAAAUAAAACCAUACCCUACACCGAAUUAGGGCUCUAUGAAGCCUCUAAUACUCGAAACAAUAGAAGAAGCAUCUAGUAAUUGGGGCUCUAAGACUAAGAAGGAGAAGAUGAAAGGAACUAGCUACAAAAUUAAAACAUGUGUUUUCAUUGUUAAGUUCUACAUGAUCAAGUAGAAAUUGUUCCUUGUGACCUUGAAGUAGAAAUUGAAAUGAUAAGUUGCAAAAAUCAUAACUUUCACUAUAUUGUCUGUUGUGAACAUGCCAGCAUACCAGUACAUGAUCAGAAAUGAAUGUCCCAAGAUAACUGUCACUACUACAACGUCUGUCGGCUUCUUUUCCGUUUUCAAAAAUAAAACGGUUUUAUGGUACCCAAACAAAUUUCGUUGCUUUUAUGACAAACGAUAAGAUGUAUGUAUUAUCAUUAGUAUUUAGUUAAAAGAGAAUCAAUUGUACGAUGGAAAGUACAGAUUUAAAAAUUGUGUGAAUAGAGCAGGGUACAAGUAUAUGAUGACUUGGAUAGUUCAUUUCUCAAAAUAAGUUGGCCUGUUUAUUUUAAAAAAAAUUAUUUUUUUUAGUGUUCGUUUUCUAAAAUUUAUGUUCAUUUCCUAAUCUAAGAUGCAAUGAAGAUUGGUUCAAUAGCAAAAACAGGUUUAAAUCAAGGGUUUCCAAAUGAAGAUUGAUACGAAUCAUAAGUAUUUUGAUUCAAAUCAAGGUAGAAAUGAUUCGAAUACUUUUUCUUUUUAAACAAUUUUAAUCUGAAUAAGAAGUUUGAAACACAAGGAGAAUAAACUCGAGACUAAUGAUGAAAUCAAAUUAAGAAGGAUAAAUUUGAUUCGAAUCAAAGCUUCAAAAAUGAAGUUAAACCCGAGGGACAUACUGAUUUUUUAUUCCAAAAUAUGCCGGACAAAAUUUAUUUGAAUCAAGACUUCACAAAUCAAGUUUUUGUGUGAAAAUAAUUUGCAAAACUUAACCCAACAUACAUUAUACUCAAAGCAGGGAGUGCCACACUAGGUAUGAGAGAUUUAGACUAUAGGGUGUUUUACAAACUAAGCUAAGAUAAUGUAACAAAAACUACAUGAUUCAAACUAAACAUCAUCAAAACCAAACCUAGAGGAUUAAGGUAGCAACUACAAUAAGUACAAUUUUUUGGCUAUUAGACCUUCACUCUGACAAUUCUCCUCAAGGUACACUUGUAACGACCUCUGGAUAGUCACAACAUUGAAUAUGGACUGUACAGUCCAGAUUAAUGGCCUGUAACGCCAUGUGUUGGAUCAAGUUGAACUUGGGUUCUAACCUAGAUUAGACCUUGGCUAUGUCCCAAACAGUUGCCUCCAAGACUUUAAGUUGAUGGAGGUAUGUUAUAGCUUGUUUGAAGCUUUCCAUAGUGCGGCCUACGAAAGAGGGGGACCACUUUGUGUGAUCAUGAUCGAUGUUUUUUGGUGAUCACGGCCUUGGUAGCCCUCCUAUGACUUUUAGCCUCUCUACUUCACGGGCCUGGUGGUUCAUGGUGGAGAAGGUUGUUGCCUUUGUUGGGCCGUUAGAGCAUGUUGUAUUUGGAGCUGAUUUCACACGCUUUCACUUCCCUAGCUUUGGGCCUUUUGGAGGCCUGCUAGUUGUAAGGAAGUUAGGGUAUCUUUUUUUUUUUUUUUUUUGCUAAACUGCACUUUUCGCCCCCUAUGUUUCAUAAUGUUGCAAUUUUAGUCCCCUAUUAAAAAAAAUAGCUAUUUUGGCCCCUUUCAUCCCAAAAUUGCUCAGAAGAUGCCACGUGUCCCAGAAAAGGGGUCAUAAUCGCAACUUUUUGUAAAGAUAAGGGGUCAAAAAACAUAUUUCCCUUAUGUUAGGGGGUCAAAAGAGCAUAUUUCCCUAAACAUAGGGGGUCACUUUUGCCAUUUUUUUUAAUAGGGGGCCAAAAUUGUAACAUUUUGAAACUUAGGGGGCGAAAAAUGAAGUUUAACCAUUUUUUUUAUUUUGUCAAUCCAGACGUGACAUUGACUCUCCUGAACGUGUCAUUAAACAUAUUCAGAGAGGUGUAAUUUUCGUGUAAUCUUCUCUUUUUUAAAAAUAAAAUAAAAAGCAAGUGUUGAGAGCAGAAAUAAGAUUGUUUUAUUAAUUAUGAUCUUAUAUUCAUUCCCAAUACAAUACUAUAACCUUGUAAUUCCACUUCUAUUAUAUAAAUACUACUAGUUGUUAAUUUUUUCAAUCUGGGACUUCUAAAAAGUCUUACGACUUAAUGUUUACUUUUCAAAUUCCCCCCAAUUCAAACUACGGUUCCAACAAAUGCCAAUAAUAAUUUUAAAAAAUAGAAUAAGGGAUAGAUAGGACACAAAUAACCUAACAAUGUAAAUUAAUAAUGAAUCUAGCCAAUGCUAUUGUACUACGGUAGGUAGUGCAAAAAAUUCAGUGAAAUUAUUCAAAUUUGAACUUGGUUGGGUUUCGUGGUUAUCCUCCAAGGAAAGUUUCGUUUUCUUUAGCAUUAUGAAGUGUUUGUGUGUUCUCAUUCUUACUAACUUGCUGACAUGACAUUAUUCUUUAACAAACAUAUAAAGAAAUAUGACAAUAGAGAUAGUGACCUUUUGAGUAAAAAUAUGUAUUAUGAGUUUGUCGGUAUGCGUGGUAAGAUCAAAUGCAUAAAUGUUUAAGACGCCGGCUGAAUAAAAUAUGGCUACAAGAGGAUAUUUAGAAAAAACAACGAUGCACUUAUAAUGUGAAUCUAAUUUCCUAUACUAAACUAAGUAGUUGUUACACCAGGUUCCAUUUCUUUCUAUUUGUUUCUUACCAAUCAAAUUCAGUAACCUUUAAACAAAUAUCAUAUAGUUGAAUCUUGAACCUUCUUCACAUGUUCAAUGGCUGGUCCAAUUUAGAAAAUAUUAAUGAAGACCUGCUUUGAUAAAUUAUUUAUCAACAAAUUAUUUAUAUACUUAAUUUUUUACACACAAGGAAUUGAGAUGGUGAUAAGUGUCAGAAAAUAGUUAAGAAACAUGUAUAUUUCAGACACAUUGAUUACUUGUUUUGCAAGUUACUUCAUAAAAAGCUUGAAAAUAUUGAACAAUUUUCAAUUUAUGCUCUUUAUAUCUUACCCUAACCUUUUGAGUAGGAAAUUGCAUGUCUGCACACUUAGAAGGCAAUGAAUCAAGAAGAUAUGCAAAGAAAAGCUCGUCAGGGCGAGCUUGGAGCAAGCAAGAGGCAAAUCAAGUCAGAGAGCACCAAAUUCAGGAUUUUUAAAGCUUGCCACAGCAAGACAUGGCGAGGCAGAAGCGACAAGGCUCGCCACAGCGAGCAGGAAGCGAGAACAAGGCGAGGCAAGUCAGAGAGCUCCUAUUUUCAGAAGUCCCUUGCAUGACCAAGCGAGGCCAUGGCGACCUAGUUCGCCAUGGCAAACUCACAGAGAGCUUGCAACGAGCUAAGUCAAAGAGUCCAAAAUCCAUAGAAAUUGGGCUUCACCACAGCGAGCUUGACCCUCACCAUGGCGAACAAAGACGGUUUCAGGCCACUUGUUUACGUGGCAGAAACCCACUGGUGAAGAAAGCUUCGCUCACCAUGGCGAGCCACACAUCGCUCGACAAGAAGUCACUUACUAGAAGUAGUAUAAAAGCCAUUCACUCAUUUCCAGCAAAGUUAUCAUAGACUUUUUAGAGAGAGACAUAUACGAAUCAAAAGGAGAAAUCUUCAUCUUGAUGUUUCCUAUCCAUCUCUUCCGAUUAUGCAAGGUUACCAUGGCAAUGAGUAGCUUAUUCUCAAGUUGUUGGGAUUAGAUGUAAUUGAUCAAACUCAGUAUAUAUUCUUAUUGAUCUAAGCAAUAUAUGAUUCUAGCUAUUCAUGAUAUUUAAUGUUAUUCUUGUUUACUAUGCUUUUGAUUUUAUAGUUUUGAAUUGUUAUUGAAAAUUACUUUUUGAAUCUAGGUUAGAUAACAUCUAUUAAACUCUAAAUACUAGAAAUGGUUUUUGGUUUUGAUAAUCAUAUUAUGUAUCAAAUCUUAAUGUUACUGUAUUGUUUAAUAGGUUGAGAAAUCGUCAAUUAAACAAUAUGUUUGAACUCAAAACAUUAUGUAGACAUAAAUGAUGUUGUCGAAUGAUACGUGGUAAUAUCGAGCGAUAGCUAGAAUCUAUAUGUUUGAUCAUGAAGAUAUAUGCGACGUUUGGUCAAUGAAGUCUAAUCCCAGUAUUUUUAUGUCUCUGUCCAAUCUCGUUUUAUUUACCGCAUAAUAGUUCAAAUAGUUUUCAUAACAAAGAAUCUUAUAAACCCUUAACUUAGAAUGAUAAUCAUUGUUGAAUGGCUUAUAAUAUCGCACUAGUCCAUGUGGAAACGAUAUUAAAAUACUUACUUUUUAUACUAAUGAGUUACUAAUGAAUUAAUAACUGUCGUUGUCGAUAAGUUGUCAUUUGUCAAUGAGUUAUUAAUGAAGAAUUAUGUGGAGUAUUAAUAUUUAUUAAUUGUUGUUGUCCAUGUUGUGAUAAGAUGAUGCGAUGUGUUGUUUAUAUUGUUAUGAGGUGAAGAUUAUGUUAUGUUGUUUAUGAUAUUAUGAGAUGAUGAUUAUGUUUGUGUGUUAAAGAUAAUAUAUAUGAUGUGAUGAUCUAUGAUGGUAUGAUUUGAUUAUUAUGUGCUAAGUUAUGAUGUAUAUAAUGCGAUGAAUAUGAAGUUAAUAAUGAUUAGAAGUUGAUUGAGUUAUUAAUGAAAUAUUAUAAGAAGAUUUAAUGUUUAUUAAUUGAUGAAGUUUAAGUUGUUGAAUGCUUUUGAUGAAUUAUAUGCUUAUUAUUAUUGAAUGUGAAAUCUCACCCCUUAUACUUGGAAAUGUUGCUCUUCGUAUGAGUAACUUGCAGGAGAUCAAGUUUAAGAUGAUAUUAGAUUGCUGUCGUGAGUGGACUAUCUCUCACGUGUGUCUUUAGGUGCUCUGAUACGUAACGGGAUGAGAACUUUGUUGCAUGCUUUUCUAAUCCUUACGUAUUGUUUAUGAAUUUACAAGAUUAAGUUGUUAAUUGAAUUUUUAUGAGAUCUUUUGAUGAGGCCUUCGUGCCAAGACUAUUUUAGAUGUUCAAAUAAAUUCCGCUGCGAAGUUUUUGAAUAUUAUGUUGAUUGAACUUUGAAGGAAAAUUAGUUAAUUAUUCCAUUUAUGAUUUUUAUGAAGUGUGACAUUCAAUAUGUGAUGAUUACUCUGAUUAUUUUAAUGAAAUUUUUAUGUUAGUUAAUUGUAUUGGUCAAUUAGUCCACAAAUUAUUACCUUAUAUGUGUUUGGAUGGAGGAAAUAUUAUGAAGUGAAGAGACGUGAAACAGAAUUAAAAGUCAGGAGAUAUAAAAAGGAAAUGAUAACUUGUGCUCUUAAAUCACAAACUAAUGAUUAAUGAGUCAAAAGUAAAAAUAUUGUGCCAGUAAUCAAUGCAUUUGACUUUGAUUUUUUUUUUUUUAUUUCUAAUUAAUUGAAUGCACAAAAUUUAAAAAAUAAAAAAUAAAAAAAAAUCUAUUUUUAGGUUUCUUAACAUGUGUCCUUAUUUGGAUUGUUGGGUUUGUAGACAUGUGUUAACUACAUUUUGUUAAUACAAUCGGUCUAGCAAGAUGUCUUAAACAUGUUGGUACGACAUCAUAGCGUGCCUUGAUUCCGCCUUCUUGGUUAUUUAUUUUAAAUGUGAAGAUUUCCUGAAUAUUCUCUGAAGAGUUAAUUCACGAAGAGUUGACCAAGAAGCGUGUUUCUAGAAGUAAGGAAAUGCGGUUAUACUUAACUUAGUCCUUAAGAAUGUUGUUGCAACAUUUAAGUAAACAUCGGAUUUGCUUCAGAAAAACCUAUGCUGAUAUCUUGUGAUUCAGCUGAUGAUUAGCCGGAUUUGUGCAUCAAGUUCAUUUCGCAUCAGGCUAUAUAAAGAAAGACUCAAGACCUAAUUGUUCACUGAAGCCGUCAUUUGUAAAAGAGUCAUUUAGGGUUUUAGUCUGUUCUUUGUUAAUUGUGAGUCACUCUUAUAUCAUGUUGAUGCAUUGAGCUGGACUUUGUAGUUGAGUUGUAAUUCUUAGAAAUCACUCAAAGCUUGUAAGCACGAGUUGAUUCACAGGAUUAGGAGAGUGUCUCCAUCUUGUUAUUAUUAAAAGGACGAUCACUGGAUCUGUGAUUAAGAGGAAGUGAGCGGAGGUUCUCAUAUCUAGGACUAGGGAGAGUCUUAGGUAGAAAUAGUGAGCGGAGGUUCUCGUAUCACUUUCUUGGAUUAGAAAGUGUGGCGUCCAUGUCUAUCCAUUCCAUUUCUUCAUUUUUAGUCUUUUCACCAUUUUCACCAACAUUAUUCAGAAUUUGCUUCCGACGGCUCCGUGACACUCAACAUUGUUUGAAUAAAUCCGCAUUGCUACCUUCAAUGACCAUGAUACAAAUAAAGCACUAAACAACUGAAUAAAAUUAUGAAUAUUUGUGGAAUGGUAUAAGUAACAAGCAACGUAUCACUGCACUUGGGCAUUUAAAUGAUGAAUUUAAUACCAGAACAACUUGAUAUCACCAGUCCACUGCAUCACUGAAUCUUAUUGAGUGAAUGUGAUGAUGUUGUGCUUAUUGUACUUGAGAAACAAAAGAAAGAGAUCACAACAUUUCUGACUUGUAUUAUUCUUGUGACCCUCUUAACAAGUUCCUCAAAAAAAGACCUGUCCAAUAUGUUGUUUCAGCACAAAGUUAUUGCAAUAGGCAGGGAAUCAUGAGAAUUUAAAACAAUUAUUCAUUUGAAGGAUUAAACUCUUUCUAUAAAAAAAAUCAACUAAUAAAGAAUUUAUAAUUAGAAAGUAGGUGAAAAGAUUCAUACCGAUUGAACAGCAAGGAUGUUUCUGGUCAUCUUCAUUUUCAUUGUUGGAGCUUAUGCCUUCACACCUGUCAGAAUAUUGAGCACUGAAUUUUAAUUUACCAAUUUCCCUACCAUCCAGAUCCGACUUAUGUUCUAAGUUAUACACAGGUAAGAUCCCACACCCCUUGAUCCCCUCUGUUGACCACCACAAUUCUUCAUUGAGAUCUUGAUGCAUGAAUUGAAAUGAUAGGUUGCAAUCAUUACUUCCAAGUUUUUGUCUGUUGUAAGGAUGCCAACAUAUCAAAACGUGAUCUGAAAUUAAUGCCCCAAUAUAAGCGUCAUGAAUAACAAAACACCUGUCAACUUCUUUGCCGUGUUCAAAGAUAACACAAUUCAGGGGGAGAUUGUGAACAUGGAAGCACUUCGAAACAAUGGUGCAGAAUAUGAAACCAGACAGGUUAGAUUUUGGAAUAGGAGGAAUGGUUAUUGAAGCCUUUGUUGUUUGAAAAUCAAACUUGCGAGGAAUUUGUGCUGACAAAGUAAUUGUUGACAUAUCUUUGGAAUUUUCCAAAGAAGAAAUGGUGGAUUCAAACCUUUCAGGAACAGUUACAGGGCAUUUUCGGACUAUCCUUAUAUCAGAAAACUCACCUCCUAGCAACCUCACAUUGUUGACAAUGCUUAGAAGUUUGUCAGCAUACUCAUUGAUUGUUUCUGACUCCUUCAUCCGCUGCAUCUCAAACUCCCUGAUCAAAUUCAGCACUUGCAUCCCUUUGACUUUCUCAUUUCCUUCAUACUCUUGUUUGAGAAAAUCCCAAAUUGCUUUUGCUGACUUCAGAGCCAUGAUUCUUGUGAAAAUUGCUUCAGAAACAGCAGAAAAUAGAUAAGACUUUGCCUUUGAUUUUCGCUGCUUUCUCUCCUUAUGGUUUCUGAUUUGUGCAAGCGUUGGAUUGUCUGGUAAUGGCUCAACCUCGUAAUCAUCCUCAACAGCCUCCCAAAGAUCAUGAGUAUCAAGAUAAGCCUCCAUUCUGGUUGGCCAUAGGUGAUAAUUCUCACCCUCAAAGAUUGGCAAUUUUAUGGCUGAGUUAUCAGAGUGCAUUUUCAACUCUUUGGUAAGUGUUUGGGUGUUUAGUGGAACUCUCAACCUCACCAGGUCCCUUAAGAACAAGAAUGCUCUUGAUACCACUGUUGGAAUUUAGAAAAGAAAAUUAAGCAGACUUAUGAGUUCUGAAAACUGAAACACACACAUUUCAUUCCUUCUAACAACCUUUAAAUACAAGAAACUCAUAAUCAGAAAUAAACAAAAACAAAAACUGCCUAUAAAUUUGUACCAGAACAACAUAAAUUUGUAACCUCCCAUAAUUCCUAUAAUUAAAAUCAUAACAGUCAUAACCAUAGGAAUACUGCAAUAAACUCUAAUAAUAGGUUCUGAUCCAUAUUCUCAACAAGUUUUAUGCUACUCGUAUGAAAUAUACAAGUCAUGACAUGUAGAAAUCUGGAUAGGUCGUUUUUCUUACCUAUAAUUUUGAGAGUCCCAACCAACUAAAUUAGCUGCCUCAGUGAGAGCGGCUUUCCAUUUAUGCAACUUGUCAUUAUUGUGCUUCAAAUCUCGCUUAUGUUUUGCAAAUGCUUGCUUGUAACUCCCGGUCUGCUUCCUCACAUGUGAUGGAAUGUUGUAAAAAACAGGUAUCACGGUCAAUUCCAUAUAUUGCUUGCAUUCUAGAAUCUUUUUGAGCUCAUUUAAGCACCAUUUUGAAGAAGCAUAGUUUUCUGAGAAGAUGACAAUAGAUGCAUGUGACUCCUCAAUGGCUUUGAUGAGUGCUGGCGAGAUCUCAUCUCCUUUUUGAAGCUCAUUGUUGUCUAUAAAGGUUUCAACUUUCUUUCGGCUCAGAGCAUCAUAAAGAUGGCAUGUGAAGUUUCUGCGGGUAUCCUCACCUCGAAAGCUAAGAAAAACGUCAUAUUUUUUCACAGAUUCCACAGAAGAAGAAAACACUGUUUGUUUGCUUCCUAGCCAUUAAGAAUUCCAAGUGCUGCGCUAAUCACAAUGCUACACUCAAACAUAAAAAAUAUUUGAUGUUUAAAUGUGCUUGUGCUCGGUUACUUUUUGUACUGGCAAUCGUAAUAGUGUUACAUACUGAGAUUCAUAAAUCAGAUUGACAUCAGAUCAGUUAGUUCAAAGUUCCCAUAUUGCUCAUAUAUCAACCUAGAUAAUGUGUAUCUUUUGACCUAGAAAAGCUAUACAAUAUGGCAAUUCCACGGGCCAGAUUCAUUAUUACUUUACAUUCUUGUGCUAUUUAUGUCUAGUUUUAUGUGUGGACUCCCAUGAUGUUUAACCUUGUUGCUUGAAUUGAAUUCUAGGUUUUAUCGGGUUUGCUCUUCAUUAGCCUUUUAAUGUCUCUUCGUUUACUGAGUUUUUUCGUGUUCAAAUCGUAAGUUAUCGGCCAAUUUAGUCAAAAUUUAAUCUCUGUUAAACAUUGAGUAAGUAAUUAACAAAUAUGAAGACUAACAUAUAGCAUUCAUUCUUCAGAACCAAUUUGAUAUUUGUUACUCAAUUUGAAAGACUAAUUUGAAAUAUUUGUCAACAAAAGGUAUGGUCAGUCAAAACUAAUUUUAUCAAUUUAUUGAUUUGAAAAUCUAUGAUCAAUUUGACAAUGAUCUAUGUAAUUAGAGAAACUAGUAGUUAAAUUAAAAUUGAGGGAAAAAAGAUCAUACCAAAGUCAGAAUCCAGCAAUAGUUGAGGAGGAAAAGAGUGUAGAGUGACAGUCACAAUCCCUAAAGGGCUUAGUUUAUGUUGGAAGGAAUGAUGUGCACAACAGUUCAUAAUGCUUUGGUCAUGAUUUUAUAAUGGAUUGAUCAAAAUUAAAAUAUAAAAUAAAAAUAACAAAUUGUUUUUUACUCCUUCAUAGAAGUUUCGUUUCCUAUGGUGGUAAUAUAAUACAAUAACAAUAUUGACUUGGGUUCCAAUCUAGUUGCUAUGAAAGAUGUCAUGACAUUUUUUUUUUUUUGAGAGGGAAAUAUGUCAUGACAUUAUUAUUAGUAUUAGUAUUUUUAUGGAAAAAAUAUUAAGGGGAUUCCAUGCCUCAUUGGGGUCAAGAAAAAACUCAAGGCCUACAAUACAAGAGGAUAUUUUUUCUCAAAAAAAAAAAGAGAUAUUUCAUCAAAAAAAAUAUACAAGAGGAUAUUUAGGAAAACAAUGAUGUACACAUAUAGUGUGAAUCUAGUUUCCUAUGUUAAACGAAAAUAAUUGGUGCAUAAGGUUCCAUUGCCUCUUUCUAUAGUGUGAAUCUAAUCUCCUAAGCUUUCAUCACCAUAACUUGACCACAAGGUUUAUUACUUUUGAAGAACCUGCAACAAAUUUGAAAAACUAUAGAAUUCAGCUCCAUGGAUAUAUCUUGUAUAAACCAUAGACAAAACCAUAGAUUUCAGCUUAUUAAGCCAAAACCCAAUAAGACUAGUAAAAGAGACAAAAUCAAAACCAGAAAUCCUCCUAAGCCUAUAACCAGAAAAUGAUACUUUUGAUAUGAGCCCAGAUCAGACCCUGCUACUAACUAUCAAUAAACAGGCAACAACGUAGACAAACUUGCACUGAUAUCAAUAACCUCAGACCAACAUACAAUAGCAAAAAAAAAUAUUAUUGAACCAAAAAAUCAAAACAAUACUCAAAAUUGAGCAACGAAACAGAAUAGAACACUCCAAAACCUAAGAAUCCUUCAACCAUCAUAAUAACAAACAAAAACACAUCCCAGAUAUUACCUAGUCUGAUAUCAAUAACCUCAGAGUACUAUUCAGUUCCAUAUUGCAUUGUAUAUUUAAUUCCAUAAUACAUAUUCAAUUCCUUAAUCAUGCACAUAGAUCAUAAAGUUGAAUUACCUUUUGUUUUCCCUAUUGAACCGCCACGCAAAAGUUUCACUUCUCUGAAUUAAUUUAAAGUUCUACCAUAAUUGAAUCCAUGUCAAAUUUGAGUUCCUGCGUAAAACACUGUAACGUUGAAGUUACAUAUUAAAGUUCUACCAUAUUGCCAUUCUUUUUUACUGCUUCAUCCUACAAAGCAGAGAUGUGAAUGUUUGUUUAAUGAUAUGAAAGAUAUUUGAGUUCAAAGAUGGAAUUAGCACCAAAAACACACAUGAACGUGAAAUCUUUUCAAAUGGGAUUCGUUCUGCAAAUCCUCUAAAUUCCUGUCAAUCAAAAUAUUCACAACCAGCACAGGUGAAAAAUGAGAACAGAAGUUCCACAAAUGCAGGUUAAGGGCCUCUUUGGUUGUAUUCUUAAUUUUUCGUCUAUUCAAAUGGAAACAAACUUCUGAAAAGAAUUGAAUUCUAGAAACAUGAGAAUUUUAAAAACAAUUCUUCAAGUGAAGGAUUUAAAUCUUUCAAUAAAAUAAACUAAACCAGCAUGGAAGGUAUGAUUGUAAAAUGGAAAUUAUACAGUGCUACAAUCAAAGUAAUUAACGGCUACUAACUAGCAUAACCUCUACGAAUUAGAGAGCUUCUGCCAUGUUUAAAGAUACAAACAUACAAUUACACAUUGUGAUAAUAAGAAGGUUGUUCCUAACCAUCUUCAGUUUCAUUGUUAUAGCUUCUGCCUUCACCUCUAAUUGCUAUAGACACAUCAGAGUCUUGAGCAAUGGAUUUUAAUUUACCAAUUUAAUUACUAAUGCUACUACCCCAAUAUUCCCAUACAGGUAAGACCCCACACCCCUUUAUCCCCUCCUUUGACCACCACAAUUCUUCAUUGGGAUCUUGAUGUAUGAAUUGAAAUGAUAAGUUGUAAAUAUCAUUACUUCCAUUUUCUUGUCUGUUGUAACCAUGCCAGCAUAUCAAUACAUGAUCUGAAAUUAAUGUCCCGAGAUAAUUGUGACUAAUACGAGAUCUGUCGACUUCUUUUCCGCAUUCCAAGAUGAUACAAUGAAGGGCAUGAUGGUUAAUAGUGAAGUCAGAUUUUGGAAUAGGAAGAAUAGUUAUUGAAGCCUCAGUUGUCUGAAAAUCAAAAUAUAAUGGAACUUGUGCUCCGGGCAGGAAAGAGAAAGCAUCGAUAACACCUUCAUCUUCAAUAGAACGGUCUUCAAUGAACUUUUGUGACCUGUUACUAAGCAAUGACCAUUGUAUGAAGUCUGUGUCCAGAUAAGUGCAAUUAACAGCUUUUAAAUAUAACAGGGAUAAUAGAAGCUCUGUCAGAGACACAAGUUUCCUGCAAUCGUCUAAUUCAAGCCAUUCUAGCAUUAUAUGGUUUUGUAUGUUCUCAGGGAGACAUUCUAAGUUGCAACACUCAUUCAAUUUUAGCCGUUUUAAAGAUCGUAUACCAUCAAGUAUGGACCAUAGACUUAAUGCAUUGAUUUCUGUGCACCCUGAAAGGUCUAGCUGUGUAACAGACCCCAGUCCAUGAUCAUCUGAUAACUUAUUCCCAACAAUGUUAAGCUUGUUACACUUAGUUAUGGAAAGAGAAGUAAGUUUGGUAUUACGCCAAAUCGAUGAAGACAACUCACGUAUAGCAGUGCCACGUAAGAAUAACUCUGUAAUUUCCUCCAAUGUAACCGAAAAUUCUGUGAGAGAUGAACAACCAUCCAGUAAGAGUUCACGAAGAGAUUUUGAAUGAAUGUUCGUUUUAAGGCUUUCAAUAGUAAUGCAACCUCCUAAAUCUAGAAAUGUAAGUCGAGGGAGAGAAAAGAUGGAUGGAUGGAGCUGACGCAAGCUUUCACAUUGACAGAGAGAUGCUCUUCCAAGAUUUGUAGCCCUAGAUAAGUCGGGGAUCUCAAUCAGAUCUUUGGAGUAAUUAAGGCAGAUUGUGAUUAGAUUUUACAAGAUUCUGUAACAAGAAAUAAACAUGCAUAAGUGUUGAUUAAAAGAGAAACAAAACCUAGUUAAGAAUAAAUAGAGGCAUGUCAUCCUAGCUCUGCUACAAUUUUGUGAAUAGCACGAGACUCCUCUUGUACCUUUAUAAAGUUAACAAGUAUAUCCAAACAUAUUUGUACCUGAACUCCAUCUCAGAGAUUUUUAAGCUUGCUAUGAGUCAUGCUAAGCUCUACAAGCAUUUCAGCACAAAAGUUUGAUGGAAAAGACUAAAGACAAUAUCCCUCCCAUUGAAGGUACCUCAAUUUAUCAGAAAGCCACUCGAGACCAUCAGGAAAAUGUACAUUGCAUAUGCUCCCGUUGGAUAUAUUAUGAAUCUUAAGAUAUCUUAAGUUUGCCAUCCUUCUAAAGGAAUCAGACUUCAAGUAUAGAUCCCCAACUUCCGUAGUAUCGAAUAUUAUACCUUCCACAACUUCAGUUCCCUGACAACAAAAAUUAGAUUAAUAAUUAGGAAAGGCUGUCAUAUGUACUUUCAUUGUUAUAUUUUAUAAUUACAUACAUAUAUUUUCAUAUAUAUAUAUAAGUGAUUGCAUCCUCUGCUUACCUUGUUUUCUUUUAAUAUAUCAGAUAUUUCUUUAGCUCUCCACAACCGACUUCGUUUUCCAGGGUUUAUAGAUUCUUGAUUAACAAUCUCCCGUCCCAUUUCUUGUAACAAAUCAUGCAUAUGUAAACUAUCAACUUCAAACUUGGCAUACGAGUGCCAAUUUGGUUUUACUUGUAUGAGAGCUUUAUCUAAAAGGACUUCUAUCCCACUUUCUGCAAAGAACUUACAAGCUUCCAACAAAUCUAUUAUAAAUAUUUUAUGCUCUCCUCUCAAAAAGCAUGCAAUAUCUAAAAAUAUGGCCUUUUAAAAAAAAUCUAAGUCAUCAUAACUGAAUUUUAACACGGUAUAAAUUUUCCUAUUUGGAAUCUUUUCGAGCUUUUUCAAUUCAUUUUCCCAUGCCUCUUUGCCUCUUGAGCGGAGAUUUUCCCCUAAAACUUUUAAAGCCAGAGGAUUGCCUUUGCAAUAGGCAAUUACACUUUCUGAUAGAUCUUCACAUCCAAUUUUAGACUGUUUUUCUCCGAAGGCAUUCAAACUGAGUAGCUGAAGAGAAUCAUGGUUGUUCAAUUCCUUGACCUCAUAUAUCUCACAUUUACUGAACUGACUAAAUAUGUGCUUAUCUCUAGUUGUCAUAAUGACCCUACUACCCGGUCCCAGCCCAUCAAUUUUUAGGAUAAGAUCUUCUAUUUGCUCUAAGGUUUCUCUGCCAUCCAACACAAUUAAAACUUUUUUACGUGAAAUCCUUCUCUUGGAGAAAGUGGCUUCUAUGUAGGAUGCAUCAGGAUGAAUAUUUUCCUCCUCUAACAAUGAGGAUAAAAGUUUAUUGUAUACAACAUUAUGUCCAUACCUGUUUGAUUCAUCAAUUACAUUGAGAAAGCAACAACCUUCAAAUUGAGAAUAAAUUAUAGCAUAUGAAGCCCUAGCAAGAGUGGUCUUUCCUAUGCCACCCAUGCCCCAUAUUCCAAGGACUCUAACAUCAUUUGAGCCAAUUUUCAGUAUUGACUCAAUUUGGUCAUAAUUUUUCUCAACUCCAACAAGCCCCUUAAUUUCACAUGGGUAUCUAAGAUUCAGUUUCCGCAAAACAUUUUUAACAAUGUCCUUAAUGAAGUCCGAUUCGAUCCUAGAAUAUGAACGAGGGGAAGAAGAUUUUACAAGUCUAACAAAUACAAUAGUAGAAAAGUACAUCUAUAUGAUUAGUAUACAAAAUUUAUAGUCAAUAAGGUGACAGUGGCUUAGUAGAGCAAGAAACAAACAAAAAUUAGAUUUGGGGAAACAAAAUACCAAAGACACAAGGUAAUAAAUGUAUAUUUUCUAUGACUUUGGUAGUUUUCAGAAGGUUGUGUCAACUAUUACUUUGGCCUGUUUAUUUUCAAAAAUUAUUUUUAGUGUUUGUUUUCUAAAAUUUAUGUUCAUUUCCAAUUAAGAAUAUGGAGAUGAAAGACUCAUGUAGUAAAUAGCUGUGCUAUAUUAGAAAACAAAACAUGUAAAUGAUAUGAAAUAGUUUAUUUAUUUUACUUCGAAUUUUUUCGUUUUGUUUACCUGUAAUUUUGAGAGUCCCAACCAACUAAACUAGCUGCCUCAGUGAGUGCAUCUUUCCAUUCCUGUAACUUGUCAUUAUUGCUCUUCAAAUCUCGCUUAUGUUUUGCGAAGGCUUGCUUGUAACUCCCAGUCUGCUUCCUCACAUGUGAUGGAUCUAUGUUGUAAAAAACAGGUAUCACAAUCUGUACCAUAUAUUUCUUGCAUUCAAGAAUCUUUUUGAGCUCAUUCAAGCACCAUUUUGAGGAAGCAUAGUUUUCUGAGAAGAUGACAAUAGACACAUGUGACUCCUCAAUGGCUCUGAUGAGUGCUGGCGAUAUCUUAUCUCCUUUUUGAAGCUCAUUGUUGUCUAUAAAGGUUUCAACUUUCUUUCGGCUCCGAGCAUCAUAAAGAUGGCAUGUGAAGUUUCUGCGGGUAUCCUCACCUCGAAAGCUAAGAAAAACGUCAUAUUUUUUCACAGAUGCCACAGAAGAAGAAAAAACACUGUUUGUUUGCUUCCUAGCCAUUAUGAAUUCCAAGCGCUGCGCUAAUCACAAUGCUACACUCAAACAUAAAAAAUAUUUGAUGUUUAAAUUUGUUCUCGGUUACUUUUUGUACUGGCACUCGUGAUAGUGUUACAUAUUGAGAUUUAUAAAUCAGAUUGACAUCAGAUCAGGCAGUUCAAAGUCCACAUAUUGCUCAUAUAUCGACCUAGGUAAUGUGUAUUUUUUGAUCUAGGAAAGCNACAAUUGUAAAUCCCGCCUUAUUUGCUUGACGACGCACCCACUCAAGCAAUUCAUCUCUAUCUUUCGACAUAACGUCGUCUGACAAAAAAACUAGCCGUGUCGACCUCGUGGGCUUGAAGUGGGAGGACACCGGAGCCGCCAACAUACUUUGAAGCUUCAACAUGGAAGGAAGCUCCAUCAAUGUUUGAUUUCGCUUCACUUUAGGCGGUUUGACAUCUCCGGAAAUUUCGACAAAAUUUUGUUUUGUCUCUCCCGAAACAUCUUCCGCGUUCUCUACCAUUACUAUAAUUAAACAACACAUAAAUAUGAAUUAACAACUAACUAAUGUAUAAACAUCAAUGCCAUAAUGAAUUAAAACAAAAAAACAAAAAAAAGAAUUUUUUUUUUGAAAAACUGGCAGUAGCUGCCAUUUUUUCGAUGUGAAAAUUUUUCACAAGAGUUCCUCGGCACCUUACUACCGAGGUUUUCCUCGGCACUACACUAUCGACGUUUUCCUCGGCAAUUAACUGCCGAGGAUUCCCAUGACAAGGUUCUAUGUAACUGACGUAGAUACCCAUAAAAUAGCCCAAAAAUCAAUCGAAUAAAAUGCACAAUACCUAUUUUUUACGUCAAAACUGUGUUGAUACCUCCUAUGCUUGAUGCUUGAAUGAUUUUGGAUCAAUAAUUGAUUAAAAAAAAUGGAUUUUGGGAUUGAAUAAUGGAGGUGGAAAUGAAGUUGAUGAAGAAAAUAGUGUGUAGGGGGAGCAGGUGGUUGUUUCAUCUGAUGAAACAUUCUCUCGGCAGUUAACUGCAGCCGGAAUUCAAAUUCCUCGGCAGUUAACUGCCGAGGGGGUAAAAUCGUAUUUUACUAGUGUGUCACAGCCUUAUCAAAUGUGGGAACAACAAUUCUCAUUUGUUUAAGGUGAUGGUGAAAAGAAGGUGAAGAAAGGGAGAAAUAAUUAGGUGUUUUUGACUCACCGUAAGAUAAAAUACACCUGUAUAAUUGAAUGAUCAUCUUUUUAAAAAAACAUAUCAAGGGUUUAAAUUAAAAAUUUUCAUAAGGUCUAUGGUGGACUACUUUUAAGAUUGAUUCACAAUAGACAUUUGGGGGUUAAACUUAACACCAAUGAUUUAUUUGGCAAACAGAAGAAAAGAUGAAGGACUUAAAGGUACGUUUUAUUAAUUUUGGGACCAAAAUGAAAAGUUAAAAUUAAUUAAGGGAUCAUUGGAUCAAAUAAACCUAACAUUAACCAAGAGGAAGAAAUUUCGGAUAACGUAUAACAAAUGAUGUUAAAGUGACGGAUUGCAUUACUAUCCAGUAACAAUAAGAUUAGCAGAAUUAAUAAUAGGAACGUAGUUUUAUAUUUGUUUGUUAUGUUCUGAGUAAUAAUAGAUAAUUUAGUUGUAUAUCCUUACAUAUAAAUAACUUCGUAUUUUUUUUUGUCAAUUGUUUAGUGGUUAAAACUCACACAUUUUUUAUUAAAAAAAAAAAAAAAACUAAGAUAAGAAAAUGGGGUUAAGAUGACCGGUUCCAAUCUACUUUCUAUCAACAAAAAAAUGGGUUUAUGCCCCGCUAAAUAAAAUAACAAUAAUAAAAUAAAUAUAAUAACCAUAUUAAUUAAUAAAUAACAAAGAUAAGAAAUGGGAUUAAGAAAGGAAGGAAGGAAAAAUCCAAAGUGUCUUCUAGGAGCAAAGGUGUCAUGACAUUAUUAUUAGUAUUUUAUGGAACAAUAUUUAGGGUAGCAUGCCUCAUUCUAGUUUAAGAAAAAAUUCAAGGUUCAAUAAAUGCUUGCAUAAAUACUUACAUACUAUUCAUUAAUUAAAUAUAAGUUGCAUUCUUACAAAAUUGCUGACAUGACAUUAUUCUUUAACAAGCAUACAAAGAAAUAUGACAUUAGAGAUAGUGACCCUUUAAGUAAAAAUAUGUACAUCCUCCGAUUAUAAAAAAAUUAAUAUUUUAUAUUCAUUCAUUAAAUUAUGUUUCAUUAAAUUAUGUAUGUGGUUAAUAAUAAAGACUAUAUACAUCAUUUAAUGAAUGAAUCUAAAAUGUUAAUUUUUGCCUAUAAUAAUAAUAUAAUAAUAAUCGGAGGAUGUAUUAUGAAUUUGUCAAUAUGCGUGGUCAGAUCAGAUGCAUAAAAAAUAAAACUUACAUUGUGAAUUCAAUUUCCUAUAUUAAAACUUACAGUGUGAAUCUAAUUUCCUGUAUUAAAACUUAAGGUGUGAAUCUAAUUUUCUAUAUUAAAGUAAAUAGUUGUUACAUGAGGUCCAUUUCUUUUUAUUUGUUUCUUACCAAUCAAUUUCAGUAACCUUUAAACAAAUGUCAUAUUGUUGAAUCGUGAACUUUCUUCACACGUUCAAUGGCUGGUCCAAUUGAGAAAAUAUUAAUGAAUACAUGCUUUGAUAAAUUAUUUAUCAAAAACUGAUUUAUAUACUUUUUAUACACAAGGAAUUGAGUUGGACAAACCCCUUCACUCCGACCUCAUCCCCCAACCUCUCUCACUGCCAAUUUCAAGUGUGUUUAGCUGAGAAAAAGUUAUGUAAUAUUUUGAGGAAAUUCAAAUUCUUUUAAAUAAAUUUUGUUUGUUUGAAUGAUUAAAUUUAGAGAAUUUAUCAUAUUAAUGAAAUUCUAUGAAGUAUUAUGUUAAGUUAAAUUGAGUGAAUUUCAAAUGAUAUCUAAGGUUUAAGAAUUUCAAAUUUCCUACUAGAUAUAUAUUUCAAAAUUUCCAAGUUGGUCCCCAUAUUUUUCAAAAAAAAUAAAUUGACCCUUAAAUAUUUAAAAUAAAUUGCAAAUUGAUCCUUACAAUUUCUUGAAAAUUAUAAAUUGACCACUUUCAAUUUUUGAAAUCUACAAAUCAGCCCUCUAUUUUUCAAUUUUCAAAUUUGGCCCAAAAUUUUAGAAUAUAUAAAAGUAAGUAGCACAAAAAUAUAACUGAAGUAUUUUAUCACUGUAUCCAAACAAAAAUAUUUAAAAAUAAAGGCAUCUAGCGUCGAUCAUCUCACAAGGUGUUGGGAUGAUUUAUACCGCCGCUUUGAAAAUUAGAACUCUAAGACUAAGAAGGAAAAGAUGAAGGGAACUUGCUACAAAUGGUAUUAUUAAUGUGGCUUGGUGGAACUCUUUACCCUUCUUUACUAGGGAUGACUUUUAUAAAGACCGCUAUGAAUUUUUAAAUUAUCGUUCUCCAUAUCUCUUUGUAUUUUAAUUUGGUUUAUGUUUUGGUUUGGUCCUCCUCUGGUACGGUUUUUCAUUUUUUCAAUAAAUUUUUAGAUCAAGCUGACAUAGGAUGUGGUGAUUUUGAAGUGUCAACAUAGUUGAGAUGUCAAACCUUCUUUUUCAUUGUUGGAGCUUAUGACUUCACCUCCAAUUGCUGAAGGCUGUAACUCAUUAUAAUUUUCCUGCCCACCAGAAUAUUGAGCACUGAAUUUUAAUUUACCAAUUUCCCUACCAUCCAGAUCUGACUUAUGUUCUAAGUUAUAUACAGGUAAGACCCCACACCCCUUUAUCCCCUCCGUUGACCACCACAAUUCUUCAUUGACAUCAUGAUCUGAAAUUAAUACAUGAUCUGAAAUUAAUGUCCCAAUAUAAUUGCAAGCAAAAGUAAAACACGUUUCAACUUCUUUGCCGUUUUCAAAGAUGACACAAUGCAGGGGGUGAUUGCAAAUAUGGAAGCCCUUAGAAAGAAUGGUGCAGAAUAUGAAACCAGACAGGUUAUAUUUUGGAAUAGGAGGAAUGGUUAUUGAAGCCUUUAUUGUUUGAAAAUCAAACUUGCGAGGAACUUGUGCUCCUGGCAAGAUAGAGAAAUAAAAAUCAUCAUGUUCAUUUGCAUGAAAAGGGUAUUUAGAGAAGAUUUGUACCAUGUUCUCAAGAAAUGACCGUUGAGUGGAGUCUGUGUCCAGAUAAGUGCAAUUAAUGGCACUCAAAGAUAAUAGGGAUGGCGGAAGCUCUGUUACAGACACAAGUUUCCUGCAAUCAUCUAAAGCUAGACUUUUUAGCAUUGAAUGGUUUUGUAUGUUCUCGGGGAGACAUUCCAUGUUGCAACACUCAUGCAAUGAGAGCCAUUUUAAAGACUGUAUGCCAUCAAGGAUAGACCACAGACUUAAUGCAUUGAUUUCUGUGCACCCUAAAAGGUCUAGCUCGGUAACAGACCCAAGUCCAUGAUCAUUUGUUAACUUAUUCCCAACAAUGUUAAGCUUGUUACACUCGGAUAGGCCAAGCGAAGUAAGUUUUCUGUUACGCCAAAUCGAUGAAGACAAUUCACGUAUAGCAGUGCCACCUAAGGUCAACUCUGUCAUUUCAUCUGAUGUCACCGAAAAUUCUGUGAGAGAUGCACAACCAUCGAGUAAGAGUUCACGAAGAGAUUUUGAAUGAAUGUUGGUUUUAAGGCUUUCAAUCUUUUUGCAGUCUCGUAAAUCUAGAUAUCUAAGAUCAGGGAGAGAAAAGAUGGAAGGAUGGAGCUGACCCAGGCUUUCACAUUGAAAAAGAUAUACUCUAUGAAGAUUUGUAGCCUUAGAUAAGUCUGGGAUCUCAAUCAGAUUUUUGGAGGAUUCAAGCCAAAGUAUGUUUAGAUUCACAAGAUUCUGUAAAAAGAAAUAAAAACACCAUUUAAAUUCAUAAAUAGAGAAACUAAACCUAAUUAAGCAUAAAUAGAGACUUUUUAAGAAUGAGCAUUAGACUUCCUCUCAUACUUCAACAAAUUAACAAGUAUAUCCAAACACAUUUGUACCUGAACUCCAUCCCAUAGCUUUUUAAGCUUGCUAUGACUCAAGUGAAGCUCUAUGAGCAUUUCAGCACAAAAGGUUGAUGGCAAAUACUCAAGACAGUAUCCUUCCCAUCGAAGAUACCUCAAUUUAUCAGAAAUCCACUCAAGACCAUCGGGAAAGUACACAUUGCACGUGUUUCCUCUAGAUUUAUUAUAGAUUUUAAGAUAUCUUAAAUUUGUCAUCCUUCUAAAGGAAUUAGACUUCAAGUAAAGAUCCCCCACAUCUGUACUAUCGAAUGUUAUCCCUUCGACAGCUUUAGUUCCCUGAUAAAAAUUAAAUUAAUAAUUAGGAAUGGUUGUCACGUAUACUUUCCUUGUUAUAUUUCAUAAUCAAAUACAUGUGUUAUUUUCAUGUAGAAGUGCUUGCAUCCUCUACUUACCUUGUUAUUUUUCAAUACAUCAGAAAUACAUCAGAUAUCUCAUCAGCUUUCCACAGUCGACUUCGUUUUCCAGGGUCUUCAGAUUCUUGAUUAACAAUUUCCCGUCCCAUUUCUUGUAACAAAUCAUGCAUUUCUAUAAUACAAACUUCCCAUUUGACAUGCAAAAUUGAACCUAGUUGAAUGAGAGCCUUAUCUAGAAGGACUUCUAUCCCACUUAUUGCAAAGAACUCACAAGCUUCCAAUAGAUCUCUUACAAAAGUUUUAUCUUUUCCAUUCAACAAGCAUGCGAUGUCUAGAAAUAUGGCCUUCUGACAAUGAUCUAAAUCAUCAUAACUCAAUUUUAACACAUCAUAAAUCUUUCGAUUGGGAAUCUUUUGGAGCUUUUUCAGUUCAUUUUCCCAUGCUUCUCGGCCCCUUGAACUGAGAUUUGCACCUAAAACUUUUAAAGCCAGAGGGUUACCUUUGCAAUAGGCAAUUACACUAUCUGAUAGAUCUUCAUAUCCAGUUUUAGGAUGUUUUUCUUUGAAGGCAAUCAAACUGAAUAGCUGAAGAGAAUCAGGCUUCUCUAAUUCCUUAACCUCAUAUAUUUCACAUUUACUCAACUGACUAAAUAUCUGCUUAUCUCUAGUUGUAAUAAUGACCCUACUACCUGGUCCUAGACCAUCAAUUUUUAGGAUAAGAUCUUCUAUUUGUUCUAAGGUUUCUACACCAUCCAAAACAAUUAAAACUUUUUUACGCCCAAUCCUUCUCUCGGAGAAAGGGGCUUCUAUGUAGGAUGCAUCAGGAUGAAUAUUUUCUUCCUCUAACAAUGAAGACAGAAGUUUAUUGUGUAGAACAUUGAGUCCAUACUUGUUUGAUUCAUCCAUUACAUUGAGGACGCAACGACCUUCGAAUUGGGAAAAAUGUUUAGCAUAUAAUGUCUUAGCAAGGGUGGUCUUUCCUAUCCCACCCAUGCCCCAUAUUCCAAGUACUCUGACUUCAUUUGACCCAAUUUUCAGCAUUGAUUCAAUUUGUUCGUAAUUUUUCUCAAUUCCAACAAGCCCCUUAAUUUCAUAUGGGUACCUAAUAUUCAGUUUCCGCAAAACAUCUUCAACAAUGUCUUUAAUGAAGUCUGGUUCACUCCUAACAUAUGAAAGAUGGGAAGAAUGUUUUACAACAAAAGAAAAAUGCAUUCAUAUAUAUGAUUAGGACAUAAUAAAAUUUAUAUUCAACAUGGUGGCAGAGUAGAGCACAUAAAGAAAAUCAAUUACGUAAGACACAGAAGAUAAUUAAUGUCUUAUUUUUUUAGGAAGUGAAAUCCUAAAGAAAAUUCCAAAAAAUUGUAUAGAUUUUAAAAAAAUUGUAUGAUAACUAUGGCCAGGCACAUCAACAUCAUUGUUUACUUUCUAAAGUUAUUAUUAGCUUUCAUUUUCUCAAAUUUAUGUUCAUUUCCAAUCACGAAUAUGGAAAUGAAAAACUUGUGUAGUAAAAAAUUGUGCUAUAUUAGAAAACAAAACUUGCAAAUCAUAGGAUAUAGUUUAUUGAUUUACUUAGGAUAGUUCGUUUUACUUACCUAUAAUUUCGAGAGUCCCAACCAACCAAAUUAGCUGCCUCGGUGAGAGAAUCUUUCCAUUUCUUCAACUUGUCAUUAUUGUGCUUCAAAUCUUGCUUAUGUUUUGCAAAGGCUUGCUUGUAACUCCCGGUCUGCUUCCUCACAUGUGAUGGAUCUAUGUUGUAAAAAACUGGUAUCACAAUCUGUUGCAUAUAUUUCUUGCAUUCAAGAAUCUUUUUGAGCUCAUUCAAGCACCAUUUUGAGGAAGCAUAGUUUUCUGAGAAGAUGACAAUAGAUGCAUGUGACUCCUCAAUGGCUUUGAUGAGUGCUGCCGAGAUCUCAUCUCCUUUUCGAAGCUCAUUGUUGUCUAUAAAUGUUUCAACUUUCUUUCGGCUCAAAGCAUCAUAAAGAUGGCUAGUGAAGUUUCUGCGAGUAUCCUCACCUCGAAAGCUAAGAAAAACGUCAUAUUUUUUCUGAGGCACCACAUCAGAAGAAACUAUAGAGGAAAAGGCACUGCUCAUUUUCGGCACGGCAGUUAUGAAUUCCAAGUGCCUGCACUGAUUAGGCCACUAAUCACAAUGCUACAAUAAAAAAGAAGUAAUGUUUAAUUAGAGAAAGUAGUAGAUAAAUUAAAAUUGAGGGAAAAAAGAUUAUACGUACCAAAGUCAGAAUCCAGCUUCAUGCAAUAGAGGAGAAGAAUACUGUAAAAGUUAUAAUCCAGCUUCCGGAAUUAAUUUUGGAUGAGCACACACAAACUCUUCAUAAUGCUUUGGUUGGUCAUGAUGUAUAUUGUAUAUAGAUGUAAUGUGUGGUUAUCCUUCAAGGAAGUUUCGUUUGCUUAAACAUUGUGUUUGGUAGAGGUGAUUUAUGAGAGAGAAAUAGGUGAGAGAGAGAGAUACAAGAGAAAUGUUGUAUUUCUUCAGUUUGCUAAUAUUAUGUUUUAAAAAAUAAUUUGUUAGUUGUCAUUAACUAUUCUGUUAUCAUUUGAAUAGGAGGAAUAUGACCGACAACUUGCCGAGGCUCUUUCUAAAGGGUUAACUGUUGAUCAUAGUUUGGCCCUCCAAAUUUGGACCAAAGUUGCUGGCGAUAAAACCAAAGGAAAAUUAUAUGGUGCCGGUAACUUGACCGCUAACUACCGGAAGGGUGUUGCAACAACCCUCAGAUUUACCCUUAAUCAUGGCGAAGGAUCCUCCCAGCAGCCUGCACUGACCCCUGAGAUGCAUGACCUUAUUCAAAGAUUGACUCAAGAGCAGCUCACCCAGCAAAUGGCGAGACAUGAGGCCGUUGUACAAGAUUUGCUUAGCCGCCAACGAACAUAUGAGGAGCAACUGGCUCAAUUUCGGCAAGCACAUGAGGAUGGGAAUUCAAGUCAGCAAGCGUCAGUUCCAGAUCCCAAUGUAGAGCCUUUUCCAAUUUAUGGCGAAGGUGGAAGCGAAGGAAGCAAGGAGAUUGAGAGCGAUGAUGAGGAGUGAAGUUGGACCCUUAUGAUGUGUUCAUGCAUGUUAUUUUAUUUUGCUUUUAUUAUCUAUGGUGUGUAAUAUUUGGGAAAGUUUGUUAUGCUUCGUGAUACAAUUGCUACUUAUUUGCUACUUAUGGUCUAUAACAUUAUUCCCUAUGAUUUUAAUUUCAUUACUGUUGGACUUAAUAUUUUGUGGGUGCUAUUACUUUAAUUUUUAUUCUUAACUACUUAUUUUAAAGCAAUUAAAUUAAAAAAACCAUGUGUUUUAAAUUAUUUUAAAUGAUUUUAAAAUAAUGAAAUUAAAAAAAGCAAUUUAAAAUCGUUUUUAAAUUUAUUUUAAUAAUUAAUUUUAAUUAUUUUAAUGAAAUUAACGUUUUUAAAAAACAAUUAAAAACCAUUUUUUAAAAAAAUUAUCUCUGCAAUUUGCCAGGGGUAUACCCCUUGCAAUACUCCUGUCAUAUUUUGGGUCAGACUGCAGCUGAUUGACAGCGCGUAAGUUCUGCAGUGCGUCAGAAAAGCCUGCAGUGCGUCAGGUAAGCAGGUUGUUGAGUCAGACAAUUAGUCAGGGCCCUGCCAGGGGUUUUUCCAGGAGUUAUAAGAGGGGUUUAGACAGGAGUGUGUCCCACGCAGAUUUGCAGCCCUGGCAUAGCAAUUUGCUAUGAGCGCAUUUGCCACUGAUUCAACUCCUCACAAAAGCCCUGGCAAAUGGCUUUUUCCCAGGGAUUCUUGCAAUUUCACAAGGAAUCCACCCCUGGCUAAUUGCAGGAUUUCUUGUAGUGUUCAAUUGUUUUUCUCUGCUAUUCUCCCUUGUUCAUAAUUGUGGUUCAAAGUACCAAAGGGAAUGGAUUAGGUAUGACAAUUUAUCAUUAAAUAUUCCAAUUUAAUAAAUGACACAUGUUGAACAUUAUUUGUUGCAUUACUUAAUAACUCUCGGAUGCCAUGCCUCAAAACACAAAUGAAUCAAAUGAUGGUAGUAUUUGGCAAAUAAUUUAUAAUAAUAUCUAGAACGAAAUUUGUUUCUUUAAUUAAUAAGACCUCCAUUGCUGCAAGUGGCAAAGUACUUGGAUCAAUUCAUUGGUUCAGGUUGUAAGGCAUUUGAUCCUUUUUAGCAAGUGAUCAAAGGUUUGAUCUCUGACUCUUGUAUAUGAAAAAAAGAAUCCAAUUAGAAGUAGAGAACUCAUCUUGUAUAUCUCACGGGUUCUCUGACGCAGAUUAAUCACCGCUAAAAUUCUUGUGUUUCUUAUCAACAUUUUCUCAUAACAAUAAGCAUUUUCCAUCAUGUUAAGUCCUUUUCUAUUUAAAAAUGAUCUGCAAUGCUAGGGAGAAUGAUAGAUGGUAAGAAACAUGGAAGUUCCCAACUUCCAAAAGAUCCUACUGAAAGGCAAUAAAUAAGCCUAUGGGUGCUCAAAUAUUGUUCUGAAUGAAAGCAAGUUGAUUACCAAAUAAACUACCCUCCCCAAGUGGAUAGCAUAGGGGCAAGUUCCCAAAUUCAAAUACAUGAAACUAGGAUUAUGUUAAUGAAUACCGAUGUGAUUACUGCAAAACGAAGAAGAACGACAAGUCAUUUAGUUACAAAGCAGAUGUUUGAAGAAAGAGGAGUUCAAGUACCAAGAAACACAACAGAAAACAACUGCAUAAAUUUAGGAAGUUUUCUGCCAUGGUAAAAGUAACAAGCAACCUAUCAUUGCACAGCUUGAUAUCACCAGUCUACUGCAUCAACACAUACUGUUGAGUGAAUGUAAUGAUGUUGUGCUCAUUUUACUUGGGAAACAGGAGAAAGAGACCAAAAAACAUUUCUGACUUCUAUUAUUCUUUUGAUCGUUUUAACAAGUGCCUCAUCAAAGAACCUGUCCAAUGUUAUUGCAACAAGACGAAUAUUAUUUUCUAGAAUCACAAGAUUUUUGAAACAAUUCUUCAUUUUGAAGAUUUUUCAAUUAAAAAAAAAACUAAUAUGGAAUGUAUAACUAGAGAGUGGGUUUUGAGUUUCAUACCUAUUGAACAAGAAGGUUGUUCUUGGUAUUCUUCAUUAUCAUUGUUAGAGCUUCCGACUUCACCUUCAAUUUUUCUUGGCUGUCAUCAAUAUCAUUUUUCAAAUCAAAAUCAAAUUCACCAGAGUCCUGAGCACUGGAUUUUAAUUUUGAUUUAACUAUUUCCUCACGACUACUACUUAUAACAUACAGCUCCGACUCACUUUUCAAGUCAUAUACAGGUAAGACUCCACACCCCUUUAUCCCCUCUGUUGACCACCACAAUUGUUCCUUUUGACCUUGAAGUAGGAACUGAAAUGAUAGGUUGCAAAAGUCAUGACUUCCAGUUUCUUGUUUGUUGUAACCAUUCCAGCAUAUCAAUACAUGAUCUGAAAUUAAUGUCCCAAGAUAUUUGCAACUAAUACGACAUCUGUCGACUUCUUUGCCAAAGUUGCAUGCAACUUCUACACCUGACAAGAGAGAAAAAUGACGAACACCAUCUUCAUCAGGAGUGUCUUUAGAGAAAGUUCGUACCAUGUUCUCAAGCAAUAACCGUUGAGUGGAGUUCAUAUCCAGAUAAUUGCAGUUAACAGCUGUCAAAUAUAACAGGGAUGCUGGAAGCUCUGCUAGAGACACAAGUUUCCUGCAAUCAUCUAAAUCAAGCCAUUUUAGGAUUGAAUGGUUUUGGAUAUUCUCGGGGAGACUUUCUAAGUUGCAGCACUCAUUCAAUAUUAGCUGUUUUAAAGAUUGUAUGCCAUCAAGGAUGGACCAAAGACUUAAUGCAUUGAUUUCUGUGCACCCUGAAAGGUCUAGCUUUGUAACAGACCACAGUCCAUGAUCAUCUCUUAACUUAUUCCCAACAAUUUUAAGCUUGUUACACUCAGAUAGGCCAAGCCAAGUAAGUUUGCUAUUGCGCCAAAUCGAUGAAGACAAUUCACGUAUAGCAGUGCCGCCUAAGGUCAACUCUGUCAUUUCCUCCGAUGUCACCAAAAAUUCUGUGAGAGUUGAACAACCAUCGAGUAAGAGUUCACGAAGAGAUUUUGAAUGAAUGUUGGUUUUAAGGCUUUCAAUCUUUUUGCAACCUCGUAAAUCUAGAUAUCUAAGAUCAGGGAGACAGAAGAUGGAAGGAUGGAGCUGACACAGGCUUUCACAUUGAAAAACACUCCAUGAAGAUUUGUAUCCUUAGAUAAGUCUGGGAUCUCAAUCAGAUCUUUGGAGGAUUCAAGCCGGAGUAUGUUUAGAUUCACAAGAUUCUGUAACAAUAAAUAAACAUGACAUUGCUUAGAAACCAUUAAAUCCAUAAUUAAGCAUAAAUAGAGACUUCUUAAGAAUGUGCAUCAGACUUCCUCUCAUACCUAAAUAAAUUAACACGUACGUAUAUCCAAACACAUUUGUACCUGAACUCCAUCCCAGAGCUUUUUAAGCUUGCUAUGACCCAUGUGAAGCUCUAUGAGCAUUUCAGCACAAAAGGUUGGUGGCAAAGACUCAAGGCAGUAUCCCUCCCACAUAAGGAACCUCAAUUUAUUAGAAAGCCACUCAAGACCGUCGGGAAAGUGCACAUUGCAUGUUCUCCCAUUAGAUAUAUUAUAGAUUUUAAGAUAUCUUAAGUUUGUCAUCCUUCUAAAGGAAUCAGACUUUAAGUAAAGAUUCCCAACUUCUGUACUAUCAAAUGUUAUACCUUCCACAACUCCCGUUCCCUACCAAACAAAAAUCAGAUUAUUAAUUAGGAAAGGAUGUAAUAAAUGUUUGCUUGUUAUAUUUCAUAACCACAAACAUGUGUUUUCAUAUGGAAGUAAUUGCAUUGUCUACUUACCUUGUUUUUUUUCAAUACAUCAGAUAUUUCUUCAGCAUUCCACAAUCGACUUCGUUUUCCAGGGUUCUUAGAUUCUUGAUUAACAAUCUCUCGUCCCAUUUCUUGUAACAAAUCAUGCAUUUCUAUACCAUCAACGUCCGACUUGACAUAAACAUGCCAUAUUUUUUUUAGUUGUAUGAGAGAUUUAUCUAGAAGGACUUCUAUCCCACUUACUGCAAAGAACUCACAAGCUUCCAAAAGUUUUCUUACGAAAGAUUUACUCUCUUCUCUCAGCAAGCAUGCGUUGUCUAGAAAUAUGGCCUUUUGACAACAAUCUAAGUCAUCAUAACUCAAUUUUAAUACAUUGUAAAUUUUCGUAUUGGGAAUCUUUUGGAGCUUUUUCAAUUCAUUUUCCCAUUCAUCUUUGCCUCUUGAACUCAGAUUAGCACCUAAAACUUUUAAAGCCAGAGGAUUGCCUUUGCAAUAGGCAAUUACACUCUCUGAUAGAUCUUCAUAUCCAAUUUUAGGAUGUUUUUCCUUGAAGACAGUCAAACUGAAUAGCUGAAAAGAAUCAUGAUUAUUCAAUUCCUUAACCUCGUAUAUUUCACAUUUACUGAACUGACUAAUUAUGUGCUUAUCUCUAGUUGUAAUAAUGACCCUACUACCGGGUCCCAGCCCAUCAAUUUUUAGGAUAAAAUCUUCUAUUCUCUCUAAGGUUUCCACGCCAUCCAAUACAAUUAUAACUUUUUUAAGCGCAAUCCUUCUUUCGGAGAAAGGGACUUCUAUGUAGGGUGCAUCAGGAUGAAGAUUUUCUUCCUAUAACAAUGAAGAUAAAAGUUUAUUGUAUACAACAUUGAGUCCAUACUUGUUUGAUUCAUCCAUUACAUUGAGGAAGCAACGACCUUCGAAUUGGGAAUAAAGUUUAGCAUAUAAAGUCUUAGCAAGGGUUGUCUUUCCUAUGCCACCCAUGCCCCAUAUUCCAAGGACUUUAACAUCAUUUGACCCAAUUUUCAGCAUUGAUUCAAUUUGUUUAUAAUUUUUCUCAAUUCCAACAAGACCCUUAAUUUCAUAUGGGUAUCUAAGAUUUAGUUUCCUUAAAACAUCUUCAACAAUGUCCUUAAUGAAGUCCACUUCAAUCCUUGCACAUGAAGGAAGGAAAGGUCUUACAAGUCUAACAAAUACAAUAGAAGAAAAAUACAUCUAUAUGAUUAGUAUACAAAUUUGUAGUCAACAUGGUGGCAUUAACAUCUAUUUUUUCUACGAAGUGAAAUCCUAAAGAAAUUCCAAAAAAUCAAAAAUCAAAAAAAGGUUUUUAUGCUACCCAAACGAUAAGAUGAUGUAUUCUUUGUAUUUAGAUUUAAGAGUAUCAAUUGAGUGAUAAGUGUAUGCAGGGUACAAGAAUAUGUUGACUUUGAAGACUCCUACCCUCUUCCCAAUAGUAAAUAACUGUGCUAUAUUAGAAUACAAAACAUGCAAAUGAUAGGAAAUAGUUUAUUGAUUUUACUUUGAAUUUUGGAAACAUACAAGUGAUGAACAUAUCCAAAGCUGGAUAGUUUGUUUUAUUUACCUAUAAUUUUGAGAGUCCCAUCCAACUAAAUUAGCUGCCUCAGUGAGAGAGGCUUUCCAUUUCUCCAACUUGGCAUUAUUGUGCUUCAAAUCUUGCUUAUGUUUUGCAAAGGCUUGCUUGUAACUCCCGGUUUGCUUCCUCACAUGUGAUGGAUCAAUGUUGUAAAAAAUAGGUAUCACGAUCUGUUCCAUAUAUUGCUUGCAUUCUAGAAUCUUUUUGAGAUCAUUCAAACACCAUUUUGAGGAAGCGUAGUUUUCUGAGAAGAUGACAAUAGACACAUGUGACUCCUCAAUGGUUUUGAUGAGUGUUGGUGAGAUCUCAUCUCCUUUUUGAAGGUCAUUGUUGUCUAUGAAGGUUUCAACUUUCUUUCGACUCAAAGCAUCAUAAAGAUGGCUUGUGAAGUUUCUGCGAGUAUCCUCACCUCGAAAGCUAAGAAAAACGUCAUAUUUUUUCGGAGGCCCCACAUAAGAAGAAGAUAUAGAGGAAAAAGCACUGCUCAUUUUCUGCGCGGCGGUUAUGAUUUCCAAAUGCCUGCACUAAGCCACUAAUCACAAUGCUACAAUAAAAAAAAGUAUUGGGCUUCAUAAAUUUGAUUAUCAUUUGGAAUCAUUUUUGGCAGCAUAACAAAAAGAAUGGCAACAUUCAAAGCGAGCCUAACAAAAAUAAGGCAAAUUCUAUAUUACACCCAAUAUAUUUGAGUGUAUCGGUACAUCCACUCUUUAAAUUAAUAGUUAAAUGAGUUUUUUUUUGAAGAAAAAUAUUAUUUUUUAUCAUUUAUUAUUAUAAUAACUAAAUCUUAUUCAUAAAAAAUAUCAACAAAAUAAAAUUAUUAUUUUUUGAAUUUUUAUUGCUCAUAAUUUAUAACAUUUAUUAUUUUUUACGAUAAUAUGUAAAAAAAAAUACUAUGAUUGUCAUAAACAAUGAAAUGAUUUUUUUUUUUUUUAUGAACUGAUGUUAUAUAAAAUAUAACUAUUGACAAAGAGCUAUUUAUUACAUAAAAAAUUAUCGUUAAUUUAUAAAAUUAUGAAGAAGGAGUACCGGUACACCUCACUUUGUGAGUGUACCGUAGAAGUUUCCCAACAAAAUAAUUACAAUAAUAUAGAUGAAUGUCUUGAGACAAUUUAUUUUUGGCGAUUACUUUCUCCACCCUAUAAGGUUCUCACACGUCCUUUUUUUUUUCUUUCCAAAUUGCCCCUUAGAUUUUAGAAAAUGAAAACCAAUUCCAAAUAUAAAUUCCGAAACAUUUCGCUUUAUAAAAGCAAGAUCAGCAACUUCCACCAUUUUACAGUUUUAGUUUUACAAUUUCACUUUCUCUCUCUCUCUCUCACCGAUCCCAUAAUCCUAAAAUAUUGGUCCAAUCUUUGAGUUUUUUUUGCUCAAAAUCAUCACAUUUGAAGCUUUAUCAAACCCCAUAGUGAAGGUUAGGUCUCAUUCCAUCUGCAUACAAGCCUUUGAGUUCGAAUAUUUUUUUUGUGGCAACUGAAUAUGUUUGGAUUAUAAAAUCCAAACUGGAUUGUUGAAGUUCAGAUUUUAUAAUCUGAAGUGUACCUGUAGGCAGAUUUUUGGACAAUUUUGUGGAUUUAUAUUGAUUGCGUUUUACCUGGUUAUGCAUGUUACAAGCAUGGAUCGUGUUGGGCGCACCGUGGGUGAUGGAGAAGCAAUGCAUGUUUAUGUUUGGAGAGAGCGUUUGGAGAGGUUGCAAGCGGAGGGGAGAGUGCCCAGGCGUGGCAAGGGCAGGGAAAGGGCACGCCGUGGUGAUGCUGAUGGCGAGGGAACAUCUCAGGGGAACUAUAUUGAGCUUGAGCCACAGAGGGAGAUAAGAGAAGGUGGAGGGUGAUGUUGAGCAACAGGAGGAGGGUGAUGAAGAGCAGCAUGAGCGUGUGCAGCCAAAGCCAAAGGAGCUUGAUCACUAUCUUGGUGGCCCACACGACUUGACUGUGCUGACCAAGUACCAUGUUCACGUGGUCAGGAUGGCAGUUGAUGAAGUGGUAAGACACUGCACCUUUAAUUUAAUGAAAAUUGAAUUUUUAUGUUUAAUUAAUAAUAAUUGUAAACUUUUUGUUAAUUUUUGUCAUGUAUUAUUUCGAUUACUGUGAAACUGAUGUUAAUUUUUUGUUUUAAAUUUUAGCAGUGCGGUGACAAUUUAAAAUGUGUAAACAACAGGAAGAAGAUAGAAGCGAUACAUAAACCAAAGGUUUAAAUGUAUUUCAUCCUUGCAAUUAAGGGUCGUUUAAAAAUUGGUCCCUGUAUUCGCUAAUCCUUGCAAACUAGCCUUGCAAUAAUUAAUCAUUUAAAAUUUCGUCCUUUGACCAACUUAAUCACUGCCACGUCACUAAUUUGAUGACGUGGCAAUCACUAUCACACAUGAAAUUCCAAUUUUUCUCUUAAGAAGAGGACAAAAUAUUGAAGAAAGAAUUAGAAACUCAGGGGUAAAAUUGGAAUUUCAUGUGUGACAGUGAUUGGCACGUCAUCAAAUUAGUGAUGUGGCAGUGAUUAAGUGGGGAGAGGGACGAAAUUUUAAAUGAUUAAACAAUGCAAGGGUAAAUUGCAAGGAUUAGCGAUUACAGAGACCAAUUUUUAAACGACCCAUAAUUGCAAGGAUGAAAUACAUAUUUAAGCCUAAACCAAACAAGACUCUGAUGGCAAGACUGUGUGGUUUAAGCAUGGGCUGAAAGUCACUGGUCUUCGGUGGCUGCAGGAUAUCAGCUACAGCCAGAUUGAACACGGGCUUUGUUCUGCAAUUGUGGAGAGAUGGCACGAGGAGACAUCGAACUUUCAUCUUCCGUUUGGGGAUAUGAUAGUGGCACUGGAUGAUGUGUCAUGUUUGCUGCAUCUCGCCAUCGAGGGUAUGCUCUUGUCCUAUGAAAGUAUGUCAAGGGGUGAUGUUGUUGAGUUGUUGAUGGAAUUGUUGAGGGUUGAUGCGGGCGAGACAUGGACCGAGGUGGAAAAGAAAAAAGGUGGACAUGCACGGUUUAACUUCUUGAAGGAUAUAUACUUUCAAGGAGCAUGUUCGGGAGGCACAUGAGGUCUACCAUGCUGGUCAGUUUGUUGAGAUGCAGCAGCGGGAGUAUUUUCCAACAGAAGGUAUGGCCUAAACUAAUUUUAUCAAUUUAUUUAUUUCAAAUUCUAUGAUCAAUUUGAAAAUGACCUAUGUAAUUAGAGAAACUAGCAGUUAAAUUAAAAUUGAGGGAAAAAAGAUCAUACCAAAGUCAGAUCAAUCCAGCUUCAUGCAAUAGAGGAGAAAAAGACAGUAUGGCUUAGCUUCUGGUGGAAUCAAAUUUGGAUGAAAAUUAAUUAAGGAUAAACACACACAAACACUUCAUAAUGCCUUGGUCCUGAUGUAUAUACAUGUAAUGGGUCAAAUUUAAAAUAUAAAAUAACAAGUGUGGCUUAGCUUGCUUCCUUUUUGAUGGAGACUACUAGAUAAACUAUGGAAUUGGAUUUCAGAUUAAAAUAUAUGCAAAAUUAAGCUUGUUGUCCUUCAAUUUUGAGUCAUUUUUCAGAUUAUACCUAUUCACGUAUGUAAACACAAGUUAAUUACAAUAGGUGAGUUGCUGAGUGAAAUGUCUUAGGUGCAAUUCCAAGAACAAUUAGAUUAUACCUAUUAAGCUUGUUGUCCUUUAAUUUUGACUAUUUUUCAGAUUAUACCUUUUAGUUUUUCUUUCUUCCUUGAAUAGUUUCUUCAAAUAUUUAUAAUUACCAACAGAAGGUAGAGCCUUGGACUUAUACAAUAUAUAAGUGGCUUAGAUGUAUUCUUGUCUUUCGUUGGUCUAUGAAAUCGUAAAAACAAACACUUUCGUAUAUUUAAUUAAAUUUAAAGGUAAAGUAAAACAUUAAAUUAAUUUUAAAAUCCCUCCCCUCGUGAACCACAUCAAUUAAUGUUUUUAUUUUUUGUGGAAUUUCUAAAUGUUUUAAUUGAUUAGUUUUUUUUUUAAAGAAUGUUUUGAUUGAUUAGUUGUGUAUGUACAAAGCUGUUUUAGACCGUCGACUCGUUAAUCUUAAACCCUUAACAAAAACUGAUUUAGACCGUCGACUCGCUAAUCAAACCAAGUAAUUAAAUUAAAAAAUUACUUUCUGUUGGAGAAAAGAUACUAUUUGGAAUAUGCAUUGGAAAUAAUGAGUAGCAGAGAGAUUACAAACACUAUAUUAUUUUGUGGGAAAACCAAGAUCUUUGAUCUGUAUCAUUUAAAAAGGAAAGACCAUUAACAGAACCAUUAUUAUUCUUCUUAUCUUUAUUUCUUAUGACUCAAAAUCAUGAAACUCAAGUAGCUACUGCAAUAGGGAGAAAAAGAGGAAGAAGACCGACAAUUCAUUUAAUGACGAAGCAGAAGAUGUUAGAAGAAAGCAGCAUUGCUAUCUUCAAUGAUCAAGAACAUUGACACUGUGAUGUGAUCCUAAAAUUCUCUCUCUUGACAAGAAUAAUAAAGUCAUUGUAGAAUAAAAGAACCAAAUUAAUUUUGGGUUCAAAGUUUUAUUUUCGUAGGUCAUUAUAUGUCUGUCUUGUUUUGGCUAUAUCUGGAGCUCUGGAUAUCCGUUUGAGGUGAUCUUUAACUCGUUGGAAAGCUUACGAAAUUCUCUACAUUUCAUCUGUUUGAUUCAAGAGCAAAUUCGGAAUAUUUAAUGGUGCAGAAUGAGCUGUAGGUAGAAGACGUGGUUAAAGUAUGUUAGCUGAAGAAUUAAAGGUGGUGUUUGUGGAAUUGUAACGUCUAGCCAUAAUAAGCCUUCACAAAUCAAUGUGCAAAUGAAUAUGUAACCUUCUCAUGCAUUGAUCAACCACCAACUUUAAAGAUCCAAUUAAAUUGUAACCUCUUUUGUAAUAACUAGCCACCUAGGAAUUAUAACACUAAUUAUGCUAUGAUUGUAAGUUUUUCAGCUUCCAAGCCUAUUUCCUAUAAAAAGGGGGCGAAAAUAAUGAAGGGGACAAGUUGAAUUUAAAAAAAAUAAAAAAUAAAUAGAGAAUUUUAGGAUCACAUCACACUGCUAAGGAAAAUGAAUGGGGAUCUUUACACAAAAUUAUGAAACGCUGCAAACCUGGUUAUAGCUGACUACUUAUACCAACAAUAAAAACAGGAUCAGAUUGAUUAAUACCAGCAAUCACAGCACAGAACUGCUGAAUAAAAUUAGGAAUACUUCUGCAAAGGUAUAAAUUAUAAAGUUUAAAUAUGCCUUUAGUCCUUGCACUUUUAUCAGAUUUUGGCAUUGGUCCCUACACUUUUUUUUGUUUGGAAUUGGUCCCUGCACUUUGUAAAAAUAUUGGUAUUGGUCCCUGCACUUUGUAAAAAUAUUGAUAUUGGUGCCACGUGGCGUGAAAUGAUUGGGCCACGUGGCACUCCGUUGAUUUUGUGUUUUUUUUUUUAACAGAAAGUUAACAGGGGGUCAAUACCAAUAUUUUUACUAAGUGCAGGGACCAAUGCCAAAAUCUGAUGAAAGUGUAGGGACCAAUGACACAUUUAAACCAAAUUAUAAUUAGCACAACGUAUCAUUGCACUUAGGCAUUUAAAUGAUGAAUUUAAUACCAGUCUACUGCAUCACCGAAUCUUUCUGAAUGAAUGCGAUGAUGUUGUGCUUAUUGUAUUUGAGAAACAGGAGAAAGAGAUUACAAUAUUUCCGACUUGUAUUAUUCUUUUGACCCUCUUAGCAAGUGCCUCAAAAAAAGACCUGCCCAAUAUGUUGUUUCAGCAUAAAGUUAUUGCAAUACACCGAGCAUUAUUCACUUGAAGGAUUAAAAUUUUCUAUUAAAUAAAAAAUAUUGAAUCUAUAAUUAUAAAGUCGGUUAAAACUUCAUACCGAUUGAACAAGAAGGUUGUUCCUCUUUGCAUGAAUAGGAAGGUUGUUCCUGGUUAUCUUCAUUUUCAUUGUUAGAGCUUCUGACUUCACCUCCAAUUGCUAUAGACACAUCAGAGUCUUGAGCAAUGGAUUUUAAUUUACCAAUUUCCUUACUAAUGAUACUGCUACCACCACCUUCCAACUCACGUUCUAAGGCAUAUACAGGUAUGACCCCACACCCUUUUAUCCCCUCUGUUGACCACCACAAUUCUUCAUUGGGACCUUGAAGUAUGAAUUUAAAUGAUAAGUUACAAUCAUAACUUCCACUUUCUUGUAUGUUGUAACCAUGCCAACGCAUCAAUACAUGAUCUGAAAUUAAUGUCCCGAGAUAAUUGAAUCUAAUGCGACGUCUGUCGACUUCUUUUCCGCAUUCAAAGAUAAUACAAUGAAGGACAUGGUGGUUAACAGUGAAGCCCUCAGAAAAAAGGAUGCAAAAUAUGAAACCACACAAGUCAGAUUUAGCAAUAGGAAGAAUAGUUAUUGAAGCCUUGAUUGUCUGAAAAUCAAAAUUUAAUGGAAUUUGUGCUCCUGGCAUGAAAGAGAAAGGACGGAUAACACCUUCAUGUUCAAUAGAAGGGUCUUCACAGAACUUUUGUGCCUUGUUCUUAAUCAAUGAAAAUUGUGUGAAGUAUGUGUCCAGAUAUGUGCAAUUAACGGCUGUUAAAUAAAACAGGGAUGGCGGAAUCUCUGUUAGAGACACAAGUUUCCUGCAAUUGUCUAAUUCAAGCCAUUCUAGCAUUGAAUGGUUUUGUAUGUUCUUAGGGAGACAUUCUAAGUUGCAACACUCAUUCAAUUUUAGCCGUUUUAAAGAUUGUAUGCCAUCAAGGAUGGACGACAGACUUAUUGCAUUGAUUUCUGUGCACCCAGAAAGGUCUAGCUCUGUAACAGACCCCAGUCCAUGAUCAUCUGUUAACUUAUUCCCAACAAUAGUAAGCUUGUUACAUCCAGCUAGGUCAAGAACAGUAAGUUUGGUAUUAUGCCAAAUCGAUGAAGUCAAUUCAUGUAUAGAAGUGUCACGUAAGGAUAAUUUUGUCAUUUCCUCCGAUGUCACUGAAAAUUCUGUGAGAGAUGAACAACCAUUGAGUAAGAGUUGACGAAGAGAUUUUGAAUGAAUGUUUGUUUUAAGGCUUUCAAUACUUAUGCAACCUCUUAAGUCUAGAUAUUGAAGUUGAGGGAGAGAAAAGAUGGAUGGAUGGAGUUGACGCAAGCUUUCACAUUCCGAGAGAAGUACAACAACAAGAUUUGUAGCCCUAGAUAAGUCUGGGAUCUCAAUCAGAUCUUUGGAGGAUCGAAGCCAAAGUGUUCUUAGAUUCACAAGAUUCUGUAACAAGAAAUAAACAUCCAUGAGUGUUGAUUAAAAGAGAAACAAAACCUAGUUAAACAUAAAGAGAAACAUCCUAGCUCUGCUGCAAUUUAGUGAAAAACAUUUGUACCUGAACUCCAUCCCAGAGCUUUUUAAGCUUGCUAUGACUCAUGCAAAGAUAUACAAGCAUUUCAGCACAAAAGGUUGAUGGCAAAGACUCAAGACAGUAUCUUACCCAUAGAAGAUACCUCAAUUUAUCAGAAAUCCACUCAAGACCGUCAGGAAAGUACACAUUGCCUGUGCUCCCAUCAGAAUCAUUACAGAUAUGAAGAUAUCUUAAAUUUGUCAUCCUUCUAAAGGAAUCAGACUUCAAGUAAAUAUCCCCAACAUUUGUACUAUGGAACCUUAUACCUUCCACAACUUCAGUUCCCUGACAAAUAAAAAUUAGAUUAAUAAUUAGGAAAGGCUGUCAUGUGUACUUUCCUCGUUAUAUUUUAUAAUCACAUACAUGUUUUUUCGUAUAGAAAUGAUUGCAUUCUCUAGUUACCUUGUUUUCUUUUAAUAUAUCAGAUAUUUCUUCAGCUCUCCAUAACCGACUUCGUUUUCCAGGAUCUUUAGACUCUUGAUUAACAAUCUCCCGUCCCAUUUCUUGUAACAAAUCAUGCAUAUCUAAACCAUCAGUUUCCAAUUUGGCCAACGAGUGCCAAUUUGAUUUUAUUUGUAUGAAAGCUUUAUCUAGAAGGACUUCUAUCCCACUUUCUGCAAAGAACUCACAAGCUUCCAAGAAAUGUAUCACAAACAUUUUAUUCUCUCCUCUCAACAAGCAUGCGAUAUCUAGAAAUAUGUCCUUUUGAAAAAUAUCUAAGUUAUCAUAACUCAAUUUUAACAUAUUGUUAAUUUCCCCAUUUGGAAUCCUUUCGAGCUUUUUCAAUUCAUCUUCCCAUACUUUUUUGCCUCUUGAACGGAGAUUUUUACCUAAAACUUUUAAAGCCAAAGGGUUGCCUCUGCAAUAGGCAAUUACACUUUCCGAUAGAUCUUCAUAUCCAAUUUUAGGCUGUUUUUCUCCGAAGGCAAACAAACUGAAUAGUUGAAGAGAAUCAUGUUUGUUCAAUUCAUUAAACUCAUAUAUUUCACAAUUACUCAACUGACUUAGUAUGUGCUUAUCUCUAGUUGUAAUAAUGACCCUACUACCCAAUCCCAACCCAUAAAUUAUUAGGAUAAGAUCAUCUAAUUAAUCUAAGGUAUCCAAACCAUCCAACACAAUAAAAACUUUUUUAAGUGCAAUCCUUCUCACGGAGAAAGAGGAUUCUAUGUAGGAUGCAUCGGGAUGAAUUUUUUCUUCCUCUAACAAUGAAGACAAAAGUUUAUUGUGUAGACCAUUGACUCCAUACUUGUUUGAUUCAUCCAUUACAUAGUGGAAGCAAAGAACUUCAAAUUGGGAAUAAAGUUUACCAAAUAAAGUCCUAGCAAUGGUGGUCUUUCCUAUGCCACCCAUGCCCCAUAUUCCAAUGAUUAUAACAUCAUUUGACCCAAUUUCCAUCAUUGAUUCAAUUUGUUCGUAAUUUUUCUCAAUUCCAACAAGCCCAUUAAUAUCAUAUGGGUAUCUAGGAUUCAGUUUCCGCAAAACAUCUUCAACAAUGGCUUUAAUGAAGUCUGAGUCACUCCUAACAUAUGAAAGAGGGGAAGAAGGUUUAACAUGUCUACUAAAUACAAUAAAUAAACAUCUAUAUGAUUAGAAAUAUAUACAAAAUUUAUAGUCAACAUGAUGGUAGUGGCGUAGUAGAGCAAAAAAAGAAGCAAAAAUGAGAUUCGAGGAAAUGAAAUACCAAACACACAGUGCAAUUAAAGUCUAUUUUUUCUAGGAAGUGAAAUCCUAAAGAAAAUUAUAAAAAAAUAAAAGUUUUAUGAUACUCGAAGCAUGUGUUGCUACUAUUAAGAUUUUAGUGAUACAAAUAGAAUCAGCCAAAUCGAAGUAAAAAAAAUUGUGAGAUAGUGUAUGAUGACUUUGAUAGUUUUGAGAAGGUCAUCAACUAUGGCCAGGCACAUCAAUGUCAUUGUUCACUUCUCGAAAUAAUUUGGCCUGGUUUACUUUCUAAAAUUAUAUUUCGUCUUCAAUUUCUAAAAUUUAUGUUCAUUUCCAACUACAAAUAUGGAGAUGAAAGACUUAUGAAGUAAACAAUUGUGCUAUAUUAGAAACAAAACAUUCAAAUGAUAGGAAAUAGUUUAUUGAUUUUACUUACCUAUAAUUUCGAGAGUCCCAACCAACUAAAUUAGCUGCAUCAGUGAGAGCAGCUUUCCAUUUCUCCAACUUAUCGUUAUUGUGCUUCAAAUUUCGCUUAUGUUUUGCAAAGGCUUGCUUGUAACUCCCGGUCUGCUUCCUCACAUGUGAUGGAUCUAUGUUGUAAAAAACUGGUAUCACAAUCUGUUCCAUAUAUUUCUUGCAUUCAAGAAUCUUUUUGAGCUCAUUCAAGCACCAUUUUGAGGAAGCAUAGUUUUCUGAGAAGAUGACAAUAGAUGCAUGUGACUCCUCAAUGGCUUUGAUGAGUGCUGCCGAGAUCUCAUCUCCUUUUUGAAGCUCAUUGUUGUCUAUAAAGGUUUCAACUUUCUUUCGGCUCAGAGCGUCGUAAAGAUGGCUAGUGAAGUUUCUGCGAGUAUCCUCACCUCGAAAGCUAAGAAAAACCUCAUAUUUUUUCUUAGGGACCACAUCAGAAGAAGAUACAGAGGAAAAAGCACUGCUCAUUUUCUCCUCGUGACGGUUAUGAAUUCCCAGGGCCUGUACUAAGCCACUAAUCACAAUGCUACAAUAAAAAAAAAAAGUAAUGUUUAUUGUGUUCUUGAUACUUUUGACCACACUCAUUCUCGUUGUAAUUAGAGAAACUAGUUGUUAAAUUAAAAUUAAGAAGAAAAAAGAUCAUACCAAAGUCAGAAUCAAGCUUCAUGCAAGAAGACUUUAAAGUCAUAAAUCCCAACAGUAGUAUGGCUUAGCUUCUGCUGGAAUCAAUUUUAGAUGAAAAUUAAUUAAGGAUAAACACACACAAACACUUCAUAUAGAUGUAAUGAUUCAAAAUUAAAAUAUAAAAUAGUAAGUGUGGUUUCGUGGUUAUCCUUCAAGGAAGUUUCGUGGUUUUAUUUUCAGUUUUUCUUUCUUCCUUUGAAUAGUUUCUUUAAAUAUUCAAAUGUGUACGUCGUGGUGUUCUUCAGAAGGUAUGGCCAUCACAUUAUUCUUUAUAACAACCAUAUAAAAAAAAAAAUGACAUUAUGAAUUUGUCAUCAUGUGUGGUCAGAUCAGAUGCAUAAUGUGUAAGACGCCGGCUGAAUAAAAUAUGGCAACAAGAGAAUAUUUAGACAAACAAUGAUGCACAUAAUAUAGUGUGAAUCUAAUUUCCUAUAUUAAACUAAAUAGUUGUUACAUAAGGUUCCAUUUCUUUCUAUUUGUUUUUUUACCAAUCAAAUUAAGUAACCUUUAAACAAAUAUCAUAUAUAGUUGAACCGUUGAAUCUUGAACCUUAUUCACAUGUUCAAUGGCUGGUCCAAUCAUUUGUUUAAUGGUUGGUCCAAUUUAGAAAAUAUUAAUGAAGACGGCCUGCUUUGAUAAAUUAUUUAUUUAAAAACUUAUUUAUAUCCUUUUUUACUAACAAGGAAUUGAGACGUAACCAAAAAAAAAACAAGGAAUUGAGAUGGCCCUCUUCCGAUCUCAUCCCAACCCCACCAAUGGCCAACUUUAAAGCUAUGUUUGGAUUGGUAGAGAGUGGUGGAAUGGAAUUGAAUGAAGUGGGAUAGAUUCACAUUCUAUUGUUUGGUUUUGUAAAAAAAGGAAUAGAAUGGAAUGUAGUGUAAUGGAACUCAUUGCAUCCAAUACCACCUAUUUAACCAAUUUUCCAGUUCCUCCCAAUUUGGGGUGUAUGCAAUGAAAAAACAACAAUCUUCCUAGUAAAUACUAUAAAACAACAAUCAUCACCAAUGGUGGAAAUUAAUCAACAAAAAUUGAAAAAGACUUCCAUAAAAAUGAGUGCCUCAAAAGUAACCUUCAAAAGAUUCAAUUGAUAAGCAAUAAUCCAGCUUAACAUUGAGCUUCUCAUACGUAGCAUUCCAAUUUAUUAUGUCUGAAUUACAAGCAAUCAGAAGUUGAGGACAAGCCUAUAGAAGCUCAAAUUUUUCUGAAUAAAACCAUACCCUACACCGAAUUAGGGCUCUAUGAAGCCUCUAAUACUCGAAACAAUCGAAGAAGCAUUGGGGCUCUAAGACUAAGAAGGAGAAGAUGAAAAGAAACUAGCUACAAAAUUAAAACAUAUGUUUUCAUUGAUUAAUUACAUUCCUAAAGAUACAACACACUUAUCCCCUCUGUUGAACACCACAAUUGUUCCUUGUGACCUUGAAGUAGAAAUUGAAAUGAUAAGUUGCAAAAAUCAUAAAUUUCACUAUCUUGUCUGUUGUGAACAUGCCAGCAUACCAGUACAUAAUCAGAAAUGAAUGUCCCAAGAUAACUGUCACUAAUACAACGUAUGUCGGCUUCUUUUCCGUUUUCAAAGAUAAUACAGUGAACGGCAUCAGGGGCGGUUCUAAGGCCCGGCGACCCCCGGCUCCGGGCCAAAUUUUUUGUGUAAAUCCCUAUGAAUUUCUUAUAUAAACCCCUAUAAAUUGGGCAAUUUCUUUACAUUUUUUAUUAUUUGCUUGCAAUUUCUUAUGUACGCCCUAUAAAUGUGUUGCAAAAAAAUUUUCCGCCCAGGCUUUACAAUAUUCCUGGCUCCGCCACUGAACGGCAUGGUGGUAAACAUUAAAGCCCUCAGAAAGAAUGAUGGAAAAUAUAAAACUGCACAAAUCAGAUUUUGGAAUAGGAGGAAUAAUUAUUGAAGCCUCUAUUGUCUGAAAAUCAAACAUGCAUGCAAUGGAGUCUUCAGAGAAGGUUUGUAACAUGUUAUUAAAAAAUGACGGUUGAAUGGAGUAUGUGUCCAGAUAACUGCAAUUAACGGCAGGGAUGGUGGAAGCUCUGUUAGAGACACAAUUUUCCUGCAAUCAUCUAAAUCAAGCCAUUCCCAACAUUGAAUGGUUUUGGAUAUUGUCGGGGAGAACAUCUAAGUUGCAACACUCUUUCAAUUUUAGCCGUUUUAAAGACUAUAUACCAUCGAGGAUGGACCACAGACUUAAUGCAUCGAUUUCUGUGCACCCUGAAAGGUCUAGUUCGGUAACAAACCCAAGCCCAUGAUCAUCUGAUAACUUCUUCCCAACAGUGUUGAGCUUGUUACACUCAGUUAGACCAAGAGAAGUAAGUUUGCAAUUACGCCAAAUCGAUAAAGAUAAUUCACGUAUAGCAGUGCCAUGUAAGGAUAACUCUGUCAUUUCCUCUGAUGUCACCGAAAAUUCCAUGAGGGAUGAACAACCAUCAACUAAGAGAGAUUUUGAAUGAAAAUUGGUUUUUAGGCUAUGACUCAUGCAAAUCUCUACAAGCAUUUCAGCACAAAAGGUUGAUGGCAAAGAUUCAAGACAGUAUCCAUCCCAUCGAAGGUACCUCAAUUUAUCAGAAAUCCACUCAAGACCAUCGGGAAAGUACACAUUGCAUGUGCUCCCAUCAGAUAUAUUAUAGAUUUUAAGAUAUCUUAUAUUUUUCAUCCUUCUAAAGGAAUCAGACUUCAAUAAAGAUCCCCAACAUCUGUACAAUGGAACGUUAUACCUUCCACAGCUUCAGUUCCCUAAUAAAAACAUUUUUUUUUAAUAAUUAGGAAUGGUUCCCUGAUGAACUUUCCUUGUUAUAUUUCCCUGACGCAUUUUUGUUAUAAUUAGGAAUUGCAAACUCUAUUACCUUGUUGUUUUUCAAUAAUUCAGAUAUUUCUUCAGCCCUCCACAAUCUACUUCUUUUCCCAGGGUCUUUAGAUUCUUGAUUAACAAUCUCCCGACCCAUUUCUUGUAACAAAACAUGCAUUUCUAUUGUAUCAACAUCCAGAUUUACAUGCCAAAUAAGUUUUAGUUCUAUGAGAGCUUUAUCUAGAAGGACUUCUAUCCCAAUUGUUGCAAAGAAUCGACAAGCUUCCAAUACAUGUUUUACAAAAUCUUUAUGCUCUUCUCUCAACAAGCAUGCGAUAUCUAGAAAUAUGGCCUUUUGACAACAAUCUAAGUCAUCAUAACUCAAUUUUAACACAUUAAAAAUUUUCCUAUUGGGAAUCUUUUGGAGCAUUUUCAAUUCAUUGUCCCAUGCUUCCUUGCUUCUUGAACUCGGAUUUGCACCUAAAACUUUUAUAGCCAGAGGAUUGCCUUUGCAAUAGGCAAUUACACUCUCUGAUAGAUCUUCAUAUCCAAUUUUAGGAUGUUUUUCUCCGAAGAUAGUCAAACUCAAUAGUUGAAGAGAAUCAUGUUUGUUCAAUUCCUUAACCUCACAUAUUUGCACAUUUUGUGAAUUGACUAAAUAUGUGUUUAUAUCUAGUUGUAAUAAUGACCCCACUACCCGGUGCCAGUCCAUCAAUUUUUAGCAUAAGAUCUUCUAUUUGCUCUACAGUUUCUCUACACUAUCCAGCACAAUGUAAAAUUCUUUACGUGCAAUCCUUCUCACAGAGAAAGGGGUUUCUACGUGCAAUAAUUCUCACUCUGUUUUUUUAUUUUUUUAUUUUUUUUUCUUCUUUCUAAUCCUUUGAAUAUCUCCAGGUUCUUACUUUAUUGAAGGAAAUGUAACAUGAAGAAAAUAUAAGGAAAUGUAACAUGAAGCAAAAUUUGAGGAAAGAAAAGUUAGGCCUCAUCCUCAAGUAGUAGGAAUGUAGUCCAAUUUUGAUGGCAAAUUACACCCUAUUUCCAUUAACUUUUCAUCGGUAAGAACCAUGUCAUGGACGAGUCUUCAGAUAAGCAGAGACUUUGAGGGAGGAAUAUCUUUGCUCCAAAGUAGGAGCAAUGUGUUUUUUAAAAGAAUAAGUAUCUUUUAAAAGCUAAAUUUCCAUCAGAGGUUCUUUUCCAAAUCAAAGAAUCUUCACAGUCUUCAUCAGGAAUAGUUGCAGCACAAGCAAGCUAAUAGUAGGGAACAUCAACAGGACAUCACGAAGAAUGUUCCAGUGAAAAUUGGUGAAAUAGUAUUAGUCAGACACUUUUGAAGGGAAAGUGUUGAUAAAUAUAUUUUUCCUUAUAAAUAUAAAAAUAAAUAUUUGUCACCGAUACAAUAAAAAAAAUACACAAGACAAAUAUUCAUAAAAAAUUGGAUUAUUAUUUUUCAUUGAUAAACAAUCUAUGACACAAGAUAUAAACGGAGAAAUAAUUGUCACUAUUAAGCAGUAGUAAUUGACACAAGAUAUAAAUACUUUCAUGUACUUGAAGCUGCUCAUUCUAACCAAGGAAUUUCACUACUUCAACACCAAUGUUGCUCAGAUUUGUUUGCAAACUCAUGCUUACUUUGCUCAGAACCCUUCUCAACAUCCUCUGACCCCUCCAUGAAGUUACAGAAGCAUCAUAGCUCGAUAUCAAACAGUCUAAUGCAUAAACAGAUAUUGCGAUGAAGUAUUGUGCGAGAAACAAUGAGACAGAAAACGUUUCUGACUAUUAUAAUUCUUUGGACCCUCGAUAAAAUACAGCCGGUCAUUAUUUUCUAGAAUCAUGAGAAUUUUAAAACAAUUCUUCAAUUGAAGGAUUUAAAUCUUUUAAUAAAAUAAGCUAAGGUGGAAGGUAUGAUUGAAAAAGUGGAAAUUAUAUAGUGCUACAAUCAAAAUAAUUAACGGCUACUAACUAGCAUAACCUCUAGGAAUUAGAAAGCUUCUGCCUUGUUUAAAGAUACAAACAUACAAUUACACAGACUUGGGUCUAAUUACUUGGCGCCUGCGUCUAACAGAAGGUUGUUCCUCUACUUUGUAAGAAUAAGAAGGUUGUUCCUGAUCAUCUUCAUUUUCAUUGUUAUAGCUUCUGCCUUCACCUCCAAUUGCUAUAGACACAUAAGAGUCUUGAGCAAUGGAUUUUAACUUACCAAUUUCCUUACUAAUGCUACUACCCCAAUAUUCCCAUACAGGUAAGACCCCACACCCCUUUAUCCCCUCCUUUGACCACCGUAAUUCUUCAUUGGGACCUUGAAGUAUGAAUUGAAAUGAUAAGUUGCAAAUAUCAUAACUUCCAUUUUCUUGUCUGUUGUAACCAUGCCAACAUAUCAAUGCAUGAUCUGAAAUUAAUGUCCCAAAAUAAUUGUGACUAAUGCGACGUCUGUUGACUUCUUUUCCGCGUUCAAAAAUAAUACAAUGAAGGGCAUGGUGGUUAAUAGUGAAGCCCUCAGAAAAAAGGAUGCGAAAUAUGAAACCACAUAAGACAGAUUUUUUAAUAGGAAGAAUAGUUAUUGAAGCCUCGAUUGUCUGAAAAUCAAAAAUUAUUGGAUCUUGUGCUCCUGGCAGGAAAGAGAAAGCAUUUAUCACACCUUCUUCAAUAGAAGGGUCUUCAAAGAUCUUUCGUACCAUGUUUUCAAGCAAUGACCAUUGUGUGGAAUCUGUGUCCAGAUAAGUGCAAUUAACAGCUUUAAAAUAUAACAGGGAUGGCGGAAGCUCUAUCAGAGUCACGAGGUUCCUGCAAUCAUCUAAUUCAAGCCAUUCUAGCAUUGAAUGGUUUUGGAUAUUCUCUGGGAGACUUUCUAAGUUGCAACACUCUUUCAAUUUUAGCUGUUUUAAAGAUUGUAUGCCAUCAAGGAUGGACCACAAACUUAAUGCAUUAAUUUCUGUGCACCCUGAAAGGUCUAGUUCCGUAACAAACCCAAGUCCAUGAUCAUCUGAUAACUUAUUCCCGACAAUGUUAAGCUUGUUACAUCCAGUUAGGUUAAUAACAGUCAUUUUGGUAUUACGCCAAAUUGAUGAAGACAAUUGAUGUAUAUCAGUGCCACAUAAGGAUAACUCUGUCAUUUCCUCCGAUGUCACUGAAAAUUCCAUGAGAGAUGAACAACCAUCAAGUUUAAGGUUUCGGAGAGAAUUUGAAUGAAUAUUGGUUUUAAGGCUUUCGAUCUUUAUGCAACCUCCUAAAUCUAGUACAAUAAGUCGAGGGAGAGAAAAGAUGUAUGGAUGGAGAUGACGCAGGCUUUCACAUUUAUAGAGAUGUACUUUUUCAAGAUUUGUAGCCCUAGAUAAGUUUGGGAUCUCAAUCAGAUCUUUGGAGUAAUUAAGGCUAAAUGUGAUUAGAUUCACAAGAUUCUGUAACAAGAAAUAAACAUGCAUUAGUGUCGAUUAAAAGAGAAACAAAACCUAGUUAAGAAUAAACAGAAGCAUGCCAUACUAACUCUGCUGCAUUUUUGUGAAUGACAUUAGACUUCCUCUUGUACCUCUAUAAAGUUAACAAGUACAUCCAAACAUUUUGUACCUGAACUCCAUCCCAGAGCUUUUUAAGCUUGCUAUGAGUCAUGUGAAGCUCUACAAGCAUUUCAGCACAAAAGUUUGAUGGAAAAGACUCAGGACAAUAUCCCUCCCAUUGAAGGUACCUCAAUUUAUCAGAAAGCCACUCGAGACCAUCAGGAAAAUGUACAUUGCAUAUGCUCCCGUUGGAUAUAUUAUGAAUCUUAAGAUAUCUUAAGUUUGUCAUCCUUCUAAAGGAAUCAGACUUCAAGUAUAGAUCCCCAACUUCCGUACUAUCGAAUAUUAUACCUUCCCCAACUUUAGUUCCCUGACAACGAAAAUUAGAUUAAUAAUUAGGAAAGGCUGUCAUAUGUACUUUCAUUGUUAUAUUUUAUAAUUACAUACAUAUAUUUUCAUAUAUAAGUGAUUGCAUCCUCUGCUUACCUUGUUUUCUUUUAAUAUAUCAGAUAUUUCUUUAGCUCUCCACAACCGACUUCGUUUUCCAGGGUUUAUAGAUUCUUGAUUAACAAUCUCCUGUCCCAUUUCUUGUAACAAAUCAUGUAUAUGUAAACUAUCAACUUCCAACUUGGCAUACGAGUGCCAAUUUGGUUUUACUUGUAUGAGAGCUUUAUCUAAAACGACUUCUAUCCCACUUUCUGCAAAGAACUCACAAGCUUCCAACAAAUCUAUUAUAAAUAUUUUAUGCUCUCCUCUCAAAAAGCAUGCAAUAUCUAAAAAUAUGGCCUGUUGAAAAAAAUCUAAGUCAUCAUAACUGAAUUUUAACACGAUAUAAAUUUUCCUAUUUGGAAUCUUUUCGAGCUUUUUCAAUUCAUUUUCCCAUGCCUCUUUGCCUCUUGAGCGGAGAUUUACCCCUAAAACUUUUAAAGCCAGAGGAUUGCCUUUGCAAUAGGCAAUUACACUUUCUGAUAGAUCUUCAUAUCCAAUUUUAGGCUGUUUUCCUCCGAAGGCAUUCAAACUGAAUAGCUGAAGAGAAUCAUGAUUGUUCAAUUACAUGACCUCAUAUAUCUCACAUUUACUGAACUGACUAAAUAUGUGCUUAUCUCUAGUUGUCAUAAUGACCCUACUACCCGGUCCCAGCCCAUCAAUUUUUAGGAUAAGAUCUUCUAUUUGCUCUAAGGUUUCUAUGCCAUCUAACACAAUUAAAACUUUAAUUUUACGUGAAAUCCUUCUCUUGGAUAAAGUGGCUUCUAUGUAGGAUGCAUCAGGAUGAAUAUUUUCCUCCUCUAACAAUGAGGAUAAAAGUUUAUUGUAUACAACAUUAUGUCCAUACCUGUUUGAUUCAUCCAUUACAUUGAGAAAGCAACAACCUUCAAAUUGAGAAUAAAUUAUAGCAUAUGAAGCCCUAGCAAGAGUGGUCUUUCCUAUGCCACCCAUGCCCCAUAUUCCAAGGACUCUAACAUCAUUUGAGCCAAUUUUCAGUAUUGACUCAAUUUGGUCAUAAUUUUUCUCAACUCCAACAAGCCCCUUAAUUUCACAUGGGUAACUAAGAUUCAGUUUCCGCAAAACAUAUUUAACAAUGUCCUUAAUGAAGUCCGAUUCGAUCCUAGAAUAUGAAAGAGAGGAAGAAGAUUUUACAAGUCUAACAAAUACAAUAGUAGAAAAGUACAUCUAUAUGAUUAGUAUACAAAAUUUAUAGUCAAUAAGGUGACAGUGGCUUAGUAGAGCAAGAAACAAACAAAAAUUAGAUUUGGGGAAACAAAAUACCAAAGACACAAGGUAAUAAAUGUAUAUUUUCUAUGACUUUGGUAGUUUUCAGAAGGUUGUGUCAACUAUUACUUUGGCCUGUUUAUUUUCAAAAAUUAUUUUUAGUGUUUGUUUUCUAAAAUUUAUGUUCAUUUCCAAUUAAGAAAAUGGAGAUGAAAGACUCAUGUAGUAAAUAGCUGUGCUAUAUUAGAAAACAAAACAUGUAAAUGAUAUGAAAUAGUUUAUUUAUUUUACUUCGAAUUUUUUCGUUUUGUUUACCUGUAAUUUUGAGAGUCCCAACCAACUAAACUAGCUGCCUCAGUGAGUGCAUCUUUCCAUUCCUGUAACUUGUCAUUAUUGCUCUUCAAAUCUCGCUUAUGUUUUGCGAAGGCUUGCUUGUAACUCCCAGUCUGCUUCCUCACAUGUGAUGGAUCUAUGUUGUAAAAAACAGGUAUCACAAUCUGUACCAUAUAUUUCUUGCAUUCAAGAAUCUUUUUGAGCUCAUUCAAGCACCAUUUUGAGGAAGCAUAGUUUUCUGAGAAGAUGACAAUAGACACAUGUGACUCCUCAAUGGCUCUGAUGAGUGCUGGCGAUAUCUUAUCUCCUUUUUGAAGCUCAUUGUUGUCUAUAAAGGUUUCAACUUUCUUUCGGCUCAGAGCAUCAUAAAGAUGGCAUGUGAAGUUUCUGCGGGUAUCCUCACCUCGAAAGCUAAGAAAAACGUCAUAUUUUUUCACAGAUGCCACAGAAGAAGAAAAAACACUGUUUGUUUGCUUCCUAGCCAUUAUGAAUUCCAAGCGCUGCGCUAAUCACAAUGCUACACUCAAACAUAAAAAAUAUUUGAUGUUUAAAUUUGUUCUCGGUUACUAUUUGUACUGGCACUCGUGAUAGUGUUACAUAUUGAGAUUUAUAAAUCAGAUUGACAUCAGAUCAGGCAGUUCAAAGUCCACAUAUUGCUCAUAUAUCGACCUAGGUAAUGUGUAUUUUUUGAUCUAGGAAAGCUAUAGAAUAUGGCAAUUCCACGGGCCAGAUUAAUUAUUACUUCACAUUCAUAGGCUAUUUAAGUCUAGUUUUAUGUAUGGACUCCAAUCAUGUUUAACCUUGUUGCUUGAAUUGAAUUCUAGGUUUUAUCAGGGUUUCUCUUCAUUAGCCUUUUAAACAUUGAGUAGUAAUUAACAAAUAUGAAGACUAACUUAGCAUUCAUUCUUCAGAACCAAUUUGAAAGACUAAUUUGAAAUAUUUGCCAAUAUUGAUUUCAAAUUCAAGGAUAAAAUUAUGAAUAAACUACAAUUAGAGAAACUAACUAGUUAAAUUAUAAUUGACGGAAAAUAGAUCAUACCAAAGUCAGAAUCCAGCAAUAAUUGAGGAGGAAAAGAAUGUACAAUGACAGUCACAAUCCCAGCAGGGCAAUUAGCUUCUACCGGAAUCAAUAAAUAGCUUCUACCGGAAUCAAAAGCAGGCCUAACCAAAUAAUUCCAAUAAUUUAGAUGAAUGUCUUUAGACACCAAUUUUUUCAUUUUUAAGUGUUUAGGUACAACAGUUCAUAAUGCUUUGGUCGUGAUUUUAUAUGGAUUGAUCAAAAUUAAAAUAUAAAAUAACAUGUGGAUUUCAUGGUUUCCCUUCAUAGAAGUUUCGAUUCCAAUGCGUAGUCAGAUCAGAUGCAUAAAUGUGCAAGACGCCGGCUGAUUAAAAUAUGGCUACAAGAGGAUAUAUAUUUAGAGAGAAUUCAAAUCCUUCUAAGUAAAUUUUAUUGUUUGGAUGAUUAAUUUAGAGAAUUUUUUAAUUUAAUGAAAUUUUAUAAAGUAUUUUGUUCAAGUUAAAUUGAGUGAAUUUCAAAUGACAAAUAAGAUCUAGGAAUUUCAAAUUUCAAGUAUCAUUGUAACAUACAUUUUACUUUGAAAACCUGGUUACUUUUUCUUAUCUAGUUAAAAUAAAUAAAUUUCAAGUAUUGUAAGUGCUGGGUUGAAAGAGAUGUGGUUUGAUCAUUAUGUAGGAUAAAAAAAAUAAAAAAAUAAAAAAAUAAAAUAAAAAAAUCAUGAAUAAAUGUUACUCACUCCAUCUCAAAAUAUAUAAUUUGCUGAGUUUCUGCCUAAUUUCAAUACAUGAUAAUUAGUCUAACAGAUAACUUAGUCUGCAUGAUGCCAAGUUGAUUUCCAAAUUUGGCAUACGGCAUAAAAUACCUUACCUUCCCCAGUCAGUUUGGCAAAGUGGUAAGUUCUUAUUGGUUGUCAGUGUGAAAGAAAUUUACACCGACAGUGCAUGCCCCUAACUCUAUUGAUAAAUGGUAUUUUACAAUGAUCUGAGUAUAGUUUUGACAGUUGACAUCAUUGGAAUGGGAAAUUUUUAGUUGACAAUGCCAAAUACAGUAAGAACUGUAAACAAUAGAACCAACAUUAUAGACUGUUAUUUUGUGGGAAACACCAAUAUCUUAGACCUGUAUCAUUUAAACAGGAAAACCCAUUUACAGAACCAUUGUUCUUCUUAUGUUUCUUUCAUAUGACUCAACCAUGAAAAUCGAGCAGCUACUGCAGAAAGGGGAAAGAGAAACGGGAAUGAAAAUUCUUUUGGCGGUAAAGCGUAUUAUGCUUGGAGAAAGUGGCGCUUCAACCAUUAUGAUCAAGAACAUGAAACCACAAGGGAAUAGGGAUCCAUACACAAAUUGAUUAAUAUACCAACAAGUUCAGCACAAAAAAACUGAAUAAAAUUAGGAAUAUUUCUGAAAUGGUAUAAGUAACAAGCAACGUAUCACAAGAUUUUACAUGAAAAACAGGAGAAAGAGAUCACAACAUUUCUGACUUGUAUUAUUCUUUUGACCCUCUUAGCAAGUGCCUCAAAAAAAGACCUGUCCAGGAAUCAUGAGAAUUUUAAAACAAUUAUUCAUUUGAAGGAUUAAACUCUUUCUAUAUCAAAAUAAACUAAUAUGGAAUUUAUAAUUAGAAAGUAGAUGAGAAGAUUCAUACCGAUUGAACAGCAAGGAUGUUUCUGGUCAUCUUCAUUUUCAAUGUUGGAGCUUAUGACUUCACCUCCAAUUGCUGAAGGCUGUAACUCAUCAUUAUAAUUUUCCUGGCCAUCUUCAAUUUCAUUGUUAGACCAAUAAGACCUGUCAGAAUAUUGAUUACUGAAUUUUAAUUUACCAAUUUCCCUACCAGCCAGAUCCGACUUAUGUUCUAAGUUAUAUACAGGUAAGAUCCCACACCCUUUGAUCCCCUCCGUUGACCACCCCAAUUCUACGUUAUGUAUGAAUUGAAAUGAUAGUUUACAAUCAUUACUUCCAAAUUUUUCUCUUUUGUAACAAUACCAACAUAACAAUACAUGAUCUGAAAUUAAUCUCACAAUAUAAAGGGCAAAACAAAUAAUACACCUGUCGACUUCUUUGCCGUGUUCUAAGAUGAUACAAUGCAGGGGGUGACUCUGAAAAAGGAAGCCCUCAGAAAGAAUGGUGCAGAAUAUGAAACCAGACAGGUUAUAUUUUGGAAUAGGAGGAAUGGUUAUUGAAGCCUUCAUUGUUUGAAAAUCAAACUUGCAAGGAACUUGUGCUCCUGGCCAGAAAAGGUAAUUGGCAUCUUUAUUUACAUGAAAAGGGUCUUUAGAGAAAAUUUGUACCAUGUUCUCAAGAAAUGACCGUUGAGUGGAGUCUGUAUCCAGAUAAGUGCAAUUAAUGCCACUCAAAGUUAUUAGGGAUGACGGAAGUUCUGUUAGAGACACAAGUUUCCUGCAACCAUCUAAAUCAAGCCAUUUUAGCAUUGAAUGGUUUCGGAUAUUCUCAGGGAGACAUUCCAAGUUGCAACACUCUUGUAAUGUUAGCCCUUUUAAAGAUUGUAUGCCAUCAAGGAUGGACCACAGACUUAAUGCAUUCAUUUCUGUGCACCCUGAAAGGUCUAGUUCUGUAACAGACCCAAGUCCAUGAUCAUCUGAUAACUUAUUCCCAACAAUGUUAAGCUUGUUACACUUGGAUAGGCCAAGCGAAGUAAGUUUUCUAUUACGCCAAAUCGAUGAAGACAAUUCACGUAUAGCAGUGCCACCUAAGGUCAACUCUGUCAUUUCAUCCGAUGUCACUGAAAAUUCUGUGAGAGAAUAACAACCAUCAAGUAAGAGUUCACGAAGAGAUUUUGAAUGAAUGUUGGUUUUAAGGCUUUCAAUCUUUUUGCAACCUCGUAAAUCUAGAUAUCUAAGAUCAGGGAGAGAAAAGAUAGAAGAAUGGAGCUGACCCAGGCUUUCACAUUGAAAAAGAUAUACUCUAUGAAGAUUUGUAGCCUUAGAUAAGUCUGGGAUCUCAAUCAGAUUUUUGGAGGAUUCAAGCCAAAGUAUGUUUAGAUUCACAAGAUUCUGUAACAAGAAAUAAAAACACCAUUUAAAUUCAUAAAUAGAGAAACUAAACCUAAUUAAGCAUAAAUAGAGACUUUUUAAGAAUGAGCAUUAGACUUCCUCUCAUACUUCAAAAAAUUAACAAGUAUAUCCAAACACAUUUGUACCUGAACUCCAUCCCAUAGCUUUUUAAGCUUGCUAUGACUCAAGUGAAGCUCUAUGAGCAUUUCAGCACAAAAGGUUGAUGGCAAAAACUCAAGACAGUAUCCUUCCCAUCGAAGAUACCUCAAUUUAUCAGAAAUCCACUCAAGACCAUCGGGAAAGUACACAUUGCAUGUGUUUCCUCUAGAUAUAUUAUAGAUUUUAAGAUAUCUUAAAUUUUUCAUCCUUCUAAAGGAAUUAGACUUCAAGUAAAGAUCCCCCACAUCUGUACUAUCGAAUGUUAUCCCUUCGACAGCUUCAGUUCCCUGAUAAAAAUUACAUUAAUAAUUAGGAAUGAUUGUCACAUAUACUUUCCUUGUUAUAUUUCAUAAUCACAUAGAUGUGUUAUUUUGAUGUAGAAGGGAAUAGAUCCUCUACUUACUUUGUUAUAUUUUAAUACAUCGGAUAUCUCUUCAGCUUUCCACAGUCGACUUCGUUUUCCAGGAUCUUCAGAUUCUUGAUUAACAAUCUCCCGUCCCAUUUCUUGUAACAAAUCAUGCAUUUCUAUAGUACAAACUUCCCUUUUGACAUGCAAAAUUGAAUCUAGUUGAAUGAGAGCUUUAUCUAGAAGGACGUCUAUCCCACUUAUUGCAAAGAAAUCAGAAGCUUCCAGUAGAUCUCUUACAAAAUCUUUACCCUGUCCACUCAACAAGCAUGCGAUGUCUAGAAAUAUGGCCUUUUGACAACGAUCUAACUCAUCAUAACUCAAUUUUAACACAUUAUGAAUUUUUCGAUUGGGAAUCUUUUGGAGCUUUUUCAAUUCAUUUUCCCACGCUUCUUGGCCCCUUGAACUGAGAUUUGCACCUAAAACUUUUAAUGCCAGAGGGUUACCUUUGCAAUAGGCAAUUACACUUUCUGAUAGAUCUUCAUAUCCAAUUUUAGGUUGUUUUUCUUUGAAGGCAGUCAAACUGAAUAGCUGAAAAGAAUCAUGCUUGUUCAAUUCUUUAAGCUCAUAUAUUUCACAUUUACUCACCUGACUAAAUAUGUGCUUAUCUCUAGUUGUAAUAAUGACCCUACUACCUGGUCCCAGACCAUCAAUUUUUGGGAUAAGAUCAUCUAUUUGCUCUAAGGUUUCUACACCAUCCAACACAAUUAAAACUUUUUUACGCCCAAUCCUUCUCUCGGAGAAAGGGGCUUCUAUGUAGGAUGCAUCAGGAUGAAUAUUUUCUUCCUCUAACAAUGAAGACAAAAGUUUAUUGAGUACAACAUUAAGUCCAUACUUGUUUGAUUCAUCCAUUACAUUGAGUAAGCAACAACCUUCGAAUUGAGAAUACAUUUUAGCAUAUAAAGCCCUAGCAAGGGUGGUCUUUCCUAUGCCACCCAUGCCCCAUAUUCCAAGGACUCUGACUUCAUGUGACCCAAUUUUCAGCUUUGAUUCAAUUUGGUCAUAAUUUUUCUCAAUUCCAACAAGCCCGGCCUUAAUUUCAUAUGGGUAUUUAAGAUUCAGUUUCUGCAAAACAUCUUCAACGAUAUCCUUAAUGAAGCGUGAUUCAGUCCUAGCAUACGAAAGAGGGGAAGAAGGUUUGAUAAGUCUACAAAUACAAUGGAAGGAAAAUACAUCUAUAUGAUUGGUAAAUAAAAUUUAUAGUCGACAUGGUGGCACUGGCAGUUCCUUAGCAGAGCAAGAAAGAAAGAAAAUUAGAUUUGAGGAAAUAAAUACCAAUGAUAGAGAAUGUAAUUAAUGUCUAAAUUUUCUAGGAAGUGAAAUCCUAAUGAAAAUUCGAAAAAAAUAAAUAAAUGUUUUAUGCUAGAAAUAUAACACAACUGUGUGGGAUGGAUAGUGCAGAUUUCAAAAAUUGUGUGUAUGCAGGGUACAAGCAUAUGAUUAUUAAAUAGUUUUCAGAAGGUCAUAUCAACUAUGGCCAGGCACAUAAACAUCAUUGUUCACUUCUCCAAAUAAUUCGGCCUGUUUACUUUCUAAAAUUAAUUUUAGCUUUCAUUUUUUAAAAUCUAUGUUCAUUUCCAACCAUGAAUAAGGAGAUGAAAGACUCAUGUAGUAUAUAAUUGUGCUAUAUUAGAAAACAAAACAUGAAAAUUAUAUAAAAUAGUUUAUUGGUUUUACUUAGAAUUUUGAGAACAUACAAGUCAUGGCAUGUACAAAGCUCGAUAGUUCGUUUUACUUACUCAAAAUUUUGAAAGUCCCAACCGCCUAAACUAGCUGCCUCAGUGAGAGCGGCUUUCCAUUCCUGUAACUUGUCAUUAUUGCUCUUCAAAUCUCGCUUAUGUUUUGCAAAAGCUUGCUCGUAACUCCCGGUCUGGUUCCUCACAUGUGAUGGAUCUAUUUUGUAAAAAACUGGUAUCACAAUGUGUUCCUUAUAUUUCUUGCAUUCAAGAAUCUUCUUGAGCUCAUUCAAGCACCAUUUUGAAGAAGCAUAGUUUUCUGAGAAGAUGACAAUAGAUGCAUGUGACUUCUCAAUGGCUUUGAUGAGUGCUGGCGAGAUCUCAUCUCCUUUUUGAAGCUUAUUGUUGUCUAUAAAGGUUUCAACUUUCUUUCGGCUCAGAGCAUCAUAAAGAUGGCUGGUGAAGUUUCUGCGAGUAUCCUCACCUCGAAAGCUAAGAAAAACGUCAUAUUUUUUCAGAGGCACCACAUCAGAAGAAGAUAUGGAAGAAAAAGCACUGCUCAUUUUCUACCUAGUGAUUAUGAAUUCCAAGUGCCUGCACUAAUCACAAUGCUACACUCAAAAAUAAAAUAAAAAUUUAUGUUUAAAUGUGUUCUUGAUACUUGUCAAUGAUAUUUUUGACAGGUACUCGGUUCAUAUAUCUGAUUGACAUCAGAUCAAGCAGUUCAAGGUUCACAUAUUGCUCAUCUAUGGAUAUAAUAAAUAAACAGCAUUUGUUAUUUCAAGUCGUUUGUGAUUCUUGGAAAUUUGUUUGUCUUAUAUUAAUGGCUUGCUUAUGAUGUGGAAAACCUAUACAGUUAUUUUGAAGAUGAAAAAACUUGAAUAGACAUUAAAAGCUUAAUGACAUGAAAUAGUAAAGAAUCUUAACAUUUUUUUGAAUGACAAAUCCUAGUAGUUAGUUGUUAGAUUAAGUAUUGACUAUUUCGUCCAGGUUUGAACCGAGAGUCUCCAACUUCUUAUCCGUGAGUUCAAAUUUCAAACCAGUUGAGCUACUCAACCUCCCAAAUAAAAAAACUUAACUCAGAUUAAGUGAAGAGCAACCAAAAUAAAACAUAGAAUUCAAUUCAAGCAACAAGGUUAAGCAUCAUUGGAGUCCAUACAUAAAAUUAGUCAUAAAUAACCAGCCUAUGAAUGUAAAGCAAAAACAAAUCUGGCCCAUGUAUGAUACUUUUUUCUCAAGCAGCAUUUUCAGAUACAAAACAGAGUAAUUUCCUAAUCAGUAAAAAUGGGGUACAAAUAAGAAAUAUGAAGACUAAUUAAACAUUCAUAUACAAUUCUUGAAGACCAAUUUAAUCUUAUAAGUUAAAUUAAAAUUGAUGGAAAAAAGAUGAUACCAAAGUCAGAUCCAGCUUAAUGCAAUAGAGGAGAAAAAGACUGUAUGGCUUAGCUUCUGCUGGAAUCAAUUUUGGAUCAAAAUAACAAAUGUGAUUUCACUGUUAUGCAAUCCUAAGUAAAAUGGCUUCAUUGCUCUUUAACAGAUACCAUAAGAUAAAAUAUACUGUAACAUACAGUAACCUUGUUGACUUGGGGGCUUCACUUGGGUUCCAACUACUUUUAAGUUUUAACCAGAAAAAUAAAUACAUGUGUAUUUAAGGCCACAAGAUUAAAUACAAACUUUAUCUUAAAAAUAACUCAUUCAACAUCUAAAAUUUAUAAAAUUGAUUUUUUUUUUAAAAUAGAAUUUAUCACUUGUUUCCUUUUUAGUUUUAUACUAAAUGUUUAGCUCAGUUGAUACAGUGCAUAAUAUAUGCAAAAUCCAGGGUUCGAAUAUUGGACGCCAUCAAAAAGAAAUGUUUUUAAAAAGUUAUUAACAAGAUUUUUUCAUGGUAAAUUCUAUCCACUAAACUACUUGAUAAAAAAAAUAUAAAAAAAAAAAAAAAAGACAGCAUCCAUAUUGACGUUAGUAAAUCUUAUGAUAAUUUAUCGAAAAAAUAAUAAUAAAUAAGAAUUUACAUAGAUAUGUUAUUUCGGCCAUACCCCAGUGAAAGUUGAGAAUAGAUAAAAGGUGUUUGUAUUUGACAUUUUUGUCGAAUAUCUAUACUUUUAAAAAAUUAAAAAAAUACAUGGUUUUUGGAAUAACUUUUUCAUUUCUAAUUAUACCUCUAAGCAAAUCUGUCUAGAAGAAAUAGAAGAAAUAUAUAAUUGAAUCCUGUCAUCUUUUAAUUUUUCUAAUUACAUUUCAUGUAUUCAUGGUUACACACUAAAAUGAUAAAAUUAUCCUUAAAUAAAAUUUAAUUUAAUCUUAAACUCGGUUUAAGUAGGUCAUGUAAACUUAAUUUUAGUAGACAAUGUAAACUGAGUUUAAGUGUAACACUUUAAGUAAGUUAUAUAAACUUAGCUUAAGUAGGUCAUGUAAAAUGAUCAGUUUAAGUGUACAUACUAAAAGUUAAAUUUUGCUUUAACCUCUUCAACCUUGUUUAAUGAUUCUACAUAAUCUUAUUUUAAGUAUGUACUUGUAAACUCAACUUAGGUAGACUAUGUGACUAAAUUUACAUGUACCCACUUAAACUGAAUUUAAGUUAACCUCAACGAUGUUAAUUAACGUUGUUUAUGUUGCACCAUUAAAUAAUCGUGUUGUAAAGUGCAUAACAUAUCAACGUUUGAACAACAAAGAAAAAAAAUCGAAACUCUAGCAUCAAUGAAAAAGAAGAAGAAAUUCAAUUAUUUAUAUGCAAUAGAGUAUGGACGAAAGAUGUUUUGAUUCACUCUUUAAUCUUCUAUAUAGAUUGAUUGACCAUCCAUAAUUGUUUGUGGGGGAAAGCGGGUGAAAUUUUAGAGUGACAAUGAAUGAAAUCAAGGUUUUAAGAAAAUUUAUAUAAAAGAACAAUUUUAAUUUUAUUAUAAAAUUUUAAGUAAAUAUAUGUGUAAUAAGAAAUACAUAGGAUGUAAAAAGAAAAACUCUUGUUAUCAUCAAAACUCAAAGUGGUGUUGUCAAACACAUUUUAUUCCAACAAUAUGUUCGAUAAAACGCAUACAAGUCUGGGAUCAUCCUUGACUUUAUAAUGUUGCGUGCAUUUUACCAACUACUUAUCAACAUUUGUAGUGGCCAUAUAUCAUUGUUUUAAACCUGUUGAUUACACCUAAGCAGCAAUGGAGCUAAUUAAUGGAUUUUUUUGACAAUAAUAGAACCAUAACUACAUGACUGCCUACUUGGAAGCUUGAGAAUGAUGGUGUUUAUACAGUUAAGAAUCCAUACAAGGACAUUAUGAAUCAUGAUAUGGCCCUUUUGCAACAUCGUGUGCCGAGAAAUUGGAAUUAUGUUUGAGUUUAAAGUUGCCACCGUAGCUACCACAAUUGUUUGCCUACUACAAUUCGAUUGCAAUUGAAAGGUGUUUCGUGUACUGAUUUGUGCGCGAUGUGUGAAGACUUUGGUGAAGAUAAUACUUAUUUGUUUUUAUGUGUAGUAAAAGUGUGCUUUGUUGGAAGCACACGAUUUUGGAUUCCUUUGAUGGUAGUCUUCGAUCUUGCUGCAAGUUUCUCGAAAAAUGUGUUUUCUAUUCUAUAACAUCUGGACCAGCAGCAAAAACAAAUCUUUGGUGUGACGCUAUGGAGUAUUUGGAAGAAUAGAAAUAACAAGGUUUGUAACAAUGUUACUGAAACAUCUCAAACUAUUUGUGAACGUGCACGUUCCUUCUCGCUAGCUGGAUGAAUGCCCAAACUAUUCGACACCAUACUUUUCGGCAUUCCAUUACACAGAGCGAUCUACAUAUUGACAUAACCAAGUCCCGACAGGUUCAAAUGCAAUGUAGAUGCUUUCUUUUCUCAUGCUCUGAAUCGAGUCGGGCUAGGUAUGUGUAUUCGAGAUGAUUGUUGAACCAAAAAUCUUUUUGAUGAAUGUUUUAAUAAUAACAAACUUUAUGGAAUAAACACUAAGUUUUAUGAAUGGUGAUCUACUGAUGUUUGCACUUAAGUCUUUUCCGAGAAGUAAACAAGAAAUAAGUCUUUUACAAGUGCAUAGAUAUAUUCAAUGAAAGAAUACCAAAACAAUAGCAUCACAAGCUCAAAGAAGAUAUAGAAAAAAUAUUGUUUGAAUCAAAUGAGUAUUGAUUGAAGAUUCAACAAGAAGAUGUAUUUUAUGAUCAAUUGACUCAUCCUCAUCACCACAUGGUUUUCAACAAAGCAUUAAAAAAUUUGAGGAAUAAAGGGUUAAUAUUUGAAAGACACUUAAUGAACAAGAAACAUUGUGUGGAAUCACUAAGAGGAACUAUGAGAAGAAUUGUAUCAUCAAACAAUUCAAGGUUAAUUGACCAAGAAGAUAUUGUCUUCUUAUAUAGAAGAGAACAUUAUCAACUUUGAUGAAAAGAAGGUUCUCAUGAUGAAGAUGAUUAUUACACUCGAAAUAAUUAGAAUCAACUUUGAAGAGAAACCAACCGAUGAAUAAAUUAUUUAUUAAGUCAUUCAUUAAUUGGAGAACUAUCAAGGAAGACAAAUCAUGAUCAUAUGCAUGAAGAUUCUAUCAUAAAAGACUUAGGAUGAUCCAAGAAUCUUCAAUCAUUUUUCAAGAUAUAAUUUGGGAGAAUAGAAAUCAAUAAAAGGAAUUUUUACUUUGAGAAAGGUUUCUCAUGUUCUUACAAAAGAACAUUAUGGUCAUAAAAAGUGAAGAGAACACCUUCACUUUAUGUUUUUAAAGAUAACACAUAUUUACAUUUAUUAUCUUGUUAUCUACUAAUGUGAGAAUGUUUCAGUGAGAAUGUUCUCAAGAACGUUCUGACCUCGCAAAGAUAACAAAACAUCUUUAACAAAGCAAAUGACAAAAAUCAUCUUUUGAUAAAUGUCAAGAAUGUGCAUAAUCAAAGAUCAAGAAUAAUUGUUAUUCUCUUUGUCUCACCAAAAGAAGGAUCAAUGAUCAUAAAAAUCAAGAUCCUUAAAGGCAUUAAAUGGCAAGAAAUCAAGACAAAUCAAAGCAUUAUGGCACAUGGGCCAUGAUAGCAAAAGAACAAAGAUUAAAUCAUAAUGGCCUUAAAAGAGUGAAAAGAUUCAUUAAAGAAAGGCUUAAAUAUGAUAUUAGUCCCUGUAAUUUGGGUCGGUUUUGAAUUUCGUCCCUGUAAAAAAAAAACUUUGAAUUACAUCCCUGUAAAAAAAAAUUUGUUUGAAAAAGGUCUAUGGCCCCACAUUUUUGAUGAUAUGGCAUGGGUUUUGCCACAUGGCAGUUGCUGACUGUGCAACUUAUGCCACAUGGCGCUGACGUGGCAUGCCACAUAAUAUUAAAUUUAAAAAAAUAAUUUUUAAAUUCUAAAAAUUGUUUUUAAAAUUUAAAAAUAUAAAAAAAAAAUCUGAAAAAAAUUUAAAAAUAUUAAAAUUAUUUUUAUCAUAUAAUUUUCAAAAAAAUUUUUUUUUUUAAAUUAUAAAAUCUGAAAUUUCUGAAAAAAAAAAAUGAAAUGAUUUUUUUUUAAAAUAUGAAGAAAAAAAUAUAAUUUUCAAAUUAAAAAAAAUUAAUGAUCGAAAAUUUAAUUUUAACUGUUUUUUUUCGAUUUUUUAAAUGAUUUUUGAAUUUAUUUUCAUAUUUUUUUAAAUUUUUUAAUUACGUGGCUGCCACGUGGCAAAACCUAUGCCAUAUCAUAAAAAAUGUGGGGCCAGGGACCUUUUUCAAACAAAAAAAAAAUUUACAGGGAUGUUUUUCAAACUUUUAUUUUACAGGGACGAAAAUGAUAUUUAAGCCUUAAAGAAAUAUCUCAAAGUUGUUCCUUGUGGAAAAAGCAUAUGACAUCAUCAUAUAGCAUAAAGAUGACAUAAACACAUCUUAUCAAGUGGCUAGCAAGCUUCUACAACAAUAUUACAGCUGAUAACAACUUGCAAAACGUGUUCCUUCUUUGUACAAGUUUGGCUGGUACAGAGAGAACGUUAUGGAGAACGUUCUGGGUAAGAAAAACCAUCAAAGAAAGAUCUCAAAGUUGUGCCUUAGCAUAUGACAUCAUGCAAUGACAUCAAGCUUGCAUCAUCUUAAGUGGCCUCCAAGGCUUCUACAAUCAGGCAUAUAACUCGUUACAUCUUGCAAAAACGUGUUGCUCUGUGCCCAAGUUAUGGCUGGAAUAGAGAGAACGUUCUCGGUGAACAGUUUCAUGCUUUCUCUCCAAGCAUCAAAUGGAGCCAAUUUAUUUUGAAUUUGAAUUGAGCUCCAAUAGCUCUUUUUUGACUUGUUCUCCAAGGAUACAUCUCCUAUAAAUAGAGGACGUCCAUGAAGGUUAAUAGCAAGAGUUUUGAUAUACAAAAGCUUUGACAUCUCUCUCUCUCUCAAAGCUAAAGAAAUCAUUAUCUUCAUCAAUCUCUUUAACAUCUCUUUCGACAAUCACAAAGCAAACUCCAUAAUCUUUCACUAUAUUUAUCAUCUUUAUCUCUCAUUGAGAACAUCUUUCUGAGUUUGUAUUUGUACAAGGAUAGUUUGUUUGAGACGCUAGAUCCAAACAACAUCUUUCUCAUUUUCGUUUGAGACAUUAGAUCCAAACAAUCAUCUUACAAAGAGAUAACUAGAUCUCAAGUCUAUUGGGCUUAAUAGUUUGAGAUAGGAAGAGUUCCAAGCUUUCUUGUGCAAAAGCAAAGAAUUGUAGAAGCCUGCUGAGGUUGAUAAUACAAGGGUUACAGACUGAUCUGGUGUGAUCAAGACCUUAUAGUGUUGGUUAGAAGUUUCUACCAACUGAAUACUAUAGUGGAUAAUCUCACACGAAAUGUGGGGACUGUGGAAGUAACCGGGAUUGGUGAACCAGGAUAACUCUCCUGUGUUAUUCUUCUUUCUCUCUCCCUCUCUAUCUUUUAUUUUUACACAAUAUGCACACACUAUCACACUCAUUAAUAUUUAUAACUCCUCUCUCCCUCCCUCUCUCCUGUGUUAUUCUUCUUUCUCUCUCCCUCUCUCUAUCUCUAAGAUAUUCUGGUCCUAAUUAAUCACAACCAAAUUAAUCCAGAGUUCUCUGGUCGUUAAAUAACCAUUAAUAUUGUUUUAUCAUUCAGCUUAAUAAUUAAUUAUAACUGCUUUAUAUUUAUCCAGAGUUCUCUCGUCCUUAAUUAACCAUAAGAUUAUUUUAUCAUUCAGUUUAAAUAAUUAAUUAUAUAAUUAUUAUCCAGAACAUUCUGGUCCUUAGUAAAACUGCUUAAUUAUUUAAACCUUACUUUAUCCAAAACAUUCUGGUCCUUGAUAAAACAAUUGUUUAAAUAUCUAAAUAUUUUAUAAUCUUCUUUUAUCUAACAUUUACCAAGAAUUUUCUUGAGUACAUAAACUUGUUAAGUUUCAGGAUUAAAUUUAAAAAGGGUCACAAUUCAAACCCCCCCUUUCUUGUGACUAUUUCUUCCACUUCAAUGAUGAGAGGUUGUUUUGUGUUACCUAAAACCAAAUGGUUGACUCCGGUCCUUGAUGUGGACUUGAAGAGGCUUUAGGUUUAUUAUAAACAUUGUAUUGGGUGCGUGAUCUAUAGCUAGGUAUUGUGGAUUUUGGCCUUGAUUCCAAAAAUGUGGUGGAUAGUCUCUAUGGUAGAAAAAGUAACGUUACUAAUUAUAGUGCAGUUAUAAUUGAUUGUAGACGCAUGUUAGCUUGUGAUUUAGCAAUUGAUGAUGUUAGGUUUAAUCAGAGACAAGCCUACGAAGUCGCUGAUGUUAGUUUCUAUAUUCAUACUAAGAUUACAUCGUGUAUCUCAACUAUUAUGCAAUAAGUUUCUUUAUGUCUAAAAAUAAUAAUUCAUUUUCUACUCAUUGUCCAAGAGUAGCACCUCUUAAGCAACCAUACAUCAACACCACUUCAGCGCCACCGUCAAGGGCACCACCAAACAAUGACUCUACCAUAACUCUUACAUCCUCGCCGUAGUCAAAGUCAUUGAAUCCCACCCCCAUCGUCGAUCUAUGAUUUUCCCCUGGUUCCGUCCUGGCCUCGACCAAAACUACAAUCGCCACCAUAAAAGGUUCUAUCUUCACUCCCGUCAUCGGCACCACCUCCAAAACCACCUAAUUGCAUCUCUAUUUACGGAAUCAUUGACUUUGAGGACAAGGUCAAUUUUGAAGAGCAGAGUAGUGAUAACAUUAACCAAGAGGAAGAAAUUUCGGAUAACGUAUAACAAAUGAUGUUAAAGUGAAGGGAUUGCAUUACUAUCCAGGAACAAUAAGAUUAGCAGAUAAUAAUAGGAAGGUAGUUUUAUAUUUGUUUGUUAUGUUCUGAGUAAUAAUAGAUAAUUUAGUUGUAUAUCCUUAGAUAUUAAUAACUUCGUUUUUUUUUGUCAAAUUGUCUAGUGGUUAAAACUCACAUAUUUUUUAUUAAAAAAAAAAUAACUAACACAUUUUAAAUAUGGACAUAAGUAUUUCGUGAUUAUAUAUUACCGAAACUUCUCUGAAGGACAUAAAUCUAUAUUUCAUUUCUUGAUUGCUUUUCAGAGAAGUUUCGAUAAUAUAUAAUACAAUAACAAUAUUGACUUGGGUUCCAGUCUACUUUCUAUAAAAAAUAAAAAAUAAAAUGGGUUUAUGCCACGUUGUAUAAAAUAACAAUAAUAAAAUAAAUAUAAUAACCAUAUUAAUUAAUAAAAAACAAAGAUAAGAAAUGUGAUUAAGAAAGGAAGGAAGGAAAAAUCCAAAGUGUCUUCUAGGAGCAAAGGUGUCAUGACAUUAUUAUUAGUAUUUUUAUGGAACAAUAUUUAGGGUAGCAUGCCUCAUUCUAGUUAAGAAAAAAUUCAAGGUUCAAUAAAUGCUUGCAUAAAUUCUUACAUACUAUUCAUUAAUUAAAUAUAAGUUGUAUUCUUACUAAAUUGCUGACAUGACAUUAUUCUUUAACAAGCAUACAAAAGAUAUGACAUUAGAGAUAGUGACCCUUUAAGUAAAAAUAUGUACAUCCUCUAGUUAAUAUUAUAAACAAAAAUUAGCAUUUUAUAUUCAUUCAUUAAAUUAUAUAUGUGGUUAAUAAUAAAGACUAUAUACAUUAUUUAAUGAAUGAAUUUGUCAAUAUGCGUGGUCAGAUCAGAUGCAUAAAUGUGUAAGACGCUGGGUGAAUAAAAGAUCUGGAGUACAAAUCCGAACCACCAAAAAAAACUUACAUUGUGAAUUCAAUUUCCUAUAUUAAAACUUACGGUGUGAAUCUAAUUUCCUGUAUUAAAACUUAAGGUGUGAAUCUAAUUUUCUAUAUUAAACUAAAUAGCUGUUAGAUGAGGUCCAUUUCUUUUUAUUUGUUUCUUACCAAUCAAUUUCAGUAACCUUUAAACAAAUGUCAUAUUGUUGAAUCGUGAACUUUCUUCACACGUUCAAUGGCUGGUCCAAUUUAGAAAAUAUUAAUGAAUACAUGCUUUGAUAAAUUAUUUAUCAAAAACUGAUUUAUAUACUUUUUACACACAAGGAAUUGAGUUGGACAAACCCCUUCACUCCGACCUCAUCCCCCAAUCCCUCCCACCGCCAAUUUCAAGUGUGUUUAGCUGAGAAAAAGUUAUGUAAUGUUUUGAAAAAGUUAUAAAGUAUUAUGUUUAAGUUAAAUUGAGUGAAUUUUAAAUGAUAUUUAAGAUCUAAGAAUUUCAAAUUAUUUCCUAUUAGAUAUAUCUUUCAAAAUUUCCAAGUUGGUCCCCAUAUUUUUCAAAAAAAAUAAAUUAACCCUUAAAUAUUUAAAAUAAAUUGCAAAUUGAUCCUUACAAUUUCUUGAAAAUUAUAAACCGCUUUCAAUUUUUGAAUUCUACAAAUCAGCCCUCAAUUUUUCAAUUUUUCAAUUUGGCCCAAAAUUUUAUAAAAUAUAAAAGUAAGUAGCACAAAAAUAUAACUGAAGUAUUUUAUCACUGUAUCCAAACAAAAAUAUUAAAAAAUAAAGGGAUCUAGCGUCGAUCAUCUCACAAGGUGUUGGGAUGAUUUAUACCGCCGCUAUGAAAAUUAGAACUUUAAGUGCUUGUUUGGUGUAACACUCCUAUUUCUAUUAAAGCAAUUAAACAUGCAAAUAAUACAUUUAUUCAAGAAAUAGAGGCUACGCCACAUUCAAAAUUCAAAAACCAAUAAACAUGUAUAUAAACCUCAACAGUUGCAGCGGAAUAUAAAUCAGAGUAAUCCAAAUGUAUACAUGUCAUGAAUAAUAAAUUACAUCACAUAGAUGCAUCUCAAAAAUCCCAAACAAAACGGAUAAUCUCCAACAUAACAAAAUCCAAAAAUAACCUAAUCUAGACCGACACAACAAGCCUAGAUCAGAGCCAACUCAACACCGAUAUCGGAGAAAGCUCCCGAUAUCCCAAGCACAAACUCACCAAGCACUACUCCUGCACAACGUCUACCCAUCCAUACAGAUAGGUAGGCGGUUAAAACCACUAGGGUAAGUAUUACAUUAUCAUAAUCCAAAUAACAGAUAACAUGAGUAUUUCAAUAUAAACAUCAUGCAUUUGAUCAAUAGUAAUCACACAUUAAUACUUACAUCACAUCCCAAUAUCUCACAUCAAUAAUCAUCAAUCACAUAAACAGUUAACAAUUCACAAAUAUUCAUUCACAAUCUCCAAACACAAAUAUUCAUGAAUAGUCAUUAAUCACAUUUCACGAACAAUCACCAAUCACAUUUAUCAAACAAGACUCAUGUCAUGAUAUGCACUUAUUGACACAUAAAUGCAUGUGGUACCAAAUCUCCAAAAGGUCGUCACCUCCGAUGGAACAACUCAACAUCGUAUGUAAGGGUUCACACCCGCCUUACAUAAUCUCCGAAGUAAAAGAGCACAACCUUUUUACAACUACACGACUAUGAUGCAUGGACAUGUAAAAAAACUAGAUAAUGCGACAACAAUCACAAUUUUCUCCACAAUAUAUAGGAAAACACCCAAUUAUAUUGUUCAUCUCCACAUCAUUUGCAUUAUCAAGAAAACAUGCCCAUUCAUAAUUAAAUCAUAGUAUUCAUCAUUACACAUCAACGUGAUUAUCAAUAAUCAACGAUGUCAUUCAAUCAUCAACUAUCACAUAUAGUUUCACAAAUUCAAACAUUCCUUACAUCUUAAGUAAGAUAGCAUACACUUCUCAUGAUAAUUAUCAUAUCCAAAAUACAAUCAUUCAUUCAUACAACUUCACUUAGUCAUAUAAGAAUGAUCACAACAAUUCAUAAGACAAUACGACUUAAAGAUUCACUAGACCCCCUUUUCACAAGGUUAAUUCUUCCAUAAAAACACCCCUAGAUGAUUAGGAUAAAGUCCCUAUACAUAGAAAUAAGUUUGGAAACAAUUGGAUCAAAGAAAAUUGCAUUUUAAAAGUUUCUGGUCAGGCAAAAUCGUAGUCCGAAUUUUCCCCAUCGUAGUACGAUUUUUUUCGAGCUGAAACAACCCAAAAUCUGGUCAAAAUCGUAGCCCGAUGGAUAAAAUUGUAGUCCGAUUUCUGCCUGACAGACAACAUCAGAUUUUCCAAUUUUCACGUUUUCGCGCGUAAAAACCAAACCGUUAAUCCGUUUUCGGUGCCGUUUUCACCUACUUGUUCAUGACACUUAGCCCUAUCUUAAUGUACAGAAAAAUUCAAGUUUCAACAUUCCCAAAUUCAUUUUUCAAAGCCUUACACAACACUCAUUUUCCAAAACGGUUAACAAUUGAAUUUUCACCCGAAUCUCCCGUUUUCUCCCAAAACGACUCGACUAUCACAACUACAACCUAAAAACAGAAAUUCCAUCAAGUUUAACUCAUCCAACCACAUAGACAACUCAGUCAACAACUUUGUAUAUCAAAUUUCACUUUGGUCCUUCACAUGACCAUCUAGCACAACUUCACCAAUACAAACAACUUACUUCAUGAAAUGGAAUACCCAUGUUAUCAUUCAACAACAUCAACAUAUCUACUUUAACAACACCUCAUUUAGACAUGAAUUCAAUCAUAAUUCAAUUACACAAUAUCCCAAUCCAACAAUUGAGCAAAACACAUAAGUAUCCAUUUUCACCAAACCAACAACAACAACUUAUUUCACAACAACAAACUAUGAAUCAUGCAUACCCAAGCCAUGAAUUAGCAUCCAUAACAUCACUUAACAACAACAACAUCUAUUGAUCAUGAAACAUAUCACAAUUCAUCAACAACCAUCCAUAAUUCACCAUUUGAGCAUAAUUUACAAACUACCCAUUUUCAUACAUCAUGAACUUGCAAUUUCAUAAUCAACAAUUCAUUUAACAUCAAAUUAACACAUUCAAACAUAUCUCUACAACAUAAGCAAGAAUUUCAAAGAUUGGGUUCAUGAUAAUCACUUAUUCCCAUAAUCAAUUAUGCAUAGAACAAGAGAAAAAGAAUUAACUAAAUGAUUAUGAUAAAGACUAACCCCCUUACCUUAGAUGAAGAUUAACCCAAACUCUUGCUUCAAUUCAGCUCCUAAGCUUACCCAAAUUGAUUCCUCAAGCUAUUCUCUUCAAAACCCUUGUUCUUCUCUUCACCUCUUUCUCUCUCUACCUCUCUCUCUAGGAAAAUUUUAUGAAGUGAAUGAAAGAUAUUUUUUUUCUAUGACAACCCUAAUGUUAUCUCCCUUAAUGGGCUUAACUUAGUUUCUAGUGGGCUUAACCCAUUUCUAUUCAAACCACAAAUAUUUCUCUUUAACUAAUAACGGUAAAAUAUAACCAACGGUCACUAAACGGUAAAAACUAAUCACUACACUAGUAACUUAGUAAAAUAAGGGUUCUCACUAAAUAUUAAAGAUAAUUCUUACCAAAAUUUCCAUUUUACCCUUACCCGCCAAAUGACCAAAUACCCUUCUAAUACGGUAAUCUAUGUAAAUGCACCCAAUGACAAUUAAAUACACACAAGCACAAAUAAUCACAAACAAACACAUAAUAAAAGUAAUUAAAAUAAAUCUAGCUAAAAAUCGGGCUGUUACAUUUGGCACCACGUUUUUGGGCUCCAAACGUGGUUUAUUUUUGCCAAACGUGGUGUUGCACUUUUACAUGCUGUUUGGAUGACGAAAAAGCAAGUUUCUGAAAAGCGGUUUAUGUCUCCAAAACGCAAUUUUCUUGAAGCUGGAAUUCGGAGCUUCUACGGCAGAUAAAAACCACGUUUAAGCCUUUAAUUUCUCAAGUGGCAGGUACUUACCUAAUUACCCCUAAAUUCAAGCCUUCAAUUUCUCUUUCUCAUAGUUUUCUUCCUUUUCAUUACUUCACAUCACUUUCAAACUUAAAUUUUCUGCUAAUUGUGAAGAUUUUGCAUAUCCAAGAUUUCAAUUAUCUUCAGCUUUUCCCCAAUUUUUUCAGAUUUCAUGGUUAAUCUCAUUACUCAUGGUAGAUGUGUUGUUUGGGUGAAUUUAUUCCUUCAGCUUUUCCCCUAUAUAUGAUGCUUAUGAGCUACUUGUGAGAACCAUUCCAUUGCUCUGCCAAGGCCUGAAGGUAAAUACAUAUUCAUAUUUUUUUUGCUUUGAUUACUUGCUUCAAUAUUGUUAAUUUCUAUUUCUCUUUGCUCUAUUUGUUACAAGUUUUACAUUAAUUUUUCCAUCCUACAUCAAUGCAUUGUAUGUGUUUGAUAAAUAGUCUCAAAGAAAAAAAAAAUUCUUAUAUUGAUAUGUUUAUGUUGAUGAAUUUUCUUGACCUGUAGAAGUGAUUGUUUUGUUAUUAUUGAUGUUUAUCUUUAUUUUUAUUUUUUUUUAUUUUUUUGUGUUUUUAGCAAGGAGUCUAUUGUUUUUGUUUAAGGUACUUGGUGUGUUCAAAGUAAUUGAAUGAACUAACGUAAGAAAAGAAACUUAUAGCUUCAAGCCAUUGUUGUAAUUCUAAUUUUUGUGCCUUUACAAAAAAUUCCAAAGUAACAGAAUUUCUUCUAACACAAAGUAACAGAACUCACUCUUAGCACAAAGUAACAGAACUUCUUCUUGUAUUGUUUUUGUUUUCUGUUAUCAUUUUCAUUUGCACAAAACAAGGAUAUUGGUGUUAGUUUGAUCAAGUUGCUUAUGUAUAGUUUGUUUCAUUUUUUUUUUUGGGUUAAUAUGUCUUUACCCCCUGUAAUUUGGGCGAGUUUCGGUUUACCUCCUGUAAAAAUAAAAGUUUAGAUUCCAACCCUUUAAUAUGAAGAUUCUUCAAAAAACACCCCUAUAAUAUUAAGAUUCUCCACAAAACACCCCUGACCCCAUCCAGACGCUGAUGUGGCACGCCAUUGUGUAAUUAUUUUAAUUUUUUUUAAAACCUGACACAUGUGUAAUGGACGCUGACUGUAUAAUUUUUUUUAUUUUUUUUUAUUUUUUUAAAGGGUACACGUGGCAUUUGUGAUUUUAAAAAAAAAUAAAAAACGAAAACAAUUAUGGAAAAAUUAAUAAAAAUAAAAAAUAUUCUGAAAAAUAAAAAAAAAUAGCGAAAAAAUUAAUUAAAAUAAAAAAUAUGAUUAAACAAAUUCCGGAAAAUUUAAUAAAAUAAAAAAUAAUCUGAAAAUUUUAAUAAAAAUGAAAAAGAAUCUGGUAAAAUGAAAAAUAAUGAAAAAAAUUUGGAAAAAUUUUAAAAAGUUCUAGAAAAUUUUAAAAAAUAAUAAAAAAAUCUGGAAAAAGUUAAAAAUAUGAGAAAAAAAAUUUAUAUUUCUGGAAAAUUCAGGACCUUAAAAUAUUUCAAAAUUCUUGAAUAUAAUAAGAAAAUAUAUUUUAUUUUUAAAAAAAAAAGGUUCAGAUUUUUCUUUCGAAAUUAAUUUUUUUUUUAUUUUUUUAUACAAAAAAUAAAAAUAUUGGAAAAUAUUUCAAUAAUUAGAAAAACAUAACAUUAGAACAUGAAGAAUAGAAUUAAGGGCUUGUUUUUCAAUAGUAUAACAUGACUUAUAUACCGGUGUCAAUCAAAAUUCAUUGUAUCUUGUUAUUCAUCUAGAUUAUAUUUUCGAAUAAAAUAAAAUUCUAGAAAUAAAUUUUCAUAAUCAAAAUAACUAUAUAAUAUUAUAUUUUUCGAUUUUUUUAUAAUUUAAAUUUAAUUCAGAUUUUUUUUUAUAUUUUUUGAAAAUUUUGAUAUAUAUAAAUUUUUUCCAGAAUUUUUUAUUUUUUUUGAACUUUUUCCAGAUUGUUUUGUUUAUUGUCGUGAUUUUUUUCUUAAAUUUUCUAGAUUUUUUAAUUUUUUCAGAUUUUUUUUAUUAAAUUUUCUAUAUUUUUUCAUAAUUGUUUUUUCAUUUUAAUAAUGUUUCUAGAAUUUAUUAUUUUAUUUUUAUUUUAAAAAAAUAUAUACAAAUGCCACGUGUACCCUUUAAAAAUAAUAAUAAUACAGUCGUCACGCUACAUAAUCAGAUAUGCACAGUCAGCAUGCCAUUUCAGCUCGCCACGUCAGCAAUUCUGUACAGUCACAUAGGUCAGGGGCUAAAGUCAAAUAAUCUUAUUUUACAGGGUUGGAAUCUAAUCUUUUUUUUUACAGGGGGUAAACCGAAACUCGCCUAAAUUACAGGGGGUAAAUACAUAUUAACCUUUUUUUUUUUUUUUAUCAUACUUUUGUGUAUAUAGUAAUAUGGACUCACUUAAGAGAAAAGUUUCUGCUAACCCCCCUUCAACUAACAAUGAGGGUCAAAGUUUCAAAGCUAGUUUAAAUAUUAGUUUGCAAUAAUUUUCAAUAUUAUAUUGCACUUGAACUUAUAUUAUCUAUUAUCUAUAUGUAAUAUACUUUAGAGCCUUGCCAUUUUUUAUACAUAUUUAGAAAUCUAUGAUUAUGUAUUAAUAAUUUACGUAUAUUUUAGUUUACAAUUGUGUAAUUUCUCAUUUGUUUUACAUCUUUUUAUGCUUAUAUUAUUUUAUUAAAAAUCACCCAAUUGAUAAAAAAAAAUAAUAUUAAAAAUAACAUAAAUUUAUAUUAUUUUAAAAUUAAUUUUAGAACCAAUAGAAUUCAUGUAUGAUAAGUUGAAAUAAUUUUUUUUUAUGAGAAUGAGUUUUAAAUACAAUUAAAAUGAUAGUUUAGUCAUUAUACAUUCAAAAUCAAUUUUGAUUCAAACUAUCCAAACAACAUCAACCCGCAAGAAUCACUUUUAGUAUCCAAACAUAAAUCAAUUCACAUUCAACUCACUUUUAACCAAAAUCAAUUCUCUCAAACUCAAUUCUAUCAAAAUCAAUUCUCCUCGCCGCCAUACCAAACACACACUAAGAUUAAGAAGGAAAAGAUGAAGGGAACUGGCUACAAAUGGUAUUAUUAAUGUGGCUUGGUGGAACUCUUUACCCUUCUUUACUAGGGAUGACUUUUAUAAAGACCACUAUGGAUUUUUAAAUUAUCGUUCUCCAUAUCUCUUUGUAUUUUAAUUUUGUUUUUUGUUUUGGUUUGGUCCUCCUCUAGUACGGUUUUUCAUUUUUUUAAUAAUUUUUUUUUAGAUCAAGCUGGCAUAGGAUGGGGUGGUUUUGGAGUGUGAACAUAGUUGGAAUGUCAAACCUUCUUUUGAUGUCUUCUUUUGCUCAUGAUUUAGAAGGAAAAAAAAAAUUUAAUUACAAUAUAUUUCUCUAAAUUGAUUGAUUUCUUUCCUAAAGACACAACAGAAUUAAUCAACUAUAAUUGAUUUAUUUUUUUUACUUGGAUGAAAGUGAUUCAUAUGCCAAACAGAGCCUAAGUAAUUAAAAUAACAAAUUAGUUUAAAAAGGUAACUACCUGGAAUACGCAUUAGAAUGAAUCAGUAUUAGAGAGAUUAGAAACACCAGUAUUGAUUUGUGAGAAAACCAAGAUCUUUGAUCUGUAUCAUUUAAAAAGGAAAGACCAUCAACAGAACCAUUAUCAUUCUUCUUGUCUUUCUUCUUUUUUGACACAAAAUCAUGAAACUUGAGUAGCUAUACUGCAAUAGGGAGAAAAAGGAAGAAGAAAGACGAUUCAUUUAGUGAUGAAGCAGAAGAAGUUUGAAGAAAGUGGUAUUGCUAGCUUCAAUGACAUUGCUGAGGAAAAUAAAUAGAGAUCUAUACACAAAAUUAUGAAAGACAAGAAGAUUCAUACCAAUUGAACAGCAAGGAUGUUUCUGGUCAUCUUCAUUUUCAAUGUUGGAGCUUAUGACUUCACCUCCAAUUGAUGUAGGUUGUAACUCAUCAUUAUAAUUUCCCUGGCCAUCUUCACUUUCAUUGUUAGACCAAUCAGACCCCACACCAAUUUCCCAACCAUCCAGAUUCGACUUAUGUUCUAAGUUAUAUACAGGUAAGACCCCACACCCCUUUAUCCCCUCUGUUGACCACCACAAUUCUUCAUUGAAAUCUUGAUGCAUGAAUUGAAAUGAUAGGUUGCAAUCAUUACUUCCAUGUUUCCGUCUGUUGUAAGGAUGCCAACAUAUCAAUACGUGAUCUGAAAUUAAUGUCCCAUUAUAUUCGUAAACAACAAGAAUACACUUGUCGACUUCUUUGCCGUGUUCAAAGAUGACACAAUGCAGGGGGUGAUUGAGAUCAUGGAAGCCCUUAGAAAGAAUGGUGCAGAAUACGAAACCAGACAGGUUAUAUUUUGGAAUCGGAGGAAUGGUUAUUGAAGCCUUCAUUGUUUGAAAAUCAAACUUGCGAGGAACUUGUGCUCCUGGCAAGAAAUAGACAUCAUAAUAGGAACGGUUAUUGACAUCUUUAUUUGCAUGAAAAGGGUCUUUAGAGAAGAUUUGUACUAUGUUCUCAAGAAAUGACCGUUGAGUGGAGUCUGUGUCCAGAUAAGUGCAAUUAAUGGCACUCAAACAUAAUAGGGAUGGCGGAAGCUCUGUUAGAGACACAAGUUUCCUGCAAUCAUCUAAAACUAGCCAUUUUAGCAUUGAAUGGUUUCGUAUGUUCUCAGGGACACAUUCCAAGUUGCAACAAUCUUGCAAUGAGAGCCGUUUCAAAGAUUGUAUGCCAUCAAGGAUGGACCACAGACUUAAUGCAUUGAUUUCUGUGCACCGUGAAAGGUUUAGUUCUAUAACAGACCCAAGUCCAUGAUCAUCUGAUAACUUAUUCCCAACAAUGUUAAGCUUGUUACACUCGGUUAGGGAAAGAGAAGUAAGUUUUCUGUUACGCCAAAUCGAUGAAGACAAUUCACGUAUAGCAGUGCCAUCUAAGGUCAACUCUGUCAUUUCAUCCGAUGUCACUGAGAAUUCUGUGAGAGAAGAACAACCAUCGAGUAAGAGUUCACAAAGAGAUUUUGAAUGAAUGUUGGUUUUAAGGCUUUCAAUCUUUUUGCAACCUCGUAAAUCUAGAUAUCUA